CAUCUUUAUCUCCAAGCCAGUUUGAGUAGGUAUAACCGAGGCAAUUUGCAAGCUUCUACCUUUAUCUAUUGUGGGGAAAUAUAAUUAUAAAACCAAUUGAACUGUUGAGUAUGCUCAGAAUUCUCUUGUUGCUACAAGUGUGAUACGUUGACUUUCCUCAUAAAAUAUUUUUCAUUAUGCCACACUAAAUCCAAUGUCCGGUCUUGUAUUUCAAGCAGUCUAUAAUGAUCCAAUCAAUCUCAUGUAUUGCGUUGGAUUAAUAUCUUACUCCUCUUCAUUCUUUGACAUUUGUAAUCUUUAUUUUGCGGAGGUAAUUUUCUAAUUACAAUGCUCCAUUAUCAAACUUCUUCAUUAUCUCAAAAGCAUACUAUCGCAACGUGAAAAAUCCCGAGCGUAAGGAACACUCAAAAUAUAAACAAAAUAGAGUUGGCACCGAAUUUUGUUUUAUUCCCAAAGAGGGAAACGGAAAUAUCGAUAAAACCCAUAAAAACAAAAAGAAAUGGUCAUCACAACCAAAUUAUAUUCCGGAGUCCGUUAUAAAGGGAAGUAUUAGUACCCUCACAUCCAUUGUAAUAGAUGGGACCCAUUUAGUUAGUUUCAUGUUAGAGUGUUAGUGUGAUAUCAUUUGCAAACUUCUACUUUUCAAGUGAAGAAAUAGAAAACAAAGAAAGGAAAGACUUAAGGUUUUUUAACUUUAAUGUGCCUGACAAGAUUUCGCAAUCCUGCUCCUACGUAUCUUCAGGUGUUAUGAAGACUCAAGGCAUACGUAGCUCUACUAAAGAUAACUAAUGGAUGGAUUACUUUUAAAGAGAGUGAUGCUUGGAUCACUUUUGAGCGACUAAACAUUUAUUUGCUAGUCUCUCUUGGAGGUUGAACUCUUUGUUUGUUCGCGUUGAAAAUGCAUGUAGCGUACUCUUUUUUGAAAAUGUUAUCCAGGGUCGGCAAGGGCGGAAAACAGGUUUGAUGAGUUGAGUUGAUUUUAAGUGGAGACAGGCAUCCAAGAAAGGAGAUCUACUGCAGUACUUGAAUGCCCGAAAAGGAAGAGGCCUAAGCCAAUCACUCUCUUUUCAUCCAAAAUUUUGUUAUUUGGCAAGAGAAGGUCUAGUGUAGUGUCCAAAUAAUUGGGAAAGAGAAUGUCGAUAUCCAAUCAAUAUUUUUAUUCUAUAAGAUAAAUGACAUAAUUAUGGUAGUUAUUAUGUUUUAAUAUGGAAGAUGAAUGUUUGAACAUGGAGCUCUACAACAAUAUCCUAACAUUCAAAACAUAGUAAGUAUAACCUAAUCAGUUUCUUCCAUUUUUGCUGUAAAAUCUUUUAAAAACAGAGGGACGACUUGACAUUGAAUCAAGUGUCAGAAGUUUACUUAUGAAAGGAAUUUGGAUGUGGCGGGUUGAGAAAAAAUAGGUUUAAUUGGUUUUUGAUCGCACAGGGGCGAGAAGUUAGGUGUAUGAUUUGUUUGAAUAUGUUUUAGAAUUAAAGAAGACUAUUAAAACAGGGAGCUCUACCCAAUUUUCAAAUAAUUGGAGACUGGGGAUGGUCUAAAUUCGACAAUCUUUUUUUUUCUAUAAGAGAACCAAUUGAAUUCAAUUAAUUAUUGUAUUUUAAUAUGGAAGAUGGUCAUUUAGACAUAAAGCUUUACAAUAUGCCGCAAAAUUCAGGAAGGGGAAAGUCAACACCAUCCUUCCUUUUUCAUCCAUUUUGUUUGUAAAAAACUGAUGUCAAAUACACCUGAAAAAAUCUAAGCGAAGUCAGAAACUUGAACAGACAAGUAUUACAAUUUACACCCAAAGUGAUACAAUUGCAUUAAAAAUCUCAAAAUCAUUUUUUGAAUAUUUUUAAAUAAUAAUAAUAAAGGUUUAAAGUGAUUUGUAAUGUGUUAGAAAAUGAGUGAAUAUCUAAAUUUAGAAGAACUAUGAACGGGCUCCAUGAUUAACUGUACAAGAUCACACAAAAAGUAAUAUGAGCUUGGAACACCAGCUACUUGAUAUAUGAAGAGAAAUUUCUAAAGGCAAAUGUGUAGUAACACUUUAGUCUCAAAUACACAUUGCAUAUUAAGCACCGGAACAUAAAACACUACACCAAAAAUUAAAUAUCCAUAACUUCAUGCAUAAACUUAACUAAACAAUUAAAGAAUGCUAAAAUGAGUCAAACCACACGGUAUCAGCAUAUUGGAUCACUUGGCAAAAAAGUCAUUAUACCCAUCACCCAAAUUAUAAUGUAAAACAAUAAUGUAUUCAUUCAUGUUAUUCAACCAUCAACUUAAUAAGAGUUUCUAUAAAAAAGAAAUGGGAUAACUCCUUGAAAUGAAAAAUAUGAUGUUAACGGAUACUGUAUUCAUCAUAUUAUUCAACCAUAACUUAAUAAGAGUUUCUAUACAAAAAAAAAGAUGGGAUAACUUGAAAAUGAAAAUAUGAACCAAAUUAAUCAGUUAGUUUUCUCUAAAGAGAACCAUCACAAAAUAUGUCCAGGUUCAAUCAUCACCACAUCCAUUUAUCAAUAAAAGAAGUUAUUUGAAAAAAACCUUAACAACACAGAUCAUACAUUAAACAUCAAUAUAUUAGAUUAACAUAAUGUCUAACAUAAAAAAAGUUAAGGCAGUCUCUCUUUUAAACCUUGAAAAAACUUUAAGUAUAAAAAAUAUACAUCCCUUGCAUAACGACUCCCGAACCCGAUUUGAUUGCGAUGACCAUUUCUUUUUGUUUUCCAUGGAUUUUAUAGAUAUUUUCCCUUUCCCUCUUUGGUAAUAAAUAAAAUUCGAUGGUGACUCUGUUUUGUUUAUAUUUUGAGUGUUCCUUACGCUCGGUUAUUUUUCAACGUUGCGACAGCUGGUGACUCUGCUGGGGAUUUCUCCUAAGCGAGUCCACCCUAGUUUAGUUUGUUUUGUCUUUUAGUGUUUGGCUUUUAUCUAUUUUUUUCUUCAUAUUGCUUUAUCUUUAUUUUCUUUAACGUAUGUAUUUCCAAUUGUUGUAUUAUUGUCAUAUGGUAUUGUUAGCUCAAAUUUUUUGACGGCUACUUCAAAUUACCAAAAUUGGAAAGCAUGUACAGUUGGUUUCGACUAAGAAGUGAUUCGACCAGCUGAGGGUAGACCGGCUUAGCUAUUGGAUAAAGAUUAAGCUUAUAGCUGAAAAUUUCAGAGCAGUUCCUUAGGGAGCAUUAGAAAACGGUUUCGAUCAGAGAUUUGAAAUUUAAAUAAAUGAGGGAAGAUUACCUUAUUAGAAACCGCGAGGAUACACGUGGAAAUAGAGUGAGCGAACAUACGCAUGCAGGGCGCCACGUGUAUGAACGUGAUUGAAGAACCAUCAGAGCGGUUAUUUCGACCCAGUAUAAAUAUAAGGUCUUAGUGUUAGAAAAAUGUGUGUCAAAUUAUGUAACAAAACCUACAAAUUUACUAAGUAUUCUUGUGAAGAAGAACUGUAAAAUGCAGAAUGUACGUUGUCUACACCAUUGUUUAAUCAUUUCAAAGCAUUAUAAAAGUUAUCUUUACUUUCACUUCAGAAACGUCUUUCCUUGUUCUUACUCUCAAACACUUUAUUUCUUACUUCGUCAUUUACAAGUUUAGAGAUCCUUAGUUUCCUUUCCUUACCUUGAACUUUUACCUUACAGUCUAAAAGAUCCAACGCUUACAAACCAUUUUGAUUAUUCUCAACCUUUUUACAAUUCCCGUCAUUUACUUCUUCUUUAAUAGUUCUAAAUACUGAUUUAAGAUUGUUCUUUUGUUCAGUCACUCUUUUGUCUUCAGUUUUUAUUUAAUGCUUUGAUCGACGUUUAGUUCGAUCAUUUAUUAACGUUACGUUUACGAGAAAUUUAGCACAUGUCCUAGGAUCAAUCUGAUCGAUCCUGUGAGUGACCAAAUUUAGAAAUUUGGAAGAUCAGCGGUUGUUUACCAUUUUUCAAGGUAAACAAAUUGGCAUGCCUAGUGGGACUAGUGCUAACGUUCUGUUUGAUUGCUAAGUUUUUGUUUGAGAAAAGAAUCGUUGUAUGCUUUUAAGAAGUGGUAAAAUUGCCAUAACGACGAACAAAGAAUAGGGAGAAAUCACGACGGGGAUGGCGAAUAUGAAUCCGCAAAACUCAGAUUCUCAAAACCCAUCAACUAGUAGCAUAGUGCCUUCUUCUUCUUCGGUGGGAAAAUACGGGCAUGACGCAUGCGUCCAAAAUAGUUUCGUCUAUGGUGAGUUUGAUGCCUAGUGCAUUCGAUCUCUCACUCUGAACCAAUUCUGACUUAUGUUGGACUAAGGGGACCUCCCUACACUCCUUUCACUGGUUAGGGACAUUCAAAUAGGUUGUUGGUACCCCUGGUUUUUCAAUACCAUUUAGCGUCGAGAACAGACGUAUGGAAUGCCAACUUUAAUGAUGGCCAAUCUACAAAAUAUGGUUUCUACUUUUUCGGAACCAACGACUAACAUAAAUUCACCAGUACAAGGGUCCGGGAUAAACGUGGGUCAAACCAAUCAGGCGUUAGGUUUAAGACAUCCAGUACAACUAGCCACUCUUACCAAUAAUUCUACGGCGACAUGGAGGAAAACAGAUGACGAAAGCAAUCAUGAAAUGGUCCAGAUGUUAACUCAACUUUGGCCACUGUGCUAAAUUCCUUUGAUUCAGAAUACAACUCAGUCGAAUCAACAAAUGACAGCACAAAUGGCUCGAAUGUCUGAGUUUCUUGGUAUACCUCAGCACCAGCGUCCCUGCCAAGGAUUAGGUAAGAGAGAAUCAAGAGCCCACGCUUGAGGAGGACCUCACCAUUAACCAGAUCCACAAAAUCAAGGGGGAAUAGUAGUACCUCCUAGGAUCGAACCACAUUUACCCAGGGAACCAAGGGUGUUAAUGGUAAAGAGGAAUCAAAAUGCUGAUGAUAUCAUACGGCAAGUUCGACAUGAUGAUGUGGCAUCGGAUAAUAAUCUACAGCUAUAGUCGAGAGAAUUAUGGUUCGAAAUGGGGUGAAUUUUGGUCUUAGAAGACCAAAUUAUACAUCACCUUUGGCAUAAUAUGUCUUACCGGCAAAUGCCCCCUGAGGACCAAAUCCCCAAAUUCACCAAGUUUGUCGGGGAUACACUGAGCCUACUGUCGAACACGUGGCGAGAUAUCUAAUUGAAGCUGGAGAUAUGUCAAAUAAUGGGAAUCUUCGGAUGAAAUUUUUUCAAGUUCUCUUACCAAGAAUGCUUUACAUGGUUCAACUUUGCCCCAGAAUUUAAUCCAUUCAUGGAACCAGCUAGAAAGAAUGUUCCAUGAAAAUUCUACAUGGGGCAAACAAAGAUAAGUUUGAAAGAGUUAGCUAGUGUCAGACGAAAAUUCACUGAGCCAACUGACGACUUGAAGGAGAAGUGCGGUCCAAAAUGCAACGGAAAUUAAAAUUUUUCUCCUUUAGAGAUCCUUACGAAUGGUCAUGAUAGUGAUAGAAUAUUACCUCUUGUGAUGAAUCGAAACCUUUGGUGGCAGAUCUCUUGUGACGAACAAAACCUUUGAUGCAGACCCACGAAACGAUCACGAACGUUGAACGAUGACAACGUCUCUACUCAGUCCACACGAACGGUUUCCUUCAUCUCAGUGCUAGCUGGUACGAAUGAAGGCUUUGAGUGAGAGAGAGAGAGAGUGAGAGAGGAAAACGAAAAUAAUGCAUCGCCAAUAAUGCUUCUGCACAAGGGUUCUAUUUAUAGAACCACUUGUGUGGGCUUCAAGCUAAAAGCCACUUAAGUGUAUUUUGCCCAUAUCUUAUAAUAUGCCCAAAAUCACUUAAGCCCAUGGUACCUUACCAUAUUUUCGUAUUUACUGCAAGCACACCGUAACGUUACGAUGUUCUAUAAUCCACUUAAGGGCACCGUACCUUACGGUAUUCCUUAGUUACUCUAUCUCUCAUCAAUCCGUCUUUGUGUGUGACCCUGUAGGUUUUUCGUGACGUUGGCAUUAUAUUAAAUCACGCAUUUAACAUAAUAAACAGUGAGCGGGUAUCUAGCAACACAUCACUGCUACCCAAGACACGAAAAUGUCAAGUGAUCUGACAAUUCCUUCUGUGAUAAUACUUAUGUUAUAAUUACCCUUUUGCCCUUAUGUCUAUAUUGAACACAAGGCAUAGACCGUGUCAUCCUUGUUCAGUUUAAUAUUGGGCCCAUAGACAUUUAUCCUGUUACCAGGAUGGGCAAAUUCCAUCUAGGACACUCAUGUCCCUCAGCAUGCUUUGUGGAGUACCAUCAACUGUCUUUAUGGUUAUCCAGUUACGGACAAAUGUUGGAUCAGCAAUAAAGCACUCGACUCUACAUCUAGGAUCCAUAGUGGUUUCAGGUCGAAGAGUGGAAUACACUAUUAUCACCAUGAGAAUAACUUAUGACACUUUGCAUAACUUUCUAUAUAGUAUUCUCAUAGCGGGUCAAUCCGAUAUAAAUAUUACUCCUAUAUAUUCAUACCUAUGUUUAAGACUUGAUAACUCUUUAUCCAUGAUCCAUGAGAUGUGAUCAUCAGUCUACAAACAUAAUAGUCUUAAUGCUUUAAUGUUAUCCCACUUCACACUAAAGCUCGACUACGGAUACUUUAGGAAUAGUGUCCUUAUGUUUAAUGUGUUCUCAUGAUUAGUCAACUUAAUACAUUAAACGGACAUAUCUAUUCAGGGACUUUAUUAAUCACCAUAAUAAGGAGAAAUGCCUUUUAUUAUUCGAUACAAGUACCAAAAUGUAUUGGCCUCUAGGGUUACACCAACAAAUCUCCAACUAGCACUAGAGCCAAUCAGGCAUACCCCGUAUGCCCAUUGAUCUAGUAUGGCCAUCAUGCUUCUGCCGCGCAAAGAGGCUUUGUCAGUGGGUCAGCUAUAUUGUCAAGUGUAGGUACUCUGCAUAUUUUCACAUCUCCUCUAUCUAUUAUCUCUCGAAUGAGAUGAUACGCCUAAGUAUGUGUUUGAAUCGUUGGUGAGAUCUAGGCUCCUUGCUUGUGCGAUAGACCAUUGUUAUCACAGUAGAGACCAAUGGGAUCCACAAUGCUAGGACUAUGCCAAGUUCACUAAUGAACUUUUUGAUCCAAACAGCUUCCUUUGCUGCACUUGAGGCAGCAAUAUCUCGGCCUCGGUUGUAGAAUCAGCAAACUGUAUCUUGCUUUGAACUUUUCCAGCUCACAGCGCCACCGUUUAAGCAAACACAUAACCAUAUUGCGAUCUAAAGUCAUCCUUAUCUGUCUGGAAGCUAGCAUCGUGGUAUCGCAAUUAAGCCAACUCUUCCUGACAAUCCAUAUAUCAAGAAUGAGUCCUUAGUCCUUCUUAAUACUUAAGGAUAUUCUUGACAGCUACCCAGUGAGCAUCACCAGGAUCAGAUGUACCUACUCGUUGCAACUCAAAGCAAUACGAGACAUCUGGUCGAGUACAUAAACAUGGCAUACAUAUAGAUCCUAUUGGCAGAUGCAUAUGGAAUCUUAUUCAUGCGAUCCUUUCUUCCUUAGUUAAAGGGAUUGUGUUUUUGAUAGACACAGGCCAUGUUGCAUUAGGUAUGAAUCCUUUCUUGGAAUCAUGCAUAUUAAAGCGUCUCACACUUUGUAUAUGUAAUGUACUCUGACUUAGGCCAAGCAGUUUUUGUGAUCUAUCUCUAUAGAUUCUGAUUCCUAAUAUAUAGGCUGCUUCACCUAGGUCCUUCAUAGAUAAGCAUUUCCCCACCCAAGACUUUGCUUGUUGGCAGGUAGGGAUAUCGUUUCCAUAGUAAUAUAAUACCAGGAAUACGAUCAUGCUCCCACUAACCUUUGUAGACACAAGGCUCAUCUUCGUUCAUUGAAUGAAUCCAUAUGUUUUACUGUUCAUCAAAACUGAAGAUCCAAUAGUAGUCACAAGCUCAAUCUUGAUCCAUGAUAAUAAUACAUCACCUUGUCAGCGAUAUCAAUAUAAUCUCAGGUAGGUGACGUAUCCUGUCUGACCUCGCUGUCGUUGUCUACUUGAGCAGGUUUGCUCUUACACAACUUCUUGUGUUCCUGCUGCUUAAUUUCCCCAUAGGUGUAUCCAAUGCUUUGUGACUUCCUGAAUUUCGUUAAGCUCUACUUUCCUCCACUGGUUCCUUUGGAAAUUAAAAUUCCUUUUCUAGAAAACUCCAGUUCGACGACAAACACUUUGCCCUCAGAAGGAUUGUUAGAAUUAUAAUACGCCUCUUGUUGCUUUAGGAUACCCCACAAAAGAAGCAUUUGUCAGAUUUGGGCUCAAGCUUAGGUUGAAAAUUGGCUCUUCACAUAAACCUCGCAACCCCCAAAUACCUUUAUGUAAGACAUAUGUGGUUUUCUUACCACUCCAAUAUCUCAUUAUGGUGUCUUAUUGACCUUUUGGACGGAACAUGGUAAGUGUGUAAGUGUAGUCAAAUAAGUGCAAUGUCGCAAAUGGAGUUGGAAGAUCAACUGACUCAAUCAUGAGAUUUAACUCAUUAGGUUUCAUCCUUUUAGUAUUAAAUUGUUAUAAGUUGGCAUAUGAGAUCAAGGACAUAUAGUCCAUUGCUCUACUGUGGCAGUACAUAGAAUGAUAUCAUUCAAAUAAAUUGAAGCAACAAUUGGUUCGUUUAUUAUAAAAUGAAAAGCCAAACUUUGUCCAACAAAAUGGAAAUAAUUAUUCCUGCUAAUUGAGAUACAAAUAACAGUUUCUCUAACUGAAUUAUAAAACCACUAAGUAAAGUUAAUAAGAUCCUACGGCUAAAGUAGCAACCUUUGCGUCCAUUGCAACUCGUAGGUCAACUCAGCCUUUUGCCCCAAAUCUCUACUUCCCUUUCCAGCCUACAACAUUUGUACAAUGUGAGAACGCGCCAUCCAAUAUCUAAUACCAUGAUGCAGGAAGUAGAUAAUGUAAAUAACAAAAUACCUGAAGUUGAAGUCUCUACUCCAUUCUUCGUAUCUCCACGGUACUUUUUGGGCAGUUUCUCUCAGUGUCCGUCUUACCCGCCAAUGAAGAGGUGUCUGCCUUUGCUAUGUCCUCCAACCUAGGCCGUCAAAGCGCAACGUGGUGUCUGGUUUGGCUAACUUCCCUUGCUCUUUCCCUUUAUCACCCUGCUUGGUGGGCCUUUUGUUCUGUCUCUUUCCAUUUCCGAUCAUGAAGAUGGACUUCCCUUUGACUUCAGAUUCUGCUCGGGGCAGUUCUUAACAUGGCGAGCUAGUUCAGGAAGAGAUUUUGUCCAUAUCAAUCAUAUUGAACAUUUGGACAAAUUGACUGAAACUAUCUGGCAACUGAUUGCAAGAUCAAAUUCAGUCGCAAGUUCCUUUUCGAGGGAAAAACCCAAUCUUCUCAAGGUUUUUCCCACAUACCCAAUCAUUCUUGAGUUACAGGGCGACCUACAGGGGCUCCUCAGCUUAAUGCUUUGGAAAAAGGGCUUUUUGACAACUUUUCAAAACCUCUCAAUGCCCUUGCUUGCUCUUGAUAGAGCAGGCUUCAGGUGUUCGAUCAAUAUUCGAACGCUGACAUGUUUCUCAUGUUGCUUUUGCAAUUCUGAGUUCAUGGUAGCCAGCAUGAGAGCAGCAAGUUUCAUUGCAUCAAUCGAAUGUUCUUAUAAGCAUCUCUUCUGCAUUAGGGUGCAGAAACUAGGAGGUUCUCUUCAGACAGGUGUCUCCAAGACAUACAAGCUUUUUAUUCAAUGUUGUGAGGACAAUCCUCAGGUUUCGGUGCCAAUCCAGAAAAAUUUGUCCAGGACAAUUUUUCUUUGUCAAGGAUUGAUCGCAAGAUGUUGUUAGAGGUGUUUGCUGUCAUGUUAUCUACAUAAGGAUUAAGAAAAUAUUAAGUAUCAUUGACAUAUUUAAAUUUAGGCUUUAAUUAAAUAUGCCACUUAUUUUUAAAACCUCAAAACAAAUGCCCUCAUUCAUUUGAUUCGGAAAAAUCCCGUUGAAGAUUUUCUAGUGGGUGAGAUCCAUAAUUUUCACUUCGUUCUAAGUCCAUACGUAGCGAUGUACACAAACUAGGUAUUUAGGGGUAAGGAACUCCUUUCCCAAUUGUUAUCUCAUACAACUCUCGAAAAUUUCAGUGGGUGAAUAAAUCCCUUAUUCGAAUCGCAUGCAUACUGAUUCAUUCCCAACUCUUUGCUUCUAAACAUAUUGAUAUUAUUAUAAUUAAGUUUGACCCAGUGUCUAGCAGUUGGAUAUUAAAUUAUCCAUCGCAACCUUUUUACUAAUAUGAACAUGCACCUCGCUUUGGGCGAAGACCUACAUUAUCCGCGAUACUGAGUCUUGAAUGAGUGCAAAACUUGGAAAGCAAACAUAUAUAAGAUAUCAUCAAUAUUGUUUAGUUAAGUUUUGACCCAUUGUUUUUAGGCAGUUUUGGAUAUUACAAUUAUCCCAAUCGCACCUAACUAAUAUAGAACAUGCACGCUCGCUUUGGCGAAACUACAUUAUCCGAUACUAGUGUCUUGAUGAGUGUCUAGAACUGGAAAGCAUAAACUUAAUAUUUUAGUUGAGGGAAAUUGCAAUUGUUAUGAAAUCUCACCGGCUUAUUUAUCAUCAUUAAUCGUCUCUCACAUGCAUCAACAUACAUUCACAUGCAUCACAUACAUACAAAAUGAAACCAGUUAAUGGCCCCAGCGCAAUUGGUUCUUCAUCAAGCCAAUGGAGAGAAACCUAAAGUUAACCUAAUAACGAUCCUAAGCUUCUCCAAGCAAGAUCUUCAAGGUUGGUCCUCCUUUAUAUUGAUAUUCUUUCUAAGCUUCUCCAACAAAGAAUCUUCAAGGUUGUCCUCCUUUGAUCUUGAAUCUUGCUCUUUCUUCAUACCAUUAUUCUCCUUUGAUAUGAAAUUCUUCUCUUUCUUCAUAAUCAAUUACAAUUUACACGAAGAAACUCGUUUUUACAUACGAGGGUUUUGGAUGAGAAAAGAAGUUUACAUUAAGCCGAUCAAAGAGGAGAAAGGCACGACACGCAGGUCUGAUUAAAAAACCCAAAAGUAAAAUAAAGAAAGACUAAGGCCAAUAACUGAUCACAACAAAGGCAAUAAUAACAAACACAUUAUUAUUAUUAAAUUAAUUUUAAUUCCUUUAAUUAAUUAAAACCAAAUUAAAAUUUCGGUUUUCGACCGAUCACACUAAUGCAGAAAUGUACGUUGUCUCCCAUUGUUUAAUCCAUUCAAAGCAUUAUAAAGUUAUCUUUACUUUCACUUACAAGACCGUCUUUCUUGUUCUUUACCUCAACACUUUAUUUCUUACUUCGUCAUUUACAAAGUUUAGAGAUCCUUAGUUCCUUUCUUACGCUGAACUUUUACCUUACAGUCUUAAGAUUCACACGCUUACAACCAAUUUUAUUAUUCUCAACCUUUUACAAUUCCCGGUCAUUUACUUCUUCUUUAAUUUAGUUCUAAUACUGAUUAAGAUUGUCUUUUGUUCAAGUCCACUCUUUUGUCUUCAAGUUUUGUUAUUUAAUGCUUUUGAUUCGACGUUUAUUCGAUCAUUUAUUAACGGUACGUUUUACGAAAGAAAUUUAGGCACAUGUCCCUAGGAUAAUCUGAUCGAUUCCUGUUCGAGUGACCCAAAUUUAGAAAUUUGGAAAGAUCAGCGUUGUUUACCAUUUUUUUCAAAGGUAAACAAUUGGCAGGCCUAGUGGGACUAUGCUAACGUUCUGUUUGAUUGGCUAAGUUUUUGUUGGAGAAAAAGAUAUCGCUUGUAAAUGCUUUUAAGAAGUGGUAANGUUGUAUGCUUUUAAGAAGUGGUAAAAUUGCCAUAAACGACGAACAAAGAAUAGGGAGAGAAUCACUGACGGGGAUGGCGAAUAUGAAUCCGCCAAAAACUCAGAAUUCUCAAAACCCAUCAACUAGUAGCAUAGUGCCUUCUUCUUCUUCGAUGGGGGAAAAUACGGGCAUGACACAUGCGUCCAAAAUAGUUUCGUCUAUGGUGAGUUUGAUGCCUAUGCAUUCGAUCUCUCACUCUGAACCAAUUCUGACUUAUGUUGGACUUAGGGGACCUUCCUACACUCCUUCACUGGUUAGGGACAUUCCAAAUAGGUUGUUGGUACCCCCUGGUUUUUCAAUACCAUUUAGCGGUCGAGAACAGACGUAUGGAAUGCCAACUUUAAUGAUGGCCAAUCUACAAAAUGUGGGUUCUACUUUUUCGGAACCAACGACUAACAUAAAUUCACCAGUACAAGGGUCCGGGAUAAACGUGGGUCAAACCAAUCAGGCGUUAGGUUUAAGACACCCAGUACAACUAGCCACUCUUACCAAUAAUUCUACGGCGACAUGGAGGAAACAGAUGGACGAAAGCAAUCAUGAAAUGGUCCAGAUGUUAACUCAAACUUUGGCCACUGUGCUAAAUCCUUUGAUUCAGAAUACAACUCAGUCGAAUCAACAAAUGACAGCACAAAUGGCUCGAAUGUCUGAGUUUCUUGGUAUACCUCAGCACCAGCGUCCCCUGCCCAAGGAUUAGGUAAGAGAGAAUCAAGAGCCCACGCUUGAGGAGGACCUCACCAUUAACCAGAUCCCACAAAAUCAAGGGGGAAUAGUAGUACCUCCUAGGAUCGAACCACAUUUACCCAGGGAACCAAGGGUGUUAAUGGUAAAGAGGAAUCAAAAUGCUGAUGAUAUCAUACGGCAAGUUCGACAUGAUGAUGUGGCAUCGGAUAAUAAUCUAGCAGCUAUAGUCGAGAGAAUUAUGGUUCGAAAUGGGGUGAAUUUUGGUCUUAGAAGACCAAAUUAUACAUCACCUUUGGCAUAAUAUGUCUUACCGGCAAAUGCACCCCUGAGGACCAACAUCCCCAAAUUCACCAAGUUUGUCGGGGAUACUACUGAGCCUACUGUCGAACACGUGGCGAGAUAUCUAAUUGAAGCUGGAGAUAUGUCAAAUAAUGGGAAUCUUCGGAUGAAAUUUUUUCCAAGUUCUCUUACCAAGAAUGCUUUUACAUGGUUCACAACUUUGCCCCAGAAUUUAAUCCAUUCAUGGAACCAGCUAGAAAGAAUGUUCCAUGAACAAUUCUACAUGGGGCAAACAAAGAUAAGUUUGAAAGAGUUAGCUAGUGUCAGACGAAAAUUCACUGAGCCAACUGACGACUUGAAGGAGAAUUGCGGUCCAAAACGCAACGGAAAUUAAAAUAUUCUCCUUUAGAGAUCCUUACGAAUGGUCAUGAUCAGUGAUAGAAUAUUUACCUCUUGUGAUGAUCGAAACCUUUGGUGCAGAUCUCUUGUGACGAACAAAACCUUUGAUGCAGACCCACGAAACGAUCACGAACGUUGAACGAUGACAACGUCUCUACUCAGUCCACACGAACGGUUUCCUUCAAUCUCAGUGCUAGCUGGUACGAAUGAAGGCUUUGAGUGAGAGAGAGAGAGAGUGAGAGAGAAAACGAAAAUAAUGCAACCGCAAAUUUUUGCUUCUGCACAAGGGUUCUAUUUAUAGAACCACUUGUGUGGGCUUCAAGCUAAAAGCCCACUUAAGUGUAUUUUGGCCCAUAUCUUAUAAUAUGCCCAAAAUCACUUAAGCCCAUGGUACCUUACCAUAUUUCGUAUUCUACUCAAGUACACCGUACCUUACGAUGUUCUAUAACUCACUUAAGGGCACCGUACCUUACGAUAUUCCUUAGUUACUCUAUCUCUCAUCAAUCCGUCCUUUGUGUGUGACCCUGUAGGUUUUCGUGACGUUGGCAAUUAUAUUAAAUCACGCAUUUAACAUAAUAAACAGUGAGCGGUAUCUAGCAACACAUCACUGCUACCCAAGACACGAAAAUGUCAUGUGAUCUGACAAUUCCUUCUGUGAUAAUACUUAUGUGUAUAAUUACCCUUUUGCCCUUAUGUCUAUAUUGAACACAAGGCAUAGACCGUGUCAUCCUUGUCCAGUUCAAUAUUGGGCCCAUAGACAUUUAUCCUGUUAUGCAGGAUGGGCAAAUUCCAUCUAGGUCACUCAUGUCCCUCAGCAUGCUUCGUGGAGUACCCAUCAACUGUCUUUAUGGUUAUCCAGUUACGGACAACGUUGGAUCAGCAAUAAAGCACUCGACUCUACAUCUAGGAUCCAUAGUGGUUUCAGGUCGAAGAGUGGAAUACACUAUUAUCACCAUGAGAAUAACUUAUGACACUUUGCAUAACUUUCUAUAUAGUAUUCUCAUAGCGGGUCAAUCCGGUAUAAAUAUUACUCCUAAUAUUCAUACCUAUGUUUAAGACUUGAUAACUCUUUAUCCAUGAUCCAUGAGAUGUGAUCAUCAGUCUACAAACAUAAUAGUCUUAAUGCUUUAAUGUUAUCCCACUUCACACUAAAGCUCGACUACGGAUACUUUAGGAAUAGUGUCCUUAUGUUUAAUGUGUUCUCAUGAUUAAGUCACACUUAAUACAUUAAACGGACUAUCUAUUCCAGGGACUUUAUUAAUCAACCAUAAUAAAGAGAAUGCCUUUUAUUAUUCGAUACAAGUACCAAAAUGUAUUGGCCUCUAGGGCUUACACCAACACGACUAUCUGAAUAGAUUUUGACUACUCAAAGCCAGGUGUUUUAUGCAAGUUCCAGAACAUGAGUUGGUCAAAAUGGCCGUUGGGGGCCUUGAUUACUCGAUUAGAAAGAAAUUGGAUACUCAAUACCUAAGGGAUAUGGCCUAGUUGGCUGACAGAGUUCGACAGGUAGAACGUUUAAAAGAAGAAAAGGCUAGAACAAACAAAGGUAAAAGGGUAGCGUAUGUCGAUUUUAGGAAAGAUCACGAAGAUUCAGGCUUUGGAGUUCCAGACUUCGACGAUACUGAGAUCGAUCUUGCUGAAUUGACACAUGGGCCACCAUAUGCAUGCAAAGUUUUGGCCCCUUCGAACAGGAGAAACCCUGUCGAACCUGAAAAGAAUGACAGGUUUCCUAAGAAAACAUAUACUUUCGACGUUAUGAAAUGUGACGAAAUUUUCGACCUACUAGUUAAAGAUGUUCAAAUGAUAGUACCUUCGGGUGCUAAAAUGCCUCCUUUAGAACAGAGAAAGAAACGAGGGUUUUGUAAAUACCAUGGUUUUUUGGGUCAUAAAAUGUCUCAAUGUUUUCUUUUCAGGGAUCUGGUGCAGAAUGCAAUUCAGGAGGGAAGACUCAAAUUCGGUGAUAAGCCACGGAGCCAGAUAAAAAUUGACUCUGAUCCUCUACAAAUUGUUGAAGAUCAUUAUACUGCGCGAGAGGAGGUGAAUUUCAUUGAAGUUGCUGAUGAUUUCUGUAUGAUCGAAGUUACUGAAGAGUUCGUCCAUGAGCCUGUCGUGGUUAAAGUACAUGAGUACUUCGAGCAGGCACCUCGUGAUGGUUUGGCCCUAAGGGGUACGGAGGACAUCGAGAAGGAAAAUGUUGAAGCCUCAGAUAUCGAGGAUGCUAGAAAUUCAAAGUUAGUAAUGAUCACUAAAGAGACUGCUGAUAGUUUCAUUCAGCUGGACAAGGCCACUGGCGGCCUUCAAAAACAAUUCCAAAAGUUGGCUAUUACUGAGGAUAUCCACAUGGAAGUUAAUAUGGUGGAGGUAUCUCGAGAGGUCUCAAUGGAAGUCAAUGAUGAAGGUAAGCAAGAGGAAUACAAUAAGGUCUCCUUUCCUGAGGAAGAAGAAACAUUGUCAGAUUUCCUUCGAAGGUGCCAAAAGAAGAAAUUGGAGGUGAUGUUAUGCCCCAGGUGAAGUGUUGUCUUCGACAAAAAGGCAGCUCAGAAUAUGGAGGGGGUUAGGAGAGUGAACCACCAAAAUGGCCAUAAAGCCAUCCAUAAUAAUCAAGCGGGUAAGCCAGAAAGGGUCUUUGAUCCCAGGAGAUAUCAUGAUCCUAGGCGCCCUAUGGUGAAGUUGAAUGAAACCAAACAAACUGGACGAAACUUCCAAUCCAUGACCUUUAAGCCAAGCAUGGAUGGGUCAGAUGGGAAGUGGGUCAAGCAAACUGAGGGGAGAAAACAUGGUCAUGGCAAGUGGCAGAAGUUCGAGGUUGAAAGAGGUUCAUCGUUGGCCUAUCGCCAAGAAUUCCGAUCUGACAAAAGGACCGCACAUGUGUCUGAAAACUAUAAAGGAAAGAAUCCCAUGACGAGGUCCCAGUGAAGAAGAGAACAGAGAAGGCGAGAAGCCAAAAAGAGAAGCUGGCGAAAUGGAUCAGGCUGAAUCAAGUACCAACGUAAUGGUGAAGAAAAAGGAUGGCUCUAACCUCACCAAAAGAGAUCCCAAGAUUUCAAACAAGACGGCCGGAGAAAAUCAGAUGGCUGCCGAAGACGAGUUAUUAACUGACAACUUCUACUCUGGUUCAGAGGAUUCCUUAAACAUUCUGGUCGGAGUGGUAUCCGUGAUGCCCAGAGAAUUCGAUCAGAUCACCGAAGUCGAUGAUAAUGAUAGUAUCACCGAAAGGCAAAUGGCCACCCACAAACCAGUUUGUUACUAUAUAAUGAAUAAUGGUUGUGUAGAGUGGUAUCCGUGAUGCCCAGAGAAUUCGAUCAGAUCACCGAAGUCGAUGAUAAUGAUAGUAUCACCGAAAGGCAAAUGGCCACCCACAAACCAGUUUGUUACUAUAUAAUGAAUAAUGGUUGUGUAGAAGAGCAUAAUGCUUUUUUCGAGAGACCUAGUGACACCACUAAGAGCCAUUUAAAACCCCUCUUCAUCACCGGAAAAGUCGAAAAUAUCCGAGUUAACAAAAUACGGGUAUAUUGUGGAGCGAUUGUGAAUCUAACGCCCCAUCGCAUGUUGGCGAAAAUUGGCAAAUAUGACACUGAUGCCAAACCUCAUAAUAUGGUGUUGACCAAUUAUGAAGGCAAAGUAGGCUCCAUCCUGAGGGAUAUCCAAGUUGAAUUGACUGUAGGAACGGUCACUAGGUCCACAAUGUUCAUGAUUGUAGAAACAAAGGCAAACUACAACAUGUUGUUCGGAAGAGAAUGAAUCCAUGGAGUCGGAGCAGUCCCGUCUUUGAUGCACCAGAGGAUUAUAAUUUGGCGUCCAGAUGGUAUUCUUGAAAUUAUAGAGGCGGAUCAGGGAUAUUUCAAAACCCCUGUUAAUCAUGUCGACAGACGCUAAUUCGACAAGCACUUAGCUACUAUAGCCCCAUGUGAUUCGGCUGAGUUUUCAUUCACCCAAGACGCUAAUUCGACAAGCACUUAGCUACUAUAGCCCCAUGUGAUUCGGCUGAGUUUUCAUUCACCCCUGAUGACAACGCCUAAUGUUCCUUAUCGCUCCACACCUACUGUGGUUUCCGGUGGGAUAGAGAGGUAGUGGGCGAAGACAACUUCGGAUAUUUAGGAGUAGCCGGAAUUGACCCCAUAGGGUGGGGAAGUGAAUUCAGUGAUGAUGACUGAGUUCGCAGUAUUAAAGAGGAUUUCGGCCUACAUAGCCGAAAAUAAGCAGCAAUUGGCCUUAGAGGCCGAAAUAAAAAACAUGGUUGUCGAAGCUAGUGAAGUUUCUCCACCAGUAGGUCCUGGAAAAGAUUUUGACCCAAUACCACCUGACGAAGGUCAAGACGAAGAGCGAAACCAGAGGCUUCACGCGAUCUAUGAUGACGAGCCUUUGGGUUUCGAGAAGGAUCCGCUAGCGACCAAUGUUAAGAUGCUUGCUCAAGAUCCCCUCGAAGAAGUAGACUUGGGAGAGAGGGUAAUAAAAAGGCCAACUUACAUUAGUGCCAACAUCCAUCCUUAACUCAAGAUCGAAGUGGUCCAGUUGCUGAGAGAGUUUAAAGACUGUUUCGCCAUGAGACUAAUGACGAAAAUUCCUGGUUUAAGCAGGAGAGCUGGUUCGAAUGUAAAAUUGUCGAUUAAACGCUGGGAAGAAGCCGGUGAAGCAAAAAUCCAAAUUUGCCCCAGCAAUAUUGUCGAAAAUCAAGGAGGAAGUUAAAAGACUUCUCCGUUGUAACUUCAUUCGUACUGCCAGGUAUGUCGAAUGGUUAGCUAACAUUGUACCAGUUGUAAAAAAGAAUGGCACGUUAAGGGUUUGCAUAGAUUUUAGAUAUUUGAAUACUACAACCCCAAAAGAUGAAUAUUCAAUGCCAGUGGCGGAAAUGUUGGUCGAUUCUGCCGCGGGUUAUGAAUAUCUGAGUAUGCCUGACGGGUAUUCUGGGUACAAUCAAAUAUUCACUGCCGAAGAAGAUGUCCCAAAAAUAGAAUUUCGUUGCCCUGGAUCCUUAGGUACCUAUGAAUGGUUAGUGAUGUCUUUUGGUUUGAAAAAUGCAGGGGCAACUUACCAAAGGGCGAUGAACUCGAUCUUCCAUGAUUUCAUAGAAACUUUUAUGCAAAUCUAUAUAGACGAUAUUGUUGUUAAGUCUAUUUCGGGAAAGAGUCAUAUAGAACACCUUCGAAUAUCUUUUGAACGAAUGAGAAAAUAUGGUUUAAAAAUGAACCCUCUAAAAUGGGCUUUUUGUGUGCAAGCUGGGGAUUUUCUAGGUUUUGUGGUCCAUAAAAAAGGGAUCGAAAUAAACUAGAAUAAAACCAAAGCCAUCAUGGAAGCAAAAGCGCCAUCAACAAAGAAAGGUCUGCAGUCACUGCUGGGCAAGAUCAAUUUCCUAAGAAGAUUUAUCUCAAACCUUAGUGGGAAAACGCAAGCAUUUUCGCCUUUGCUUCGACUCGACAAGGAAGUGUUCGAAUGGGGGCAAGCUCAGCGAGUGGCGUUUGAUAAGAUCAAACCAUACUUGAGCCACCCACCAAUUUUGACGCCAUCUUGUAGAAAUAAAAGUAUGAGAUUGUACAUAUCUGCAUCUGAUAAAACCUUAGGGAGCAUGUUAGCACAAGAGGAUGAUAAUGGUGUUGAAAUAGCUAUUUAUUACCUCAGUAUGGUUUUAAACGAUGCAGAAACUAGAUAUAGCAUGAUCGAAAAGUUGUGUUUAUGCUUAUAUUUCUCCUGUACAAAACUGAAGCAUUAUAUCAAACCUGUUGACGUGUAUGUUUCAUCUCAUCAUGAUAUUAUUCAACAUAUGUUAUCUAAACCAAUUUUGUAUAGUCGAAUUGGGAAAUGGGCAUUGGCAUUGACUCAAUUUUCCUUAACAUAUAUGCCAUUAAAAACCGUGAAAGGCCAAGUAGUAGCAGACUUCAUAGUUGAUCACUCCAUUGACGCCGACGCUUUAAACUAUGUUGAAUUAGGACCAUCGAAGCUAUACUUCGACGGAUCUAGCCAUAAAAAUGGCACAUGUGUCAGAAUUGUAAUUAUUUCUCCAAAUAAAAUUCCAACGACAUUCCAAUAUAAAGUAGAAGGCAUUUGUUCGAAUAACGAAGCUGAAUAUGAAGCCCUCAUAGCAGGACUUGAAAUGUUGUUGGAAUUGGGGGAAACUCGGGUCGAGAUAAUGGGAGACUCAGGGUUAGUCAUAAAACAGAUCACGAAAGAAUAUAGGUUGUUGGUACCCCCUGGUUUUUCAAUAUCAUUUAGCGGUCGAGAACAGACGUAUGGAAUGCCAACUUCAAUGAUGGCCAAUCUACAAAAUGUGGGUUCUACUUUUUCGGAACCAACGACUAACAUAAAUUCACCAGUACAAGGGUCCGGGAUAAACGUGGGUCAAACCAAUCAGGCGUUAGGUUUAAGACACCCAAUACAACUAGCCACUCUUACCAAUAAUUCUACGGCGACAUGGAAGAAACAGAUGGACGAAAGCAAUCAUGAAAUGGUCCAGAUGUUAACUCAAACUUUGGCCACUGUGCUAAAUCCUUUGAUUCAGAAUACAACUCAGUCGAAUCAACAAAUGACAGCACAAGUGGCUCGAAUGUCUGAGUUUCUUGGUAUACCUCAGCACCAGCGUCCCCUGCCCAAGGAUUAGGUAAGAGAGAAUCAAGAGCCCACGCUUGAGGAGGACCUCACCAUUAACCAGAUCCCACAAAAUCAAGGGGGAAUAGUAGUACCUCCUAGGAUCGAACCACAUUUACCCAGGGAACCAAGGGUGUUAAUGGUAAAGAGGAAUCAAAAUGCUGAUGAUAUCAUACGGCAAGUUCGACAUGAUGAUGUGGCAUCGGAUAAUAAUCUAGCAGCUAUAGUCGAGAGAAUUAUGGUUCGAAAUGGGGUGAAUUUUGGUCUUAGAAGACCAAAUUAUACAUCACCUUUGGCAUAAUAUGUCUUACAGGCAGAUGCGCCCCUGAGGACCAACAUCCCCAAAUUCACCAAGUUUGUCGGGGAUACUACUGAGCCUACUGUCGAACACGUGGCGAGAUAUCUAAUUGAAGCUGGAGAUAUGUCAAAUAAUGAGAAUCUUCGGAUGAAAUUUUUUCCAAGUUCUCUUACCAAGAAUGCUUUUACAUGGUUCACAACUUUGCCCCAGAAUUUGAUCCAUUCAUGGAACCAGCUAGAAAGAAUGUUCCAUGAACAAUUCUACAUGGGGCAAACAAAGAUAAGUUUGAAAGAGUUAGCUAGUGUUAGACGAAAAUUCACUGAGCCAACUGACGACUACCUGAAUAGAUUUUGACUACUCAAAGCCAGGUGUUUUAUGCAAGUUCCAGAACAUGAGUUGGUCAAAAUGGCCGUUGGGGGCCUUGAUUACUCGAUUAGAAAGAAAUUGGAUACUCAAUACCUAAGGGAUAUGGCCUAGUUGGCUGACAGAGUUCGACAGGUAGAACGUUUAAAAGAAGAAAAGGCUAGAACAAACAAAGGUAAAAGGGUAGCGUAUGUCGAUUUUAGGAAAGAUCACGAAGAUUCAGGCUUUGGAGUUCCAGACUUCGACGAUACUGAGAUCGAUCUUGCUGAAUUGACACAUGGGCCACCAUAUGCAUGCAAAGUUUUGGCCCCUUCGAACAGGAGAAACCCUGUCGAACCUGAAAAGAAUGACAGGUUUCCUAAGAAAACAUAUACUUUCGACGUUAUGAAAUGUGACGAAAUUUUCGACCUACUAGUUAAAGAUGUUCAAAUGAUAGUACCUUCGGGUGCUAAAAUGCCUCCUUUAGAACAGAGAAAGAAACGAGGGUUUUGUAAAUACCAUGGUUUUUUGGGUCAUAAAAUGUCUCAAUGUUUUCUUUUCAGGGAUCUGGUGCAGAAUGCAAUUCAGGAGGGAAGACUCAAAUUCGGUGAUAAGCCACGGAGCCAGAUAAAAAUUGACUUUGAUCCUCUACAAAUUGUUGAAGAUCAUUAUACUGCGCGAGAGGAGGUGAAUUUCAUUGAAGUUGCUGAUGAUUUCUGUAUGAUCGAAGUUACUGAAGAGUUCGUCCAUGAGCCUGUCGUGGUUAAAGUACAUGAGUACUUCGAGCAGGCACCUCGUGAUGGUUUGGCCCUAAGGGGUACGGAGGACAUCGAGAAGGAAAAUGUUGAAGCCUCAGAUAUCGAGGAUGCUAGAAAUUCAAAGUUAGUAAUGAUCACUAAAGAGACUGCUGAUAGUUUCAUUCAGCUGGACAAGGCCACUGGCGGCCUUCAAAAACAAUUCCAAAAGUUGGCUAUUACUGAGGAUAUCCACAUGGAAGUUAAUAUGGUGGAGGUAUCUCGAGAGGUCUCAAUGGAAGUCAAUGAUGAAGGUAAGCAAGAGGAAUACAAUAAGGUCUCCUUUCCUGAGGAAGAAGAAACAUUGUCAGAUUUCCUUCGAAGGUGCCAAAAGAAGAAAUUGGAGGUGAUGUUAUGCCCCAGGUGAAGUGUUGUCUUCGACAAAAAGGCAGCUCAGAAUAUGGAGGGGGUUAGGAGAGUGAACCACCAAAAUGGCCAUAAAGCCAUCCAUAAUAAUCAAGCGGGUAAGCCAGAAAGGGUCUUUGAUCCCAGGAGAUAUCAUGAUCCUAGGCGCCCUAUGGUGAAGUUGAAUGAAACCAAACAAACUGGACGAAACUUCCAAUCCAUGACCUUUAAGCCAAGCAUGGAUGGGUCAGAUGGGAAGUGGGUCAAGCAAACUGAGGGGAGAAAACAUGGUCAUGGCAAGUGGCAGAAGUUCGAGGUUGAAAGAGGUUCAUCGUUGGCCUAUCGCCAAGAAUUCCGAUCUGACAAAAGGACCGCACAUGUGUCUGAAAACUAUAAAGGAAAGAAUCCCAUGACGAGGUCCCAGUGAAGAAGAGAACAGAGAAGGCGAGAAGCCAAAAAGAGAAGCUGGCGAAAUGGAUCAGGCUGAAUCAAGUACCAACGUAAUGGUGAAGAAAAAGGAUGGCUCUAACCUCACCAAAAGAGAUCCCAAGAUUUCAAACAAGACGGCCGGAGAAAAUCAGAUGGCUGCCGAAGACGAGUUAUUAACUGACAACUUCUACUCUGGUUCAGAGGAUUCCUUAAACAUUCUGGUCGGAGUGGUAUCCGUGAUGCCCAGAGAAUUCGAUCAGAUCACCGAAGUCGAUGAUAAUGAUAGUAUCACCGAAAGGCAAAUGGCCACCCACAAACCAGUUUGUUACUAUAUAAUGAAUAAUGGUUGUGUCGAAGAGCAUAAUGCUUUUUUCGAGAGACCUAGUGACACCACUAAGAGCCAUUUAAAACCCCUCUUCAUCACCGGAAAAGUCGAAAAUAUCCCAGUUAACAAAAUACGGGUAUAUUGUGGAGCGAUUGUGAAUCUGACGCCCCAUCGCAUGUUGGCGAAAAUUGGCAAAUAUGACACUGAUGCCAAACCUCAUAAUAUGGUGUUGACCAAUUAUGAAGGCAAAGUAGGCUCCAUCCUGAGGGCUAUCCAAGUUGAAUUGACUGUAGGAACGGUCACUAGGUCCACAAUGUUCAUGAUUGUAGAAACAAAGGCAAACUACAACAUGUUGUUCGGAAGAGAAUGAAUCCAUGGAGUCGGAGCAGUCCCGUCUUUGAUGCACCAGAGGAUUAUAAUUUGGCGUCCAGAUGGCAUUCUUGAAAUUAUAGAGGCGGAUCAGGGAUAUUUCAAAACCCCUGUUAAUCAUGUCGACAGACGCUAAUUCGACAAGCACUUAGCUACUAUAGCCCCAUGUGAUUCGGCUGAGUUUUCAUUCACCCAAGACGCUAAUUCGACAAGCACUUAGCUACUAUAGCCCCAUGUGAUUCGGCUGAGUUUUCAUUCACCCCUGAUGACAACGCCUAAUGUUCCUUAUCGCUCCACACCUACUGUGGUUUCCGGUGGGAUAUAGAGGUAGUGGGCGAAGACAACUUCGGAUAUUUAGGAGUAGCCGGAAUUGACCCCAUAGGGUGGGGAAGUGAAUUCAGUGAUGAUGACUGAGUUCGCAGCAUUAAAGAGGAUUUCGGCCUACAUAGCCGAAAAUAAGCAGCAAUUGGCCUUAGAGGCCGAAAUAAAAAACAUGGUUGUCGAAGCCAGUGAAGUUUCUCCACCAGUAGGUCCUGGAAAAGAUUUUGACCCAAUACCACCUGACGAAGGUCAAGACGAAGAGCGAAAGCAGAGGCUUCACGCGAUCUAUGAUGAUGAGCCUUUGGGUUUCGAGAAGGAUCCGCUAGCGACCAAUGUUAAGAUGCUGGCUCAAGAUCCCCUCGAAGAAGUAGACUUGGGAGAGAGGGUAAUAAAAAGGCCAACUUACAUUAGUGCCAACAUCCAUCCUUAACUCAAGAUCGAAGUGGUCCAGUUGCUGAGAGAGUUUAAAGACUGUUUCGCAUGAGAGCAUGACGAAAUUCCUGGUUUAAGCAGGGAGCUGGUCGAAUUAAAUUGUCGAUUAAACCUGGGAAGAAGCCGGUGAAGCAAAUAAUCCAAGACAAUUAGCAAUAUUGUCGAAAAUCAAGGAGGAAGUUAAAAGACUUCUCCGUUGUAACUUCAUUCGUACUGCCAGGUAUGUCGAAUGGUUAGCUAACAUUGUACCAGUUGUAAAAAAGAAUGGUACGUUAAGGGUUUGCAUAGAUUUUAGAUAUUUGAAUACUACAACCCCAAAAGAUGAAUAUUCAAUGUCAGUGGCGGAAAUGUUGGUCGAUUCUGCCGCGGGUUAUGAAUAUCUGAGUAUGCCUGACGGGUAUUCUGGGUACAAUCAAAUAUUCACUGCCGAAGAAGAUGUCCCAAAAACAGAAUUUCGUUGCCCUGGAUCCUUAGGUACCUAUGAAUGGUUAGUGAUGUCUUUUGGUUUGAAAAAUGCAGGGGCAACUUACCAAAGGGCGAUGAACUCGAUCUUCCAUGAUUUCUUAGAAACUUUUAUGCAAAUCUAUAUAGACGAUAUUGUUGUUAAGUCUAUUUCGGGAAAGCGUCAUAUAGAACACCUUCGAUAUCUUUUGAACGAAUGAGAAAAUAUGGUUUAAAAAUGAACCCUCUAAAAUGGGCUUUUUGUGUGCAAGCUGGGGAUUUUCUAGGUUUUGUGGUCCAUAAAAAAGGGAUCGAAAUAAACCAGAAUAAAACCAAAGCCAUCAUGGAAGCAAAAGUGCCAUCAACAAAGAAAGGUUUGCAGUCACUGUUGGGCAAGAUCAAUUUCCUAAGAAGAUUUAUCUCAAACCUUAGUGGGAAAACGCAAGCAUUUUCGCCUUUGCUUCGACUCGACAAGGAAGUGUUCGAAUGGGGGCAAGCUCAGCAAGUGACGUUUGAUAAGAUCAAACCAUACUUGAGCCACCCACCAAUUUUGACGCCAUCUUGUAUAAAUAAAAGUAUGAGAUUGUACAUAUCUGCAUCUGAUAAAACCUUAGGGAGCAUGUUAGCACAAGAGGAUGAUAAUGGUGUCGAAAUAGCUAUUUAUUACCUCAGUAUGGUUUUAAACGAUGCAGAAACUAGAUAUAGCAUGAUCGAAAAGUUGUGUUUAUGCUUAUAUUUCUCCUGUAAAAAACUGAAGCAUUAUAUCAAACCUGUUGACGUGUAUGUUUCAUCUCAUCAUGAUAUUAUUCAACAUAUGUUAUCUAAACCAAUUUUGCAUAGUCGAAUUGGGAAAUGGGCAUUGGCAUUGACUCAAUUUUCCUUAACAUAUAUGCCAUUAAAAGCCGUGAAAGGCCAAGUAGUAGCAGACUUCAUAGUCGAUCACUCCAUUGACGCCGACGCUUUAAACUAUGUUGAAUUAGGACCAUCGAAGCUAUACUUCGACGGAUCUAGCCAUAAAAAUGGCACAGGUGUCAGAAUUGUAAUUAUUUCUCCAAAUAAAAUUCCAACGACAUUCCAAUAUAAAGUAGAAGGCAUUUGUUCGAAUAACGAAGCUGAAUAUGAAGCCCUCAUAGCAGGACUUGAAAUGUUGUUGGAAUUGGGGGCAACUUGGGUCGAGAUAAUGGGAGACUCAGGGUUAGUCAUAAAACAGAUCACGAAAGAAUAUAGGUGUGUUAAGGAGAAUCUGAUCAUGUAUUUUAUAAUCGCCAGUCGAUUGUUAAAAAAGUUCGAAAUGGUUUAUAUUCGACAUAUACCACGAAUAGAGAACAUGAUAGCUAAUGACCUGGCCCAAAUUGCAUCUGGGUAUAAAAUUUCAAAAGAAAAUUUGCACAAAGUCAUAGAACUCAGAGGAAAGGUGUUGGCAACCAGAUUAACUCCCUUGGAUUUAGAAAAGACAAGAUUAGGAUGUGCUGAUGAGGGAAAUUUUGAAAUAUUGGCGAUAGACAGUUUGGAAGAUGAAGACUUGAGAAAGCCAAUAGUAGUAUACCUACGGAAUCCCACAGCCUCUACUGAUUGAAGAACCAGGUAUCAAGCAUUGAGUUACGUUCUUUUGGGUUCAUAGUUGUUUAAGAAAUCUCCCGAAGGAAUUUUGUUGAAAUGCCUUAGUGAGUCAGAGGCAUACUUUGCCCUUUCAACUGUGCAUAAUGGAACAUGUGGGGCACACCAAGUCGGUCAUAAGAUGAAAUGGAUUUUAUUUCGACAAGGAGUGUAUUGGCCUACUAUGUUGAAAGACUGCGUUGAACUCGCGAAAGGAUGUCAAGAGUGCUAGGUGCAUGUAGGCAUACAACAUGUCCCUGCAAGUGAGUUACAUUCUAUCAUCAAACUAUGGCCAUUUAGAGGUUGGGCUUUGGACUUGAUCGGAGAAAUUUGACCUCUCUCAUCGAAAAGUCAAAGAUACAUAUUGGUAGGAGUUGAUUAUUUCACAAAAUGGAUUGAAGCCAUACCCUUACCAAAUGUGAGCCAACAGGAUGUGAUCGAGUUCAUUCAAAAGUAUAUUAUUUAUAGGUUUGGAAUUCCAUAAACAAUCACAACGGAUCAAGGAUCAGUAUUUACUGGUCGGAAAAUGCAGGAGUUCGCCCCGGACAUGGGUUUCAAAUUGUUAACAUUGACACCCUAUUAUGCUCAGUCCAAUCGACAAGUCGAAGCUUCCAAUAAGGUUAUCAUUGGUUUGAUUAAAAAAUAUGUAGGGAAGAAACCUAAGAAUUGGCACAAGACUCUGGACCAAAUUUUAUGGGCAUGUCGUAUGUCCCCUAAAGAGGCUACUAAGUCGACCCCUUUUCGCCUAACUUUUGGCCAUGAUGAUGUCUUGCCAUUAGAAAUCCACCUACAGUCCCUAAGGAUUCAGAGACAACAUGAGAUCCCCGCGGAAUCAUAUUGGAGCAUGAUGUUGGAUGCAUUAGUCGAUUUGGACGAGGAAAGGUUAAGUGCCUUAGAAUUACUAGGGCAACAAAAGAAAAGGAUAGAAAUCUCUUAUAAUAAGAAAGUGAAAGUUAAAAGCUUUACGCCUAGAGAUUUGGUCUGGAGAGUGAUCCUUCCAAUGGAUCGAAAAGAUAGAGCCUUGGGGAAGUGGUCCCCAAAGUGGGAAGGCCCUUUCCAAAUUCUGCAGAUCUUUUCUAAAGGUUCCUAUGAGAUUAAAGACCUCGGUGAAGAUAGGAGGAUUCUAAGAGUAAACGGUAAGUAUUUGAAAAUAUACAAACCGACGAUCCAAGAAAUAAAAAUAAGAGACGACUAAUCGCGUAAGUAAAGCAAAAUCCAAAAUGGUCAAAAUGCCAAAAUGGUAAUAAUAAAGUCAUAAGGCCAAAAGACCAAUAUUCAUUACAAGGGAUAAAUUGUGUUACAUCACCAGACAACUAAGAAUAGCAUUAAAAGGGAAGAUUGGCUUUAAUCUGAAGAUACUUGGCUUUGAGGAGCUCCAGCCAUUUUUCGAACAAAGAUCUUUUUGAGCGCAGGAGUUUGACGUCAGAUUCAAGUUGUCGAGCUUCCUCGACAAACUCCAUGCCAAGUGAUAGAUCUUUAUCCAUCAAAGCAUCGUCACAUUCCAACAUUUGUUGCUUGUCCUUUUCAGCAUCAGAGAUUUUGGCCUGUAGUUAUGAUAUUUGCUGUCUCUAGGAAGCGAUGUUAUGAUCAUGAGCAUCGACCUUCUCUUUAUUCUUUUGCUUGGUCUGUUCCGAAUCCAUGUCCUUAUUGGUAUAUUUGGUAGCAGCAUCCCAAGUUGCAGCCUCAGAACCAGAUUUUUUUCUCUAUUUAUCCCGUGAGGUGAGGUAGCAACUUGUGAUCUGCAACAACUUGGUCGAUCAUGGUCAAUAUCUCCAGAAUAACGUUCGCCAUUUCAGGGGAGGCUUCUAGCAAGUCAACCUGUCUAAGAGCUUUCAGAGUUAAAGGGGCAGAAGGAUCAGCCAGCAGCAAGAGACAUAAGUCACCCUUAAAGACUUUGUCCUUGAUUUUAGAAAGGAUGUCGCCCGCGGGGUGCUCGAAGGCUGAUCUUCUGACACUGAAGUGUUAUGACUCUGAUCAGAAGACCUCUCCCUACAAUUUAGCAUUGCCUUUAAAUACUCCAGGUGUUGACUUCGCUUUAAGAUAGCCAACUUUUCUACAGAAAGAGCACCAAUUCUACUGGACGAAAUGUCAAUCGUCGGAUUGUCAACCAUUGCAGGGGUUUGAGUUCGAGCAUGUUCUUCACCCACAUUCGCUCUUCCUUCUGUUUGGCCCUCGACGUUAUCAUGGUUAGUCGCCAGAUUUCCUUCAGCCGCUUCCUAUACCACCAUGUCUUCGAUGCCCCAUCCUUCGCCCUGAGGCUCACUCAUUUUUGCCGCUGUGUGUAGACCAGCCCCGGGGGUUUCCUCAUCCUCAUCUAGUUCAUCCUCAGCCAUAGGGAUUAGACUACCUUGGGCCUCAUUUUCUUCGCUCGAGUCAGUAUCAUGACCAAAGUCACUGGUAUGAGAAUGUUGAGUAAUGGUUUUUGGUGGCGAAGCGUCGGGAUUACUAGUUGGUGGUUGAUUAAUCUCGCUCAUGGACCCCUUUUCAGAGGAUGGUCGAUAGGUAGGUUCGUCAGCGUUGUUCAAAACAUCUGGCACAGAGGCAGGCUUGGAGGAAGCAUCUUUCUUGGGAAGAAUAAUAGUGAUUGCGCCACCCUAAAAUCAAUACAAGUAGAAGGUGUAAAUGACUAACAGAAGCAAACAAGUGAAAUAAAGUGAAGAGGAGUGGGUGGUACCUUAUAACCUUCGACCCCGGGGCUAGAAUUGUCGCUCUCACUUUGAGCCGCUGCUACUCUUGCCAUUUCCUCAGGAGUAGGUUCUUGGAAAACAAGCGCAGCAGGCCUUUUUUUUAGAGUUUUGUGUUUGUUUGAUUCGAAGGAUCGAUGGAUUUCAGCUGUGGCUUCUUCUUCCUCGAAGUGAGAUCCAGAACAGGCGACAUGUCAUCUUCGUCAGAAUCCACGGCGAUGGAGUAGCAGUGGGUUUUUGGAUUUGUAAGGGACUCACCGGAGGUUUUCAUGCAACCUGAACCAAACAUUAAAUGUUAUAUCAUCAAUGUAUAACAAGGAUAAAGGAACAAAGAAAGAGAGGUACCUUUGCAGGUUUGCUACUUCCUUCAACCUUCGAGUCGAUGGGUCUUUUGUUAGUGUGUUUUCUGGGGAGGAUCUUGAUAGCUAGACAAAAACAAGAAGAAACUGUCAGCGUUAGUUAAAAGCAAGUCAAAGGGAAUCUACUUCAAGGGAAGUCCCCUGUAUCACACCUUCAUAUAUGUCUGAUUCGAUUCGAACAUCUUCGAUUCCUAUAUGAAGGUGCCCUUUGAAACUGCCUAAAGUGUGUUUAGUCGCAACCACCCGCUGAGCCUUUUUCUAAGAUUGUUGUCGAAGGAUUUUAAUAGAGUCUCCACAAAUGAACCAAUCUGGAAAUGGGGGUGCAAGAGCCACUCCGAAGUCAGCAUUUGGCAGUGGAGGAAAAUUUGGGGGAAAUAGUUCAAGAGCCAUUUCAUAGCGUUUCUCGCGAGGAACGUAUGAGGGAAUCUUUAAAGUUUCCAUUUUCUUUGAGCGUAACAGCUGCUUUGCGGAUGGUUCGACUAAGAUCAUCAGGUCGAUAGGCAGUUUCAAAGUAGUUUUUAAAAGCUUGGAUUUCUUUUAUAAGCGUAUAAGUACCUUUCUUGGUCUUUUCCUGCACACGGAUAAAAGCUUUGUCAAAAAAUUGAAUAAAGGAAGUAACAUCGCAGAAUUCCUCGAUGUAAUACUUGGCCCACCACUUCCCAAAUUCUCGAAUACAAAGGAAGCUAGGCUCGAAAUGAAAUGGAGACAACUGGUUCCUACCAAUAUACUUGGCUAUUUAUUUGAAAGUCGUGGUUUCAGUAUGAACGGCAUUGUGAAGGAGGAGGCUACUCUUCUUGUCGUAUAGGCACUUCGGGAGGACCUGGACCAACCCAAAUUAUCGAGCAACAAGGUUGGGCUGGUAAGUUAUCAGUGUGACCUGGACUUUCGAAGGGUUACAUCGAAGGGUAAGGAUCUGAGGCGUCAAGAAGGCUUCCUAAAUUAGCAAGGAUUCUGUCUCUUGCUUUUUAGAUGAAGAAGGAAAAGUCCUGGUAAACCACCUAGGGCCAACUUUCCUAAGAGCGAAGGGAUCCAUACUCGAAUUAAAAGUAUGACGUUUAGCGAACAUCAUGAUGUAACUCAUGAAGGUUGGUUGGAGAGCCUGUCUUUCGUCCCUGGGGGUUAGUUGAGCUAACCUGGGUCCUUCGACCCUCCUAUGUCGGAUUGCUUCAGCAUCUUCGUCGACGAGGCCCUUGCUGGGCAGAUUGGCCUUGAAAGUGGCAUUUAGCCAAAGUUGUAAUAACCAAAAAGGGCCAGACAACAGAAGAUUCCCUUUGUCCCCCAGAUUCUUUAGUUGAGCCACUUCGUCGCUCAAGGAUUCGUACAGGCUAGCCAAAAUCAUCUCACUUAAGCAGACAUCAUGCCCCCGCAUGCAGUUGGUUAGCCAGAAAAGCUAUAUGUUCCACGUCAGAGACAAUUUCAGUGUCUUUAUCAUGGUAGUGGGCUAUAUGUGUUGAAUAUGAUGCUCUUGUAGUCUAAAAGGCAAUAGUAUCCAUGGAGUCAACAUCGGAAUUGUAGGUGUGGCCAGUGGGUUUCAGCCCUGUGAUAGCGGCCAUGUCAAAAAGAAUGGGUGUGACCAUUACACAAGGAAGAUGGAAGGUAUAGUGUGUGUUGUCCCAUAAGUACAGCGAAGAAACUAACAUAGGGUUAGUAUAAUCCAAAUCCAAUUUCGACAGCAUAAUAAGGUCGUAUAUCCCUAUAUCUUUCCAAGCUUGAGAUUUUUGUUUCUCUAUUUUGUUUAACCAAUUGGAAUAAUCAGUAGGAUCUUUGAAAGUUGGGGUGGCACGAAAGGCUCUAAAACCAUUGUUCAUAAAGCUCAAAUCUAUAGUGUUUUCAGCCUGGGUGUUUUCGGAAGAAGAAGUCCUAGGGUUUCUAACUUGUCUUAUGGGUUUGCAUUUAUGGUAAGACGGAAAAAACUCUCUAAGCUUGCUGGUAUCAGUGUAUAAAUCUGUUAAAGGUCCAGAUAAGGCAUAAGUUUUAUUAGAGACAGAAACAGGAAUGAGUACCUGAGAAGCAUAAAUAUGGCGAUGUUCCUCUGUCUGAGGUUCUGGUAGGUACUACGAUUACCAACUGCAAGGGGGCGGAUAAAGUAGCAAAUGGCGGAAGUUCAAAAAAUUUCUUCGGGGCUUUAGACCUAUUGGAAGUAGUUUUGAAAGAAACUCUUGUUCCCUUGAGAGAUUUGUUUGAAGCAUCCAUCGUUAAGGUUUAAAAAAAAGUGAAAUCUGGGUUUCAGUUCGAAGGGAUUGGGAGGAAGGAAGGUUUGAACACUUGAAAAUUCAGAGAAUGUGAGAAAAGUUCUGAAAUGGGUAAGUAAUUGGGUUUUAUAGGCCUAUAAGGAGACGUUUCAAAUAAACAUUAAUGGUAGACAAGUUAAUGGUACACGUGUAUCCCUUGGGCAGUGUAGUGAAAAUGGCAAUUAAUGUUAUAGCCAUGAUUUCCUAGAAGCUAGGAAACGUGAUGAGUGAAAAAGAUUCCGUUGUAAGCUGAAAAGACGUGGGUAGGAAAAACAAUGAUGACACUGACGUCACCAGACAAGUGGAGGAACUAAAAAGUUUUUCCAACAUUGAGACACGUGGCAGUAUCAGCCAUUGAGGCGUCGAAGUAAGGUCUCAAAAAAUGUCUUACUCUCUUGUGUGUCGAAAAUGACAUUUUUGGGGGGCAAUCUGUUAGCUCAAAUUUUCGACGCCUACUUCAAAUUACCAAAAUUAGAAAGCAUGUAUAGCUAGUUUCGACUAAGAAGUGAUUCGACCAGAUGAGGGUAGACCGGCUUAGCUGAUUGGAUAAAGAUCAAGCUUAUAGCUGAAAUUUAUGAGCAGUUCCUUUGGGAGCAGUUAGAAAACGGUUUCAAUCAGAGAUUUGAAAUUUAAAUAAAGGAGGGAAGAUUACCUUCGUUAGAAACCGUGAGGAAACAUGUGGAAGCAGAGUGAGCGAACAUACGUAUGCAGGGCGCCACGUGUAUCGACGUGAUUGAAGAACCAUCAGAGCGGUUAUUUCGACCCAGUAUAAAUAUAGGGUCUUAGUGUUAGAAAAAUGUGUGUCAAAUUAUGUAUAAAAAACCUGCAAAUUUACUAAGUAUUCGUGUGAAGAAGAAUUGUAAAACGCAGAAUGUACGUUGUCUACACCAUUGUUUAAUCAUUUCAAAGCAGUAUAAACUUAUCUUUACUUUCUCUUCAGAAACGUAUUUCCUUGUUCUUUACUCUCAAACACUUUAUUUCUUACUUCGUCAUUUACAAGUUUAGAGAUCCUUAGUUCCUUUCCUUACCUUGAACUUUUACCUUACAGUCUUAAAGAUUCCAGCGCUUACAAACCUUUUUGAUUAUUCUCAACCCUUUUACAAAUCCUGUCGUUUACUUCUUCUUUAAUAGUUCUAAAUACUGAUUUAAGAUUGUUCUUUUGUUCAAGUCACUCUUUUGUCUUUAGUUUUUAUUUAACGCUUUGAUUUGACGUUUAGUUUGAUCAUUUAUUAACGUUACGUUUACGAGAAAUUUAGCACAUGUCCUAGGAUCAAUUUGAUCGAUCUUGUGAGUGACCAAAUUUAGAAAUUUGGAAGAUCAACGAUUGUUUAUCAUUUUUCAAGGUAAACAGGUAUCACUGGAGCUCUUUGAUUAUUGGCAUUGUGUGAGGAAAAGCUCUAUACCCAAGCUAUGAGAAAAACUUAAGUUAGGGUGGUGGUUGCAUAGUAUUGACCUGCGAGACAUCGAACUCAUUGGGUUGAUGCGAGAACCCCACUCGAAAGAGAUCCCUUGAAAGUAUUAUUUUCUUAUGAUUAGUCAUUCUGACGGUGAUAUUUUCAACCCCGACCCAUGAUUUUGAGGACCUUUUGUAGAACCCUGAACCUAUGGCUUUUAGGAACGAUGGUUAUGUAGUGUUGACCUACGAGACUUAGGACUCAUUGGUUUGAUACGAAGACCUUUCUCAUAAUAGAUCCUUUUGAGGAUAUUAUGGUCUUAGAAUCAUUCGUUAUGACGAUAGUAUCGUCAUAUGGGAUUCGUGACUCUAGGAAUCGUGUCUAGAACCGUGGAGUCGGUGGUUGUAUAGUGUUGAACUACAAGACUUAGGACUCAUCAGGUUGAUGUGAAGACCUCACCUAGAAUAUAUGCUCUUUAAGAUAUUGUUGUGUUACGAUUAGUGUAAGACCCUAAUUUUUACCCCAAGAUCCCUCAUGGCAUCAUAUCAUUGCAUUUUGCAUCUUGCCUCAAGGAUCAUAGCAUCUUGGCUCCUUACCUUUGGGUGGGAACAUUUGUGAGUUGGUUUGAGACCACCAAGCAUGCUUGAAUUGUAUAUUAUUGCGUUUCUUAUUUUGUUUACUAACCAAAAGCACAAAAAUAUGUCACUAACUUCUUUUGUUUUGUAGCUUGAGCAAUCAUAAGAUCUAAGGCUCCUAGGAGACCCUAUGCUCAUUGAUAUGACCAGGUAGAGGUGAAAGUAAGCAUGACAAUGGUUCACAAAGAUCUAAUUUAUCAUAUAUGCCUCCCAAGUAUCUCAAUUUGUCAAUUUGAUCAAAGCAAACCAAAGGGCUUGAGGAUUGUUUCCCAAGGAAACCCUAAUUCAUCUGUGCAUCAAUUGUGCCUUGCUCAUGAAGCAACAAUUUGAUCAAAGCAAACCAAAGGGCUUGAGGAUUGUUUCCCAAGGAAACCCUAAUUCAUCUGUGCAUCAAUUGUGCCUUGCUCAUGAAGCAACCUCAACCCAUGAUCAAAUACAAUCAAGGGAAGUUAUUUAAUUCAUCAUUUCAUGCAUAUUUGAGCUUAUUUGAGUGUCCUCAAUCAUCAAUUCAUCAAGGUUUGAGGUAUGGACUUGAGAAGUUGAUCAGUCAAUUCAUCUAACUAUUUUGAAUUACAAUGAGACCUAACUUUUAAUGUGUUUGUCAAAUGAAGAUGACCCCAAGUGAAAAACUUUUCUUAAGAACCAUAUGAACAACUUUCAUGUUCAUCAAAAAUUUAUUUGAAGCUUGGAAGGUCAUCAUUCAUUUCAAAACAUUAUAGGUCAUUUUGAUUGAAACCCUAAUUUUGGGGUCAACUUCCCAAGGACAUAAUUCCUUCAUAUUAUAUGAUUUUUGGGUGGGAUCAAAUGAAUUGGAAAUUUUAAGCUGUCUAAUUCAUUUGUUAUGUUGAACAAAUGUUCAUAAUCCUAAAAGAAACACAUGUAAUAAUACAAAACAUUAUAGGUCACUUUGGACCAAAGGCAUUGAAAUGUGAAAAGGUCCAACUUCAAGUGCCCAUAACUUUCUCAUCAAAAAUCCAAAUGAUGCAACAUUUGAGUCCAAAUUGGUUUUCUUGAAAAUAUCUACAACAUUUAUGUUUAAGGUUUUGUCAUUUGGAGCUUGCAUCAUUGAAACAGAAGGGCUUGAAGUUGGUCCAUUUUGGAAAUUUUCACAUGCACAUGUUUUGCACCUUGAACUUUAUGACCUAUUUUCACUAAUUUCCCAAUUCCAAAUGAAGUUUUUCUCAACAUAACAAUUUAUCCUCAUGUCAAGACCUUUCCAACCAGUACCCACAAGGCCAUGUUUCAUUUUGGUAAGGGCUAGUUUCGAAGAAGAGAAGAUUUUGGUGCAAUUAUGGAAACCAUUUGAAAACUUCAUGCACACUCCAAAUCAAUUGCAUGUACACGACCAAUUCACUUUUUUUACAUCUGAACACUCAUUUGGCAUUGAAUUUGGGCCCUCCAUGCGCCUGUACAGGCCCAUGCAUGGAGGCCCUCUUCACUCAUGCACAUGAUUUUCCCAUGCUUCCACCUUGCCUUGCUAUAAAUACAUGAGCUCAACUUCACUAUUUUCCAACCUGAAGGCGCCUGAUAUGCUGCAAAAUUGAAUCCAUAACCUCACAUAAAGGAAUUUCUCUCUUUCACUUUCAAUUUUCAUAUCCAAAUUUCAACCUCCUUGGUGUCAUACCCCGAUUUUGCUCCUGAAUUUUUUUAUGUUUGUUUGGCAUACUUGGCCUGACCUUGCUUUGGUUUUAUAUGAGGAUUGGUUUUGAUUCAAAGUCAUGGUGUUGUGAUUGUGGGUGCAUCCAUGGUCUGGGUAUCUGAACAACCAAGUUUCUUGUGUUUCUAGCCACUUGCCCAGUCGUGUUUUUGGUUCAUGAUAUUCCUUUCAAGCCCUAACCUUAUGGUCUUAUUUCAUGGUUUUGUUCAUACACAAUUACAGUGNNNNNNNNNNNNNNNNNNNNNNNNNNNNNNNNNNNNNNNNNNNNNNNNNNNNNNNNNNNNNNNNNNNNNNNNNNNNNNNNNNNNNNNNNNNNNNNNNNNNNNNNNNNNNNNNNNNNNNNNNNNNNNNNNNNNNNNNNNNNNNNNNNNNNNNNNNNNNNNNNNNNNNNNNNNNNNNNNNNNNNNNNNNNNNNNNNNNNNNNNNNNNNNNNNNNNNNNNNNNNNNNNNNNNNNNNNNNNNNNNNNNNNNNNNNNNNNNNNNNNNNNNNNNNNNNNNNNNNNNNNNNNNNNNNNNNNNNNNNNNNNNNNNNNNNNNNNNNNNNNNNNNNNNNNNNNNNNNNNNNNNNNNNNNNNNNNNNNNNNNNNNNNNNNNNNNNNNNNNNNNNNNNNNNNNNNNNNNNNNNNNNNNNNNNNNNNNNNNNNNNNNNNNNNNNNNNNNNNNNNNNNNNNNNNNNNNNNNNNNNNNNNNNNNNNNNNNNNNNNNNNNNNNNNNAGAUCGUUUAUUUUGAUAAGAAUACUUUGCAUUUUGAAACAUAGAGGUCCCUUCCGAUGCAUGCUUAUGAGGAUUGAAAUCUGGAAAUCUUAUUCGGAGUUGAGUGAACUUUAGGCGUUGAAAUUAUCGGAACCACCUGGGGCAUACCUUCGGGGCAACGCUUUUUCUAACACCCCUGCUGUAAUGAGCCCAGAAGCGGGCAAUGGAUAGGACAACGAUGAACAGCCGUGACAAGAGAUUGCGACGCACGAUCCUGAAAGCUACAAUCAAAGAAGACUCUUCAAAGUCUACAGGACUGGAAGUUUUGUAUGAUCCCAGGAAUUCCGAUCUGUGGGAUGAAUCAGAAACGUCCAAAGCCGUCUGGGAGUUCGUAAGAGGGAUGGGCCGACACUCGUGGUGAGCGAUGAUGCCGCAAUUCCGGCGACUCACAGGUGUUCCGUGUCCAAAGCCGGUAAUUCCCAGUGUGUAGAGGGUUACCUCCUCCACAAUUGAGAUCAAGUGUCUCCUCAGCGAGCCUGGAAGGUUACUGUCCCAGUACGGGUUUGUGUUGAUGGUUUCCCUCAGUGAGUCCCCACGCGCGAUCGGUUGGAGAAAAUCAUCCCAGUAGAGAUAACGAUGGGUUGCCUCCCCUAGCAGGGUAAUCUCCACAGUAGUUUCGGGUUGUGGCAGUGCAUCCCAGCAAGGUUUGUCUUUCCCUCAGCAGGGUUGGAAGUUGACGUGGUUAUAAGAUCCUCAGCACAGUUCCUGAUUCCGGCUGUUCGUCUCUGGAGGAGACGUGUGUUUAUGCAUUCAUCAUUUAGAUAAGGCAUAACAUUGCAUCAUUAGUGCAUAGCAUUCCAUGAUCCAUCGGGGCAUUGUGUAAAAAAAAAAAAAACUCAUGCAUCAACAAUUGGCAAACAUACCCAUUAGCCCUAGGUUCGUGGUGACAGCCCGACGUUUGGGUUCGUUGGAAGAGGCACGCGCCAUUCUGGAUCGGUUUCAGAUUGGUUCAUCAGCAUGGUUGAGAGGUUGGUGCUUUUCCAACAAGUGGACUCCUUAGUGAGUGGGUAUUCCCAGCAGUGUUACUCCUCGAAGUGCGAAGAUCUUUGCAAGCAUUGGUUCCAUUCCUUUAGCAGAAGUGGGUGUGUCUUGAUUCUCAUGUAGAGUCUACCUUUAAGCAGAAAGUGUCUACCAUUUCCCUUCUGCGCUCCCACUGAUUUAAUCCUCGUGGCUGACUGGUUGUUUCCUGUUCCCCCCUAACGGAUGGGUUUUUCCCAUUGAGAAUCUUUCCUCAUUAGGAUGAGUCCUGUUUCAAGUCUGCUUUUGGAUCGAUCUAAAUUGGCUUCCUGUUGGCUGUCUCCGAGUUCCCUGGGCAUAAAUGAAUAGUCGCUGCUAACCGGCACUCAUUCAUCUCAUCUCUCAGUGAAUUUGUGGCUCUACCUACACAACCGGUAGUUUGUAAAGUCCUAUCUUUGUGGUUUUCUACCUAUUAACUGUAGCUGUAAAAAUCCCAUUUUCAUCCCCUUGGUGGAGUUAACCCGGUGUGCCCAUCCUAUCAAUGACUGAUUACUUUUCCGUGGUUUUCUGCCUACUAACCGUAGAUGUAAUCCCUCUUUGUGGUAUUGAUAGUCUUGUCUUUGCUACUUGCCCUGAUCAAGCAGUAAUGUCCCCGGGGGUUCUUCCCUUUCCUUUGGGUAUUUGCUCGAGUUACACUUUAAUCCCCUUUUGAUUGGUCCCAUCUUUGGCAUGCCUAGUUCUGGUACCCCUGAUACUUUUCUUUCGGUCGAUUAUCCAUUAACACCUAAGCAUCCCGGUAUGGAUAAUCUUCCAUGCGAGUGUAUUAAUCCUACAUUUUGGACGGCUACAGAUAAUAUAUUCAAUGCACCUUUGGUCAAUCUUUCGAUUGUUAUCCCCAGCUUGGGUCUUUGGCAUGCGUGCCGGCUCACGUUCAACUGUUUUGUUUAUCGUUCGCCGAUGUUGAUAGACUGAAGAAGUUUCCCGGUAUCCUGACGAAGUGGCUAUUCAAGGCCAACAGUUUCCAUUUCCCGAUCGAGAAGUUCUCAACAAUCAGGACGAGAACUUUGGUGUCCAGACCAAGUUUUCCCGGUAUCCGACGGAAGUGGAAUUCCAGGCCAGUUUUCCGAUUUCGCAGAUCGAAGAGUUCUCAACAAUCGGACGAAGAACUUGUGGUGUCCAGACCAGUUCCCGGUAUCCAGACCGAAGUGGCAUUCAGGCCAGUUUCCGAUUUCCAGAUCGAAGAAGUUCUCAACAUCAGGAACGAAGAACUUGUGGUGUCCAGACCAUUUUCGCCGGUAUCUGCAGACCGAAAAAAGUGGGGCCCCCCAAUUCAAAGGGCCAGUUCCGAUUUCCAGAUCGAAGAAGUUCUCAACAAUCAGGAACGAGAACUUUUGGUGUCCCAGACCAGUUUUCCCGGUAUCCAGACGAAGGGGCAUUCAGGCCCACGUUCGCGGUAUCUAGACCAAAGUGGCAUUACAGGCCAGUUUUUUGGAUUUCCAGAUCAAAGUGGUGUUCGGCACAGAUUUCAGUGAUCAGACCAACAUUGAUACUUCUCAUAAUUCCGAUGCUUAGGUGCGGCGUUCAGCCAUGGGUAUUCCUGUGUUAACCAUUUAUUUUGGUAUCCAAGUCACCUUGCUGUUUCGGUACUCACUCAGACAGAUUUUCACCGUACCAGACGGAUUCUUCUUCGGGAUGCUUCUUUGUCGAUUCUGACAGGAAUGGUUAAUUAUUCAUAGGGAUUCAGGAUCAAGAUCCGGGUCUUCUUAGUAUUUUAACACAUCUCCCCACAAUGAUCAUAUGAAGAUUGUCCUUGCUUACAAUUCUCAUAGUGAAGACGGUUAAAUAGGGGCCACCUGUAUACCCCGAUUUGCUCCUGAAUUUUUUAUGUUUGUUUGGCAUACUUGGCCCUGACCUUGCUUGGUUUUUAUAUGAGGAUUGGUUUUGAUUCAAAGUCAUGGUGUUGGGAUUGUGGGUGCAUCCAUGUCUGGUCAUCUGAACAACCAAGUUUUCUUGUGUUUUCUAGCACUUGCCAGUCCGUGUUUUUGGUUCAGGGAAAUAUUCCUUUCAAGCCCUAAACCUUAUGGUCUUAUUCAUGGUUUUGUUCAUACACAUUUCAGUCAAGUAUUUUUUUCUUUUCAAGAGUCAAACAUUCAAGUUAUGAUUAAACGCAAUUUGUGAACCAACUUCAAACCAUUUGGUUAAUCCAUUUCAAUUUUAUUUCAUUACAUUUGAUCGCAUACAAAAAAUACACAAAAAUGACACUUUGACCAAUUGUUUGACUUUGGUCAACCUUGGACCAAAGUCAACCUAAAUUCAAUACCCUUAAUUUCCAUCAUGAUCAUCAAUACACUGUCCAUACUUAACAAAGAAAUACCAAAAUGAACCUUGACCAAUCAUGGGUGGUUGCGAACUUCGAUGCUCAACUUAAUCAUGGAUUGGUCUUCUAAAGAGCUUUCAAAGUAAGGUAAAGGCCAUUCAAGCGUUGCUGCAACAAUAUGUUAUAUGAUCUUGAGAAUGUGAAGAGGAAUCUUCAACUGACAACCAUUCUUCUCAAUAGAUACAACUGAUGAGAUACGAAAGUCAGUGAACAGCGUGUAGCCAGUCUGAACAUUUGCCAUUCUAUAUGCUGAAAUUAUUGCAUCUGCACUUAAUAAUGAAUCAUCACAUGGAGCAAACUUGGAGUUGUCUUUCACCACCAAAAGCCGGAAAACCAAUUAUAAACCGAGCAUUGCCGCAGAAAACGAAUGCAAGCCGUGACAAACAAUGUGUUGAUUCAGAAUAAUCAAGAGCAAAACGACAGUUGUUUAAAACCAUAAAAAGAAGUCCCUGACGGCAACGCCGACGGCGAGUAACACCGAAGCCGCUAGCCAACGCUGUGGCAGGAAUCCAUGAACCCAGCCAAUUACCAUAUAUACCAAUAACCAUAAAGUAGUCUUGCUGCAAAUUGUUGCACGCUGCUGGCAGAUGGUCUCCGAACAUCAAAGGCUUACAAACCAAGGUCACUAAAUUGUUUGGACCAUCAAAUGGAGAUUUGGAACACUACUGCUGUCCCAUUACACCAUCUGGAUCGGUCACUUGACUUCAUGCAUUUACGUGCAUCCCUAUGCCAGUUACUGAUGUAACACUUGUGCGUCAUUAAGGUGCAAGCAUAAUCCCUUGGUGGUUGGUGCUAUCGUCGUAAAUUAUCGGAGAAAGAAACCAGUACAGAUUAGUGAUGUGAGGUUGGUGUUGGGCCUACAAACACAGAAGCUUCCUAGCACUGGCAAUGGCCAUGGCAAGAACUCAUGUUUCAAAAUGCACAGAGCAUCAAAGGUCAUAAAAAAACUCAACACCGCUGCGGAACACCCUCGAGCUUUACAUAAUCCAUCGGCUCCCUCCGCUGCUAAAGACUGUCGAAAAUAGCUUAGACGCCGGCGCCACCGACUCAAAAUCUCUCCCAAAAGAGACUCGGUGAAGAUGGUUUCAGGUCAUCGAUACGGUUCGGCAUUUCCCUAAACAAUUGCAAGAUCUUUGCACUGAAGCAUCAUACUUCAAAACUAUCGAAUUUCAAUGAUCUUCAGUCUCUUAUAUACUUUGGCUUUAAGAAGGAGAGGCAAUCCGAGUUAUCUCAUGUGUGCAUCUUGGGGAAACUUGACCAUGUGAAAAUGAAAAACCGCAGCGGCAAGGUGGAACCAGGCUGUCACAGUUAAAAAAGUUGUUCUAAAUCUUUCGUGGUGCGAAAGCAAAGAGUUAAGCGGAACUUUCGCAAUGGAAAUGCAAAGUUUGUUUCUCUCUUGAUGCAUAUGCCCUAUAAGUUGCAAAAGGUGUUCGAUUUGGUUGAUACAACACAUACUGGCAAAAAUCAAAGCCUGUGGUACUCAAGACACAUAGGAAAUGAUUCUCUAAAAGAUAACAUCAUAUCAGUGCUUGCCAUGAAACUUUCAACUGCUUGGAACCCAUGUCAUUAUGUAUAUAGGAGAGUUGCGAAAUUGAUGUUCUCUCCAAGCCUGGACUCGGCAAAUCAAAAGAACCAAGGGAGAUGUUACUUGGUCUUGAAGCCCACCCUUUUGACAGCAGUACCGAGUAUAUUGAUCAUAUUCGAGAUGGAGUUGUAAAAAAAUGUGGAAGUGCAGGGUGACAAGAUACGGAACUGCAACAGUUGGUCAAGAUGGAUUCAAUGCAGCCUCCGGAAGUUCAGGACAUCUGUGUCUGAGGUUCAAUAGGACCAACUUAUAGAGGCUACCGAGAAUGUCAUGUCGGAAUAGGUGAUGCUAUUGGAGAUAAACCAAGGAGUCUUCUGAAGCGACUCUGGAAGAUAUUGCUCAUAAUUCAAAUUCAACUUUCACAGAGCAGAAUCAAACAGAUGUUUCAAGUUCCUGAUAUGAGCAAGAACAGGAUACCGACAGUCAUCAAUUCAAUGAAAAUAUAUCACAUGCAGUAACAAGCAGACUGAACACCUCUCAUACUUCAAGUUGUGGUGAUUGUGCGUGAGGAAACUCGAGACUUGCAGCUACUCCAUUGCCUGAUUCGCAACGUACAGUACGAGGGAAUCGAUUAAUGGCGGCAUUGAAGCAACUUUGUUCAUAACAGCAAGUUUGCGAACUUGCUCAAUUUCUGAAUCAACCAUGUGAUGCAUAUUAAGAUCACUCGGUAUUGGUGACUUUCAUUUCAAAUGCAAUCGUGUUUCCGGCAAGACAUUCUUCUGUUUGUUCUCAGUAGGCAAUGCAAAGUUUUGGUAACUUUUCACUCUCAAGUAGUUUCCAAUGAGGAAGUCGCGGUUCUAGCAUCCCAUAUACUUCAGUUGCUUUUUGAUUUCAUUCGUCUCCACCUCCUUAAGUACAAAACAAACAACAUAAUAUGGAUCCCGGAAUAGCACAAAAGCACUCUGAGCCAUCGUUAAAUUGCUGCUAAGUGUUUGAGGCUGCUAAGGUUGCCGUAAAGUGCUUCUGCCUUGAAUGGAAAAUUGACCGGUAUGUCAUUCAUUGUCUAAACUGUGGAUGUCUCGGCCGUCGCCAUUACAGUGAGGCUCGAGACAGACCGACAAUUCUUGCACAUGAAAUUAAGUGUUCUUCUGCAAAUACAAUGCCAAACCUAACGCAUUAAGCUCCAACUCCUCAGAAGGUUAAAGGAAUUCAUCAUCCACCACCAUGUUGGUUGUGUUUUCCCUGUUUCUCACUCCAAGUAACUUAGCCCAUUGAACCUCAACCAAACCAAACUGAGUUUCUAAAAAUUUCACUGCAGUAAAAGGUAGAAGAAUUACUCAAAGCAGUAAAAUUCAAAAUCCAGAAAUAUUCCCAAAUUGGAAUUAAAAACAAAAAAGAGAGGAAUGCUCAGAUGCUCAGAUUACCUGUCUCAAAUCCAUACAUCAAGGGGUCAAUCCAGUUUCUGAACAUCCAAAGGGCUUUGCAGAAUUGACUCUUUUGAAUCCACAUACCAUUUGAAACCCCUAAUCAGCAGAGGAUAACUAGAAGGAAGCAAAUCAGUAAGAGAGGAAUUUUUGAAAACAACAGAAACAAGGAGGCGAAAUCUGAGAGGAAAACCUAAGUCCAAAUUCGUUUACCUGGAGGCCAGUUUCUUCGCAUCCUUCACCACCACUGCAGGACACUCUGUAAGGACCUCUCUUUCUCUCUCUUUAUGCUUGUUAUUUGAUUUUUUUUUUGUGAGAGCUGAGAGUGAUUAAAAAGGGUUCAUUUGAGUGCAAUUUGAGAGACGUUUGGUAAGUUAGGGAUAGUGAGCUCUAGAGCAGGGAGAAAAUCUUCGCAUUGAGAGAGUUUGUUGAGAGCGUGAGAGAGUUCGUGAGAGGGGGGAGGUGAACGACUGAGAGCAGAGAAGAUCUCGAUUUGAGAGAUGCUGAGGUAGAGGGCCAUUGUUGGGGAAAAGGUUGAGUUUGUGAGGUGGGAGAGAAGAAGACGAGUCUCUGUUGUUUUCAUUUCUUUCUUUUUUAUUAUUUUAUUUUUUUAAAUCAAAUUUGUUUUGUUUAACAGAGAUAAAAGAUAAUAAUAAACAAAAACAUAAAAAGGUUUUAUAUGUUAGUUUUGUUCUUAAUCUUUUUUUAUUUAUUUUUUCAUUCCGGUUUAUAUAUUUAAGUAGUACUUCAAUAGCAUAUAAUCUGAGAGGUUGGUGGAGAAAGGGCAGUGUGUAUGUUCUUGAAGUGGGGUUGGUUCAAUACUCGUGUGAGACCUUUUUGCAUUUUAUUUCUUUAUACUAUAUUAUUUUCUUUUAGCAUUUUAGUUUCUUUUUAUGUUUAUGCCUUUAUUAUACUCAUGAUGUUCAUUUUGUUAAUAAUGUAAGUUGUUGUAUUUCAAUUCAAAACCAUUUUAAAACUAUAAAAUCAUGUUUUUCUCGAUUUAAUAUCGAGCCCAUUUUUUCACCUUGUAAGUCGAUUGCUUUUAAGCAUCGCCAUCGACCUCACAUAGCUUACUCUUGGGCUUCCUUACAAUGAGACAUGUCCCUUGCACUUACACUCAUACAUUGUUUAAUGCUUCAUUAUUUCAUUCUUCGUCAUUUGAUUCGAUAUAUACUUGUUUAUAUCUUAAUUGUUUGAUUAACUGUGGCUAUACUUGUAUGGUGUAUGAGGCAUGUAUUAUUAUGUUUUGUUGCCUGUGAACAACCCCCCAUUCAUAACAAAUGUACCCCUCUCCCUAUGAAAUGUAAAAUUUACUCUUUCAUUCUUUAUACAUCUGUUUAAUAAAAUAAAUGAAACACCCGAUAACCCAUUUCAAAACAGAUCAAACCUCGAUCCAACGUCGAGUAAUCAAUUGUUUCAAAACCUAACAGAAACCAGCACGUAUUCAUCCACCCUUUUGUAAGUCGAUUGCUUUAUGCAUCGCCAUCAACCUGUAAGUCGACUGCUUUAUCCAUCGCCAUCAACUUGUAAGUCGAUUGCUUCACACAUCGCCAUCUACCUUUAUCCCUAACACUUCUCCUUGCUCCAUUGUCGAUUCUUGUUCGAUUGGUAGCACCCAUUAGAUAGAACCCUUUGCAUGAGUAACAUAGGUAGGAUUCCAUAUUCUUUUGUAUGAUAACAUAGGUAGAAUUCCCAUAUCUUUGCAUGCUAACAUUAGGUAGAUGUUCCCAUUUGUAAAUCCUAACACUUAAGUACACAAUUGCAUGACAACUUUAGGGCAGAGCUUCCCCAUUUCUUUUAGACCUUUCCGAGCGUCUCCAGAUCUUGUGGCAUGUAGUCCGUCUAUUGCAAAGAGGUAACUGCCUAAGACUCGAUUCAGCGAGCUGCGAACACCUACUGCUAGGGCGUGAACACAUUGCCCAUCUCUCUUUGACACAACUGGUGUCCCUCCUUCUCUAAGUCCAUGUUCAGAUGGCAACCCCUAUGUAGGGAACUACGUCGCCCUGAUUCUCAUACCAGAUGAGGUACGUAGGCAGAGAGACCUGCGAGAUCUCUCCGGGCACCCUUUCCUUUUUUGCGUGUGUUUUGCUUGACAACUAUUAGGUUCGAGUUCCAGACUCCCUAUUAGUUUGUGUGUUCAUCCCUCCCCUAUGUAGGAACUACGUCGCCCUGAUUCUCAUACCAGAUGAGGUACGUAGGCAGGAGAUCGUGCGAGAUCUCUCCGGCACCCUUUUCCUUUUUUGCGUGUGUUUUGCUUGACAACUAUUAGGUUCGAGUUCCAGACUCCCUAUUAGUUUGUGUGUUCAUCCUCUCCCCAUGUAGGGGAACUACAUCGCCCUGAUCCUUGUUCCAGACAAGGUAUGUAGGCAGGUGUCGUGUGACCACUCCGGGCACUUUUUUCCUUUUUUGUGUGCGUUUGUCUGACAGUUGCUAGCUCGAGUUCCCGACUCCUUAGCGAUUUGUCGUUUGUUUGUGCUUGUUGUGUGCUUGGAAGCUGGAUGUAAGUCCAUCGAGUGGCAUUCGGUUCCAGUGUGAGUUUGUUGGGUUCGGAUGCUGAUGUAAGUCCAUGUGAUUGGCAGUCGGCUCCACGUUUGCCCUUUUGUGUGUGUUUUGGUUCGGAUGCUGAUGUAAGUCCAGUGAUUGGCAGUCGGCUCCAUGUUUGCCACCUUUUUGUGUGUAGGUGUCUUUGUUUGUUUGGCGUGCGUGAGCGAACUACGGCAACUCUGAUUCUCAUGUUCAGAUGAGAAUACGUAGGCACAAGAUCGCGAUGUCUUGCGAGUUUGACUAACAACUAAUCCUUGUUCGCUUUCGCCCUCGUUGCGAUCCUUUCCUCUCGCCCUCGUAUGCGAUCGGACUUUUCCUUUUCUUUGCCCUAGUUGCAAUCGAGACCCUUAAUCCCUAGUUAGUUUGAACUACGUUUGCUCUGAUUCUCAUUCCCGAUGAGAUACGUAGGAUAAGACAACGAUGUCUUAGCGAGCACACUUAUCCUUAACCUUAGGUACGCGAGCUACGAAGACUCUGAUUCUCAUAAUCAGAUGAGAUACGUAUGCAGUGGAUGCGACGUCCGUGCGAGUCAUUUUCUCUUGACCCUUUUAGUAAAUAGUACAUAGAUAAACAUACACCCUUUAGACAGAAACACAAGAGUGGAUCACGUAGUAGAUACGGAUGCGUAGGGUGCUAAUACCUUCCCUUCCAUAACGACUCCCGAACCCAAGAUUUGGGUUGCGAGACCUUGUCUUUUCCUUUCCUUUCUCCAGGUUUACUUCGAGCGUUUCCUUUCCCUCCUUUGGGAUAAAUAACGCACGGUGGCGACUCUUCUGUCAUUUCUUCUUCGCCGGUUGUUUUUUUUUUUUUCGCAUACCGUAUUUUUCGGGUUGCGACACUUGGUUGUUCUUUGGACUCUAAUUCCUUGGCCUUGCUUUAUCUUCACCUCAAGAGUAAACUGCAAUCAAGACUUGUGAAGAAUCGUGCUCCAUAGAUCUAUAUUUCAGAGGUGGAUGUUCAAACUUAUUUUCUUCGAAACUCAUUGAUCCUCGCUUGUUUCUUGUGUUUAUUGGCUUGGCUGAAGUCCUCUCAUCAAAGGCAUUUGAAUUGUGCUUUUAAUUUUGCAAAAUCAUCAAGUUCAGUUUGAACUCCAUUAUUUUUCUCUUCUGAUUUCUCUUCCUAUAGAGAUCUAGAAGGAAAACCAAUGGUACAGGGGUGAUGUACAUCACCCCAACUUUUCAAUGAUAUGAGGAUCGCUUCAUUUGGUUAAUUUUUGUUGUCUGCAACUUUGGCCGGAAUCCCUGGUCUCGUCGGAGAAGACGGUGGUGUACACCACUGCCCGUUUGCCAGGUUGAAUAUGGGCCCUUGGAUCUGAUCUCCAGAUCUAAUCUCCACCCUUCCUUAUUGUGACUUUUAUUAAAUCUUGGUGUGGCUCGGUUGACUGAGGAUCAUGAUACGCGCGCAUGCCAUAGCCUUUGGAUGUGCCAGCUCAAUUAAUGAGACUGGAUCUAACGCACCAGCUUUUUUUCUAUUUUCUGAAUUAAUUCAUUUUAUUUUCUUAAUUCUAUUUUAUUUCAAAAAAUCAUAACUCUUUCAUUUUAAUUCCAAAAAAUAUGGGACCAAUUGCAUUAUUUCUCUUUUUAAUUCUAGUUUCUGAAAACGAUUUUUAAUAUUUUUUAUUUUGUCAUUUGAUAUUUUUUAUGAAUUUUCUCUUUUCUAGUUAUUUUUAAUUCAUUUUAAAUAGUUUUCAAUAUUCAAAAAAUUCAAAAAUAUUUUCUUAACCUCUUUGAAUGAUGAUAGAUCUAUGAAAAAUAUUCUUAUCAAUUUAUUAGUUGAUUUGAGAUUUAUUUGAGAUUUUAGUUCAAUUAGGUUAUUUUUUAUUCAUUUUUAAUUGAUUAAAAAUAGUUUUUGGUUUCUAAAAAUGCUGAAAUUUUUUGUCAAACUUUGUUUGACCCUGUUGAACUUAGGAUGAUCCAUUUGGACUUUUCAAAGUUGAUUUGAAAUGGAUUUUAAGUUUGACCUUUAAUUGUUUAUUUUAAUUCAAGUAUUAUUUUAAUUUUAGAAAAUACAAAAAAUAUUUUAUUUGUUUCUUGACUUUUAAAUUUCAUUUUGCUUCUGUUUACUAGUGUUUGACCUUGGUUUUAUAUAUCUUUGGUCAAUGUGCUUUACUUACUUCAUUUGAAUUCCAUUAAUGUACAUUCUUAUUCAUCUUCUUCUUCAUCUUUUUCAUUUUUGAUCAAUGAGUUAAAGAUUGGUGGUUAGCCUUGAUGUAUGGGUGGUUUAACCUUCCUUGAUUCAAAUCUAAUUCAUCUUGAUCAUAGAUCAAGUGAAUGGCUUUGCAUUAAGGAUAGGUUGCUUCUUGAUCAAGCAAAAAACCUAAAUCAAUACAAGAUCAUUCUCAUUUUCUUUUGGCAUGGCAAGUUGUAGGAGCUUGGCUUACUAGUCAAGGUCUCUAACUUGUGUUUGUUGCCUAUAUUUUUAUUUAUCGGCCUCAGAUAGGUGUGACUACUACAUUAGUCCACUUACGAUUGCUUAACAUAGCGCUAAAUUGCCUUAUGGAACACUAACUCUAACUAGUGACCACUAACUUUUUAAUUCUUGCACUUUACAUUAAUGUAAUUUAAUAUUCUUGUACAUUAUUUCAUUUGCCUUUGCCCUUUGCUCACUUUAGCUCAUGUUUAUGUUAAUGCCAUUUGCCUUUUGCUCACUUGAGCACAUAAUUGUGUAUAUACUAUUGUGCUUGUGUUUUGUUUUGAUGGAUGUGAACCAGAUGCAAAUGGACAAAAGGACUUAGACUUUAGGACAUUCCCUAUGCAAAAUGGAGUCAAAGAGCAACUAGGCCUCAUGCCUUUAGAGUGCUAUAAAUGUCAAUGAUCAACUAGGCCUCAUGUCUUUAGAAUGCUUAAUGUUGAAGAUGAAUUGAAAGGAUCUAAUCUCUAAACUCACUCUUGUCCAUUCUUUGUUUGCAUUAUGGAACUUUUUGAUAUGUGUGUUCUUGUGCUAGGGAUUCCAACUUGAGCCUAAUUGAAGAACCAUUGUCAUGAGCAUCCAAAGUAAAGAGAUACAAAAGCCAUUGGAAGAUUCCUAUGAGCUUGUUUGAUUGUGUGCUUGAUUGCUUGAGUAUUUGCUUAUUUGCUUGCUUAUUCCAAAGGAUGAGAGCUACUUGGAUCAUCACUAUGAUCUCAAGAAGGGAACUCAAUUUGUGGUUUUGUUUCUUCUCCUUCACCUUUUGCAUGUUUAGGACUUAGCCAUUCUUCUUCUACCCUCCACUCUAACCCAAGCCAAAACUUUUGUGCAAACAUUAACAUUUGUUUCCAAACAUUAGAAACCUAAGCAUUAUGCUUUUGAAUUUCAAACUUUCUUUUCAUAACACUUAUUUUGAAUUGAAUCCUAAGCCAACUUUGACCAUAUUUUGUAAAUACUUUUCAUUGGUAAAUAUAACUCAUUCAAAUGUUUUUUGUGGUUUCAAUGGCCACUUCUUGCCAAAGCUUUUCAUAAACCUUAGCUAUUAGGUUUGAGUUAUCCUUGAGGUUGAUAUAAUACUCACCUAUAUCCUUAGUGAUGGACAAUGAGUCUUCCAUGCUUAUUAUAGGGUUAACCCCUCACUAGCAUGUUGAAGUUAUCCUCACAUGGUGGAUUCGUGGUUUUAGGUUGAGUUUUCUCCCUUGGAUAACAAAAGACCUUAAGGAUUUUGGACCAAUCAAUUCACCAACUUGUUUUGAGAUUUUUACCCCGAACUAAGAGGUUUUGAUCCUAAUCUUUUUUAAGAUGGUACGUAGGCAGUGGGUUUAUCCAUUCAAACACAAAAUUGUAAACAAUUUGUACAUUCUUCUCUCAUCUCCCCAAUCAAGUUUGCACAAAUAAUUUUUUCACAAAUACCAACCUACCUUACAACAAAUUGUGAAAAGGGCUCCCUAUGAGUACCUAGGAUGUUUUUGGUGCUUAAAACCUUCCCAUUGCAUAACCAACCCCCUUACCCCGAUCUCUGACAUUUUUAUUUGUUUUUGAUUCGAUAAAACUUCUCGAUUUUUGUUCGCUUUCUAACCUUUCCUUUGGAUAAAUAGAAGUGCGGUGGCGACUCGAUUUGUAUGAUUUACUUUUGAUUUAGUUAAUAAAUCUAAAGGUAACGAAUACCCCGCUACAAUUAGUUGUUCUGACGAUAAUAUUCUUGAAUUGGGUCCAUGACUCUAAGAACAUUUUUAAACCCUAGAGCUUAUGUGUGGUUGGUUUUCCUAUUCCUGGAACUUUUCCUCCAUGAAGUAAUUAAUCAGAAUGUUCCAAUGAUCACCUACCCAAUUGUACAUACAUAAACAUAAAACAUUUCAUGAUCAUAACACAUUUGACAAGUGCGUAUUUUUAAGGGACCUAAAGACUCUAUUGAUUGCAGGCAUUCAGAAGACAUGGGUAGCAACUGAAAAAGUACUUAUUCAUUCAAGUUCAAUAAUCCAAAGCUAGGAUUAAUUAAGGGGUUGAUCUGAGACGUGAAAAAAAUCAGAAGGAACGACUUUUAUGUUGACUAUCAUGGACAUCGAGGUGGAUGCUUGGACUAUUUUUACUUUGGUACAAUUCUAUGAUCCUCCCUUGCGGUGUUUCACAUUCCAUGACUUUCAGUUGGCACCAACACUUGAAGAGUUCUCACAUAUAAUAGACAUCAGUAUCAACGAUGAAGUUCCUUGGUCUAGGGGAAUUUCCUAAACAUCAACAAAUAACUUCAGGUCUACAUCUGGAUAAGGCGAAAGUGAAAGCUAAUCUUAGACCAAAAGGAGACACUUUGAGCUUCACUAUGAAGUUCUUAGUGGGAAAAGCUUCAUCUUUCAAAAGUAAAGAAGAUUGGGUCGCUUUUAGUGUUGUGCUAGCCUUAAUACUCUACGAGAUUGUCUUGUUCCCAAACAAUGAUGACUUUGUGGACAUCACUGCUAUACACAUAUUCUUUCUCAGUAAUCACAUUCCCAUCUUGCUUGCAGAUAUUUAUCACUCCAUCCAUUGGAGAAAUGAUAAGAAUGGGGGAUGGUUCAGUGUUGUGCUCCUUUUCUACACGAGUGGUUCUUAUCUCACUUACCAAGAAAAUGGCCUUUUAUUCAUAACAAGGAUAACCUCAAGUGAUCUCGAAGAAUCAUGUCUCUCACUAUCGAUGACAUCACCUGGUACUCCCGUAUUUAUGAUGAUAUGGACAUAAUAGUUAAGUGUGGAAACUUCCAUAAUGUGUCACUCAUAGGAACUCAAGGUUGCAUCAACUACAACCCUGAGCUUGCUAUUCGGAAACUUGGGUUUCCUAUUGAUGACAAACCAGAAGACAAGUUGUUAGAAGGUUUUAUGCUGGGAGAAGGAGUGAAGGACUUUGAUAUGGUGAAGAGGAUAGGUCGUGCCCUAACUAAAGUUCAUAGAGAAGGAAAAAGGGAGUGUGGAAAGAAGAACUGCAUAGCUAGAGAUCCAUAUACGAGUUGGGUCCAAGCCAGAUCUUCUCAAGACAAACUACCAUACCCUUAUGAGCCUCUGAUGCGUACAAGUCUUCCAGAGCCUACUCACGUCACUAUGGAGGAAGCUAAAGAGAUCAAAGUUGUCAUCCAAAGGUUGGAAAAGGAGAAUCAAGAGCUACGAUUGAACCUUCUAUGGAUUGCUGAAGAAAAGGAUAAUCAGAAAUGGGAGCUUGGGCGGAAGAAAACACAACUUCAAGCAAAUGUGUAAAGGAGUGAUAAAAAUACAAGAGAAAAAUAACCAAGCAUGGGUUGGAUCAGGCUGACAGUUGCCUAGAUACCGUCAAGGAUAAACUAAAGAAGGCUAAGAGGAACUGUCGAGAAAAAGACAAGUGGUGGAACCUUGCCAUGCAACAUAAGAAAGAGAUAAGAGAGACUCUUGAGGCUGAGAUAGAGAAGCUCAUUCCAAGACUCCAAAGCAAGACAAGAAGAGGAGCGUCAUUGCAAAGAAAGUGCCAAGAACUGGAGAUUUCUCAUGAGUGGGAGCGACACUGGAGAGGUAGAUAUGACUAUUUUCUACGAGAAGGUGAAGAUUGGUUGAAUGCAAGGGGAGAUGUGAACGCUAGUUUGGCAUCCUGCAAAGAAACUAUCCAGUUUUAUGAACAAAGAAAUGAGUAUCGAGACAAGUUAGCCAGUUUGAUAGACUUCUGCAAUGGCAUGGCCAAGGACGUGCCUUUGAUGUUGAUAUGUGCUCUAGAAGAAAUAGACAAUGACAACACCCCUCCUUCAGUGAUCAACUUUGUUGCACUCUGUGAAGACAUGAUGAAAAGGUUCAAGGGAGAGUUGGAAGAUCUCAACAGACAGAAGUCUGCAGUUUAACCCUUUUUUUUAUGUUGUACUUUCCUUUAUGUUUGCAAUAAUAUUUUUUACUCAAUCCUUGUACUCUGCUCUGAAUUAAUGAAUGAAGGAUUUUGGGUUUCUUUUGUACCAAAAGUAUGAUUCCAAUUUUGUUUUAUUCCCCGUGAUCUCUUUGAAUGCUUGUUAAAUAACAAGGAAUCUAAUAUGGUUCCCUGAAAAUAAAAUUGAACAUAAGCAUAAAAGACAUUUUUACAUCUAAAUGCAUUAAAGUAUGCAUCAUUCAUUUCAUUUCUCAAAACAAAAACUCAUUUCGUUUUUCCUCGUCUUGCGCAGUUCAAGUUGAUUCAUCAAUGCGCAUAUGUUACUCGCUCCAACACAAGAAGAAUCAUGGAUGUAAUUCGAGAAGAACAAGCUGCCUUCAGAAAGGAAAUGGACUCUCCCAAAAUCAAAAUUGAUCAAAUCUUUGAGGCUAUAUAAGCUCUGGCUAGAAGGGAAGAAGAGGCUUGUGUUGUCGCUGCUGCAAGGAAUGAUGCUUUAGUUCAAGGGGUUGCUCUCCGAUCAGGACCGUCAAUUCCUAUUCUAAAUCCUGUUAUCUAUGGUCUUCCUCCAGGUUUUGUUCCACUACAUGAAAUAACUCGUGUGCCUUCACCUGUGCAUACUUCUGGAGUAGCUGAUGGAGUCACUACACAAGGACCUCCAAUGGUCAAUCAAGUGGUCAUUCCUCACACUGAUGGGGAGCUCUAGGACGAGUUUAAAAUGCAGAAUUACAAUGGAGCUACUCCAAUGGUCAUCCCUACUUAUCCCAUGAUUUUGAGGCUAUCUUGAUGUGUCGUUCUCUGGCCGAAAAGCUAAGAAUCUUGGAAGGACAUAACUCAACCCGAUUGAGUGCCUUGGAGAUGUGUUUGGUCCCACACAUGGUGAUUCCUCCGAAGUUCAAGGUGCCAGAAUUUGAAAAAUACAAAGGCCUUACAUGUCCUAACAUACACUUGAAAAUGUAUUGCAGGAAAAUGGCUGCAUAUGCCAAAGAUGAUAAGCUCAUGAUCCAUUGCUUUCAGAACAGUCUAAUUAGUGAAUCUUUGGAUUGGUACAUGCAGUUAGAGUGUAGCAACAUACACACUUGGGAUGAGUUGGCUGAAGCAUUUGCAAAGCAAUAUAAAUAUAAUACUGACAUGGCACCAAACCGUACUCAACUUCAGAGUAUGGCCCAGAAAGACAGUGAGUAUUUUAAAGAAUAUACGCAACGCGGGAGAGAAUUGGCUGCAAGGGUGCACCCGCCGCUGGUUGAUCGUGAAUUGAUUGAUGUUUUCAUGGGAACCUUGCAGGGAAAAUAUUAUGAAAGGUUGAUUAGUAGUGUGUCUGUAAGAUCCUAAUUUUGACCCUAAGAUCUCUCAUGGCAUCAUUUCAUUGCUCAUUGCAUUGCCUCAAGGAUCAUAGCAUGUGUGGCUCCUUAACCCUUGGGUUAGGACUUGUGUGAGUUGGUUUGAGACCACCAGGCAUGCUUGAAUUGUGUAUUAUUUCUUUUAUUAUUUUUUUUACUAACCAAAAGCACAAAAAUAUGUCACUAACUUGUUUUGUUUUGAAGCUCAAACAAUCAUGAGAUCCCUUGCUCGUAGGAGGCCCCUAUGCUCAAUGAAGUGGCUAGAUGAAGAUGAAAGAAAGCAUGACAAUGGUUCCCAAAGCUCUCAAUCAUCAUAUAUGUCUCCCAAAUAUCUCAAUUUUCCAAUUUGAUCAAGAUAAACCAAAGGGGCUUGAGGCUUGUUUCCCAAGGAAACCUUAAUUCAUCUGUGCAUUGACUGUGCAAAGCUCAUGAAGAAACCUCAACCUAUGAUCAAAUUCAAUAAAGGUAAGUCCUUUAAUUCAUUAUUUUAUGCAUAUAUGAUCCCAUGUGAGUAUCCUCAAUCAUUCAUUCAUUAAAAUUUGAAGUUUGGACUUGAGAAGUUGACCAGUCAAGUCAUCUGACUAUUUUGGAAUCCAUUGAGACCUAACUUUUGAUGUCUUUGUCAAAUAAAGAUGUCCCCAAGAUGAAACUUGUUCUUAAGGACCAUAUGAACAACUUUCAUGUUCAUCACAAAUUUAUUUGAAACUUGGAAGGUCAUCAUUCACUUCAAAACAUUAUAGGUCAUUUUGACUGAAACCCUAAUUUUGGGUCAACUUUCCAAGGACCUAACUCCUUCAUAUUUUAUGAUUUUGAGGUGAGACAAAUUUAAUUGGAAAGUUUGAGAUGUCUACUUAAAAUUUUAUGUUGGACAAAAUUUCAUAAUCCUAAAAUAAACACAUGUGAUAAUACAAAACAUUAUAGGUCACUUUGGACCAAAGCCAUUGAAUCUUGGAAAAGUCCAACUUCAAGUGCCCAUAACUUUCUCAUCCAAAAUCCAAAUGAUGCAAAAUUUAAGUCCAAAUUGAUCAUAUUGAAAAGAUCUACAACUUUAAUGUUGGAGGUUUUUCCAUUUGAAGCUUGCAUCAUUGAAACAGAAGGGCUUGAAGUUGGUCAUUUUUGGCAAAUUUUUCAAAGACAUGUUUUGUACAUCAAACUUCAUGGUCAGUUUUCAUAAUUUUCCAAACUCCAAAUGGAUUUUUCCCAACAUAACUCUUGUUCCUUAUGUUAAUACCUUUCCAACCAUUACUCACAUGCCUAUGUUUGGAUUUGUUAUGUAUGACUUUCAAAGAGGGGAACAUUUGUGACCAUUUAUGGAAUCCAAGUGAAAUCUUCAUGCACAAGCUAUUACAGUUGAAAUCAAACGUCCAUUUCCAUUUGGUAUGUGCUCAGCAUUCAUUUCCAUCAUCUUUUGGGCCUCACAUGCGCCUGUACAGGCCCAUGCAUGGAGGAGCCAAAGCUUCAUGCACACGGAUUCCACACUUGCUUGCUUGGAUCUCAGCUAUAAAUAAACACCUUGCUUCAUUCAAAUUCCAUCCUUGAAUCAACCUGAAGCUCUGUAGAAUUGGAAACCUAACCACACUAAAGGAAUUUUGAUUUUAUUUUCUCAAAUUCAAACUUGAAUUUCAACUUCCCUGGUUGAUCUUCAGUUUAUAAUUCCUAAACCUAUCAUCAUCAUCACCUCAAGAUCAAAUUGGAAGCAAGAAUUGGAGUGGAUCGUGCUCAUCAAAGUUGCACUUCAAAGGUUUACAUCUCAACUGUUUUGCUUCAUAUCUCACCAUAUAUUGUGAUCUGCUUGUGUUUGUUUGGUUUUCUGAAGUCCUCGUGUUAGAGGCAAGCCACUGGUGGCUUAAUAUUCAUGAAUUAAUGCAUUUCAGAUUGAACACCUGGAUUUUCCAUCUCAGAUUUCUCCUUCCAUAGGGAUCUUGAGAGAAAUCCAAGGUUACAGGGGUGAUGUACAUCACCCCAGCUUUAAUUUGGUAAUUCAGAUUGAACACCUGGAUUUUCCAUCUCAGAUUUCUCCUUCCAUAGGGAUCUUGAGAGAAAUCCAAGGUUACAGGGGUGAUGUACAUCACCCCAGCUUUAAUUUGGUAUAAAGAUCAUGCAAUUUUGUUGAGGUUGCAAAACCUGCAACUGGUGGCCGGUUUCUGUUUGCUCACCGGAGAAGACGGUGGUUUCCACCACCGUUCCCACGUGGAAGAGCUCUGGCCUUUGGAUCUCACAUGAGCCUUCUAAUCUCAACCUUUGUUUCCAUUGACUUUUUUUAAUUCGUUUUGUUAUGCAUUUGAUUAAUGAACACCAUGCGCGCGCGCUUCUGGUCCACUUGUUUGUCCAUGUCAAUUAAUGAAGCUGAAUCAUGCCCUCCUGAUUUUUUUCUAUUUUUCUAAUUUCUGUUUAAUUUUCUUUAAUUCCUUUUAUUUUCAAAAAUUCAUAACUCUUUUAUUUGGAAUCACAAAAAUAUGAGAACAAUUGCAAAAAAAUUCUUUUAAAAUCUAGUUUCAUAAUCUGAUUUUUAAUUAUUUUUGUGAUUCCAUUUAAUAUUUUUUGUGAAUUAUUUUGUUUUUGAUAGUGUUUAAUUCAUUUAAAAUACCUUUUGAUAUUCAAAAACGCCAAAAAUAUUUUCUUAACACAUAUGGAUGAUGGUAAGUCUAUGAAAAAUAUUCUCAUCAAUUUCUUAAUUGAUUUGAGAUUUAUUUGAGAUUUUAGUUCAUUUGUGUUUUUUUUCUUGAUUUUUAAUUGUUUAAAAACAGUUUCUGUUUUCAAAAAAUGUUGAGAAAAUUUGUCAAACCUAGUUUGACCAUGUUAGACUCAUGAUGAUUCAAUUGGACUUAUCCAAGUUGAUUUGAAUUGAAUUUGAAGUUUGACCAUACUUUGUUCAUUUUAUUUUAUGUAUUAUUUUAAUUCCAAAAAAAUACCAAAAAUAUGUUUGACCUUUCUUGACUUCUAAUUCUCAUUUCACUUCUGUUUACCAUUGAUUGAUGUUGAUUCCAUUCACAUUUGAUCAUUGUGUUUGAUUAUGUCAUUUGAAUUUUCAUUUUGUACAUUUCAUCUUCUUCUUUUUCUUUUGCCCAAUGAGUUAAUGAUUUGUGGUUAGCCUUGACAUAUGAGAGGCUUAACCUUCUUUGAUCCAAAUCAAAUUCAACUUGAUCAAAGAUCAAGUGAAUUGCUUUGUGUCCAAGAUAGGUUGCUUCUUGGUUAAGCAAAAAACCUAAAAUCCAUACAAGGUCAUUCUUCUUUUCUUUUGGCAUGGCAAGUUGUAGGAGCUUGGCUUACUAAUCAUGAUCUCUAACUUGUGUUUAUUUGCCUAUAGUUUUUAUUGACCGGCCUCAGAUAGGUGUGAUUACUACAUUAGUCCACUUACGAUUGCUUAACAUAACGCUAAAUUGCCUUAUGGCACACUAACAUUGACUACUAACACUAACUUUAAUUCAAGCAUUUAAUUCUUGCAAUUUACUUUAAUGCAAUUUAAUUUCUUGCUCAUUUAUUCAUAUUGCCUUUUUCCUUUGCUCACUUGAGCUCAUGUUUAUGUUUAUGCCAUUUUCUUUUUGUUCAUUUAAGCAUAUUAUUGUGUAAAUAUAUUGUGGCUUUGUGUUUGUUUUGUGUUUGUUUGUGUGAACCCAAUGCAAAAAGGAGAAAGGACUUAGACUUAGGACCUCACGUAUGCUUAAUGGAGUUCAAGAGCAACUAGGCCUCAUGCCUUUAGAAUGCUAAAUUUGUUGAAGAGCAACUAGGCCUCAUGCCUUUAGAAUUCUUAAAUCUUGAAGUUGACUUGAAAGGACUCCUAAUCUAAACUCUCUCUUUGUCCAUUCCUCUUAUUGCAUUAUGAACUUUUUGAUUGUUUGUUCUUGUGUGAUAGGGAUUCCAAACUUGAGAUAAUUAGAAGGACCAUUGUCAUAAGCAUCCAAGUUAAGAGAGACAAGCGAAAUGGAGAUCCUAGGAGCUUGGUUGAAUAUUUGUUUGAUUGCUUGAGUUAAUUGUCAAGUCCAAAGGAAAGGAGCAUCUUGAAUCAUCUUUAUGAUCUCAAGAAAGGAACUCCAAGGGUUUUACCUCUUCUCUCAUCUUUGCAUGUUUAGGACUAGCCCUUCUCUUCUUCUCUCCACUCUAACCCAAGCCAAACUCAUUUUGUGCAAACAUUGACAUUAUUUUCAAACUAGAAACCUAGGCCUUAUGCCUUUGAUUUUUCAAACUCUUUUCAUUAAUACUUAUUUUGAAUUGAAUCUUAAGUCCACUUUGACUUCAUUUGCUGAAUACUUCUAAUUUGUAAAUACAACUCACUUCAAGUGAUUUUUGUGGUUCCAAUGGUCACCUUUGUUAAAACCUUUUUCAUAAACAUUAGCCAUAGGUUUUAGUUAUCAUAGUGGUUGAUGUAAACCUCACCUUAUCCUUAGUGAUUGGACUAUAAGUCUUCCAUACUUAUUAUAGGAUGGAUCCCUCAUUAGUAUGUUGAAGCUCUCCUCGCAUGGUGGAUUGUUGGUUUAGGUAGAGUUUUCUCCCUUUGAUAACAAAAGACCUUAAGGCUUUUGACAAAUCAAUUCACCCACUUAUUUUGAGAUUUUUACCCCAAACUACGAGGUUUUGAUCCUACCUUUGUGAUGGAACGUAGGCAAUGGGUUUAUCCAUUCAAACAACAAAAUUGUAAAUAUGUAUAUUCUUUUCUCAUCUCCCCAAUCAUGUUUGCACAAAUAUUUUCACAAAUACCAACCUACAAUACACAUUGCAAAAAGGGCUCCCUUAGAGUACUAAGGAUGUUUUGGGUGCUUAAAACCUUCCCAUUGCAUAACCAACCCCCUUACCCAGAUCUCUGACAUUUUUAUUAGUUUUUGAUUUGAUAAAACUUCUCGGAAAGGGCUCCCUUAGAGUACUAAGGAUGUUUUGGGUGCUUAAAACCUUCCCAUUGCAUAACCAACCCCCUUACCCAGAUCUCUGACAUUUUUAUUAGUUUUUGAUUUGAUAAAACUUCUCGGUUUUUGCUCGCUUUCUAACCUUUCCUUUGGAUAAACAGAAGUGCAGUGGCGACUUGAAUUGUAUGCUUACUUUUGAUUUAGUCAAUAAAUCAAAAGGUAACGAAUAUCCCGCUACAUUGCCCAUUGGAUUUUCUGACAUGGUCAUCAUGGGGGGAAGAGUAGAAGAAGGAUUGAAAAAUGGUAAAAUUUAGGGAGGUUCCAGCAGUCAACCAAUCUUGAAGAAGCCUUUCAACGGAUUCAAGAGGAGGGAGGGAGAGACCAUUUUCAUUUCUUCUCAAAGGGUAGGACGCCACCUAGGGAUCCUGCUCUUGUUCCUUAUUAUCACUACCCUUACGUAGCAGCUGCUCAGUAUCCAACGAUUCCUUAUCAUCCAGUUGCUCAUAUUCCUAUUACAACUUCUAUACCUCAGUAUCAAGUUCCAGUUUCUCAAUAUCAAGAUAUGCGGCCUCAGUUCCAGGCUCAUCCACUUUAGUAUCAACAGAGAAAUCAAUAGAAAAAUAAACAAUGUUCGGUUCAACAACAAUGACCAAAUCAAUAGAGGCCAGAUCAACAGUAUAAUAAUGAAAAUACCACUCCUAUCCCAGUGACUUACACUUAAUUGCUACCGUAUCUUGUUCAGAAUGGGAUUGUCGUGCCUAGGGCAUUACCUCAAAUGUCGAAGCCUUACAAGCCUUGGUAUGAUGAGAACGCUAGGUGUGCCUUUCAUGCUAAUUCAGAGGGUCAUACAAUAUAGAAUUGCAAAGUGUUCAAGCUCCUGGUCCAAGAGUUGAUAGACCAGAAAAUAUUGUCUUUUGUUGAUAUUCUGAAUGUGGGGAACAAUCAUUUUCCUAAAUAUGGUGGUUCGUGCGUCAAUGCUAUAGAAAAUCUAAUUGGUGAAGGAUUGAUAAAAGAUGUGUUCAAGUUGAAGACUCCCUUAAUAGUAGUCCAUGCUAGAUUGAUGGAAGUAUAAUUGAUGAAGGGAGUACAUGAUAAUUGUGUGGUGCAUUCAUCUAACCCUGAUCAGCGUGUUGAAUUCAAAAUUUGUCUUCAACGUUUGAUAGAUCAGCGGGUUAUUCAGUUCACCAGAGCGAAGAUUGAUGAGUUGUGAUUGUGCAUGUGUUUGAUCAAGAGAGACUUCCUAAGCCCUUUGUGGCCCCUUAUCAAAGAAAUGUUUACCUAGAGCCAAUGAAGAAGAUUGAGCCCAUAGAUAUCUAUGUUCCCGCUCCAUUCUCAUUUGACAGUACCAAAGCAGUGCCUUGGAACUAUGAGCUUGUAGUUUAUGUGGGUAACAAACCAGUAAUCUUGAAAGAACCGAAUGUGACUAACAUUGUUGGAGCUAGUGGUGUGACUCGUAGUGGAAGCGUUUUAGCUACUGAAGUGAUCCAAAGCAAAGCAAGUACGCUUCACGUUUCCAUUUAGUGUACAUAUGUUACUUUGGCUCGAGUGCUGGUUGAUACAGGUUCAUCCUUGAAUGUGUUGCCGAAGACUACCUUAGCACAACUGAAUAUUAAAGGGGUGCAAAUGAGACCUAGUGCUUUGAUAAUGAAAGCUUUUGAUGGGUAUGAGCGAAUGGUUAUUGGGGAGAUUGACCUCCCAAUCCUCAUUGGCCCUCAAACUUUCCGUAUUACCUUCCAGGUAAUGGAUAUCAGGCAUGCCUAUAACUGUUUGUUAGGUAGACCGUGGAUCCAUGCUGCUGGAGUUGUCACCUCGAUACUCCACCAUAAGCUGAAGUUUAUUACUUCUUGUAAGCUAGUAUCAAUAUCCGGAGAGGAAGAUAUUUUCGUCAACCAUAUGACUACAUUCAGAUACACUGAAGUAGAAGAAGACAUUGUUGAAACUCCUCUCCAAGACCUUGAAAUAGUGAAUAUGGUCCAGACUAAGUCGAAGCCUGUUAAAGAAACCAAGGGGGUCAUGUCCUCGUGGAAGAGUGUGAAAGAUGCAAUUGAAGUUGGCUUCCCUAGAAGUUGGGGCCCAGUGAUAGAAUUACCAGAGAAGAAAGACAAGUGUGGAUUGGGAUAUCAGUCGUUUGUUGAAUUGUUCAAAGAUCAGAAGAUACACCAGGGGAAGGUUCCUAGCAUCCAAGAAAUAUUCUCUAAAGUUGGUUUCUAAAGUGAUGAUCAAGUGAAUGCUCUUGAAUAUAAAGAUCUAGAUUUGUCCGAGAUGGUGGUUUGUGGACCUUCAGAUGCUGCUCUCACUAAGUGGAAGGCAACAGAUGUUCCGGAGAUAGUUUCUUGUUCAAAGUAAUUUCCUGUUUUCUAAAAAAUCCUAUGUCAUGCCCAAGGCAUAUGUAUAGAUUUGUAGGGCCCAUUUUUUGUUAAUAUUUAAGCCUUAUCAUCCAUACAAAGCACUUUUUUGAGAUCUUUGUCUUUCAUCUUUUUAAUUUUUUUUACAAACAAAUAAACAACAAAAUAAAAAAAUGUCAUUUUUUAUUCAGCUUCACUUUCAUUUUUCCAAAAUUCGUACCGCUAAAAAGUAAAAUCAUUUCCCUGCAUAUCAUUAAUAAUUGAAUCCAUUGAACACGACAAUGUUAUAAUUCCCUAUGACUUCAACCUCCCGAUUAACCAAGAUGAAGAGGAUGGUAAGAAAGACUACGAACUCCCAAAAGAGUUGGCUAUACUUUUGAAACAAGAGGAAAAUAUGAUUAAGCCUCAUCAGGAACCAGCGGAUGUGAUCAAUCUGGAGAUUAAGGAGGAUCGAAAGGAAGUCAAGGUAGGAGCUUCCUUGAAGCAAAGUGUGAAGGAGGAACUGGUUAAGCUGCUAAAUGAAUAUGUGGAUGUGUUAGCUUGGUCAUAUCAGGAUAUGCCAGGACUCGGCACCGACAUAGUUGUGCACAAGCUACCGUUGAAGACGGAAUGCCCUCCCAUCAAGCAGAAGCUGAGAAGAACUCGACCAGACAUAAUUGUCAAGAUCAGAGAAGAGGUCAAGAAGCAGUUUGAUGCAGUUUUUCUAGCUGUUGCAACUUACCCGCAAUGGAUUGCUAAUAUUGUGCUAGUUUCGAAGAAAGAUGGCAAAGUUUGAAUAUGUGUAGACUACAGAGAUAUGGAUAGAGCUAGUCCAAAAGAAGAUUUUCCUUUACCUCAUAUUAAUGUAUUGGUAGAUAACAUAACUCAGUUCUCUAUAUUUUCCUUUAUGGAAGGAUUCUCAUGAUAUAACCAUAUCAAAAUGUCUCCCGAAGAUAUGGAGAAAAUAACUUUUAUUACACCAUGGGGAACUUUAUGUUAUAAGGUGAUGCCUUUCGGCUUGAAAAAUGUUGGGGAAACUUAUCAAAGGGUCAUGGUAACUCUUUUCAAUGAUAUGAUGCAUAAGGAGAUUGAAGUCUAUGUGGAUGACAUGAUUGCCAAGUCUCAUAAUGAGGAGGGGCAUGUUAUUCAUCUAAAGAAGUUGUUUGCAAGACUGACAAAAUAUAGACUAUGUUUAAAUCCUGCUAAGUGCACUUUCAAUGUCAGGUAUGGAAAGCUAAUAGGGUUCAUUAUGAGCCAGAGAGGCACGGAGGUUGAUCCCGACAAAAUCAAAGUUAUUCAAGAAAUGCCAGCACCUUGUACAGAGAAGCAAGUUUGUCGUUUCUUGGGAAAAUUGAACUAUAUUGCCAUAUUCAUUUCGCAUAUGACGGCCACCUGCGAGCCAAUAUUCAAGUUGUUAAGAAAAUAUCAAGUUGUUAAGUGGAAUGGUGAUUUCCAUAGUGCGUUCAAUAAAAUAAAACAGUAUCUUCAAGAACCACCAAUCUUGAUGCCACUAGUGCCAGGAAGGCCUCUCAUUAUGUAUUUGACAGUACUUGAUGAAUCCAUGGGAUGUGUACUGGGGUAACAUGAUAAGACGGGUAGAAAAGAGCAUGUUAUCUACUACCUGAGUAAGAAGUUUGCAAAAUGUGAAAUCAGGUACUCCAUGCUAGAAAAGACUUGUUGUGCAUUAGCAUGGGCCUCUCGCCAUCUGAGACAGUACAUGAUUUGCCAUACAACGAUGUUAAUAUCCAAUAUGGUAUCCAUCAAGUACAUCUUCGAGAAACCCGGAUUAACUGGAAGAAUCGCUCGCUAGCAGAUGUUGUUAUCAGAAUAUAACAUUCAGUAUGUAACUCAGAAGGCCAUUAAGAGCACUGUGUUGUCAGAGUACCUUGCACACCAGCCAAUGGAGGACUAUCAAUCAAUGAGAAUCGACUUCCCAAAUGAAUAUGUCAUGUACAUAAGAGACUAUGAGAUUCUAGGCGUAGAAGAAGGACCCAAACCAGGAUCGCGGUGGGCACUUGUGUUCGAUGGUGCCUCAAAUGCAUUAGGUAACGGAAUUGGGGUUGUUAUUACUUCUCCAACGGAUUUUCAUCUUCCCUUCACAACAAGGUUAUGUUUCAAAUGCACCAAUAACAUGGCGGAGUAUGAAGCAUUCAUCUUGGGAAUUGAAGCAGCUAUUGAUCUACGAAUCAGAUUCUUGAAGUGUAUGGGGACUCAACACUUGUCAUCUAACAAAUCAAAGGAGAUUGGGAGACCCAUCAUCCCAAUUUGAUCCCAUACCAAGAGCAUGUCAUGAAGCUAAUCCCCUACUUUGAUGAUAUUAUUUUCCAUCAUAUUCCUAGGGAGGAGAAUCGGCUAGCCGAUGCCUUGGCUACUAUGUCAUCUAUGUUCAAAGUAAAGUGGGAUAAUGAAUCACCUACUAUUACAAUUCAACGUCUAGACGGGCCAGCAAAUUACUUAGCAAUUGAAGUAGAAAUAGAUGGAAAGCCCUAAUUUUAUGACAUCAAGCGAUAUCUUGAGAAGCACGAGUAUCUAGAUGACGUCUCCAUCACAGACAAGAAGACCUUGAGGAAGUUAUCAGCCAACUUCUUCCAAAGUGGUGGUGUUCUAUACAAAAGAAACUUUGAUUUAGUUCUGCUCAGAUGUAUGGAUAGAUACGAAGCAGACCUACUCAUCAAAGAGAUUCAUGAAGGUUCUUUCGUCAUUCAUGAAAAUAGACAUGCAAUGGAGAAUAAAAUCCUUAGAGUUGGUUACUAUUGGUUGACGAUUGAAACAGACUGUUACCACUAUGCCAAGAAGUGCCACAGGUGUCAAAUUUAUGCUGACAAGGUGCACGUGCCACCUACUCCUAUGAAUGUUUUAUCUACUCCAUGGCCAUUAUCAAUAUGGGAAUAAACCUGAAUGAUAUGAUUUAGCCUAAUGUUGCAAAUGUACAUUGCUUCAUUCUGGUUGCCAUUGACUACUUCACCAAGUGGGUAGAGGUUACUUCUUAUUCCAACGUGACGAAACAAAUGGUAGCCCAGAUUAUCAAGAGAGAGAUAAUAUGUCUCUACUGAAAUCCUAGCAAGAUUAUCAUUGAUAAUGGAUCAAAUAUGAAUAAUAAGAUGAUGAAGGAGUUGUGUGAAAAUUUCAAGAUUGAACACCAUAACUUGUCACCUUAUAGGCCAAAGAUGAACGGAGCUGUAGAGGCGGAUAACAAGACUAUCAAGAAGAUCAUUCAGAAGAUGGAAAAAACUUAUAAGGACGGGCACGAGAUGCUACCCUUUGCAUUGCAUGGAUAUCGAAGAGUUGUUUAUACUUCAACAGAGGCAACCCCUUUCUCCCUAGUCUAUGUCGUGGAGUUUAUGUUACCAAUAGAAGUUGGGAUCCCCUCGUUGAGAGUCUUGAUGGAGACAGAAUUAGAAGAAGUAGAAUGGAUUCAAACCAGGAUUGACUAGUUCAAUCUAAUUGAAGAAAAGAGGAUGACAACAUUAUGUCACGGUCAGUUAUAUCAGAGAAGGCUCAAGCGGGCAUUUGACAAGAAGGUUCGAUCUCGAGAGUUUAGUGUAGGUGAACUAGUUUUGAAAAAGAUAAUCUUCCUUUAAAAGGAUUCAUGUGGCGAGUGGGUUCCCAAUUAUGAAGGAGUGCUUGUGGUGAAGAAAGCUUUCUCUGAUGGAGCUUUGGUUCUCACAAACAAGGAUGGAGAAGAGUUGUCACACCCCGUCAGUUCUCAUGUAGUCAGAAAGUCUUAUGCCUAAGAAAAAGAUAUGGAUAAUAAAAGCUCUCUAAGUUGAAAACCCGAAAGGGAAACUUAUGCAAAAAUGAGUAUUCCGGUGAGUUGAAAACCCAAAAGGGCGACUCAAGCAAAAAUUAGGGAUAAACAAAACAAUUAAGCCCGGUAAGUCGAAAACCCGAAAGGGGGGCAUAAGCAAAAAAAAAGGGUAAAAUCUCCUAGUGAACUGAAACUCUUAGAAGCGGUUCACACAAAAGUUAAGGAAUAUCCAAAUGCAUAAUAAUGCAGCAGCACAAGUCAGCACCGUGACAAAGCUCAAAUGGAAAGGAAUAGUCCAAUUGCCAUCUCCAGAAGCAAAGUAAUGAGGACUAUAGAACAUAGGGGAAAAUAGAAAAGUUGUAUUUCUAUGGAAAUUCAAUUAAACUUUUGUUGCCAUUUACUUGUUUUUUCCUCUGUAACCUCCUCUUAUAGGGGUUUAGAUCUUCGUGUACCCCGUGUAGGAGUUAUUCUUCUCAUAAAGUAAAAUUGUUCAGUUGAACAUUGAUUUACCAAUUACUUUUUUUCUGCUUAAUGUCGCUUUUACUUUUGAUAAGAUAAAAAAAAUAAAAUAGUGGGAUUAACAAAGCUUUUGAAAACUUUAAUUUAUUUUGAUUUUAAAAAUAUCGAAGGAAUGUUUGUUGGUUUAAAACAAUGCAUCUGGUUCACAAGACGUGGAGUAUUUCCUGGAUCAUUGUGAUCUAAAGCAAUUUUGAAAUGGCUUUUGUUUCGGGACCAAGAAAUCCUCACUGAAGCCCGCUUGGCGGCAAAGCAGAAAUCAGUGUUUCUUCAAAAGUCUUUCAUGGUGUCAGUGAUAUUUAAGACAAGGCGUCAGGGAAUCAGAGCUUGAUGCAUAAACUAAUAUAUACAUGCAUUCAUCUUCUUGCAUAACAUGUAGAAAAUUGAUCAUGCAUAAAAUUCAUCAGGAUUCAGCAACCUCUCAAGGAAGUUCAGUGUAAUCCUCAUCAGACCAAGAUGCAAGAGGUGUUCUCAAAAGUAGAACAUUUCUUUUCUUGAUUAAACAUUUUCAGAAUUCGAUCAUUGUUAAGUGGUUAUUCUCAAGACAAGUUUAUUCCCAAGGAAGAUGAUGGAUAUUCUCCCAUUGAGACUCUAGUGUCAACGGAAUUUCUAUUUGGUUUCCCCUGUAGUUAUUCCCCACAAAUUUUCCCCUGUAUUUUAUUUUCUCCAGCAAAAUUUCAUGAACUCCCCAAGCGUGUUUCAUACCAGCAGGAUUCCUAAGAAAGGUAUCCCCAACAACUUUAUCUUCAGCAAGUCUCUUUGAAGUAGUUGUCUAAGAUGGACAUCUCUUUGCAAGUUAGCACUCUCCCCAACAGAGUCGCUAGGUGCGCAGCGUGAAAAAUACCCGAGAAUAAGGAAAGCUCGAAAUAUAAACAAAACAAAGUCGCCACCAAAUUUUAUUUAUUCCCAAAGCGGGAAAGGAAAAAAUUGAUAAAGCCCAUGAAAAACAAAAAGAAAUGGUCAUCGCAACCAAAUCGGGUUCAGGAGUCGGUUAUGCAAGGGGAAGGUAUUAGCACCCCUCACAUCCAUCAUACUCGAUGCGACCCUUUUAGUUAGUUUCGUAUUAGAGUGUUAGUGUGAUAUCAUUUGCAAACUUCUACUUAUCAAGUGAAGAAAGAGAAAAUAAAGAAAGGAAAGACUUAAGGUUUUUUAAUUUUAAUGUGUCUGAUAAGAUUUCGCAAUCCUGCUCCUACGUAUCUUCAGGUGCUAUGAAGAACUCAAGGCAUACAUAGUUCUACUAAAAGAUAAAUACUGGAUGAAUUACUUUUAAAUAGAGUGAUGCUUGGAUCAUAUUUGAGUGAUUAAAUAUUUACUUGCUAGUCGCUCUUUGAGGCUGAAGUCUUUGUUUGUUUCGCGUCGAAACGGAUGUAGCAUACCCUUUUUUGAAAAUGUUAUCGGGGUCGCACAAGGGAGGAAAACAAGUUUGAUGAGUUGAGUUAAUUUAAAAAGGAGGCAGACAUCCAAGCAGGGAGCUCUACAACAUUACUCGAAUCCCCGAAAAGUAAGAGGCCCAAGCCCAAUCACUCUCUUUUCAUCCAAAAUUUUGUUAUGAAAAUGUGUGGCAAAUAAGGUUAAAGUUCAUUAAUGGAAGAUGAUUAUUCAGACAGGGAGCUCUAAUGCAGUGUCCAAAUAAUCGACAAAGAUAAGGUCGAUACCCAAUUAAUCUUUUUCUUUUAUAAAAUAAAUGACAUGAUUCUGGUAGUCAUUGUGUUUUAAUAUGGAAGAUGAAUGUUUGAACAUGAAGCUCUAUAGUAGUAUCCUAACAUUCAAAACAGAGAAAGACUAAACAUAAUCAGUUUAUUCCAUUUUUAGUGUAAACAGGUUUUUAAAAUAGAGGGAUGACUUGAUAUUGGAUCAAGUGUCAGAAGUUUACUUAUAAAAAGAAUUUGGAUGUGGCGGGGUGAGAAAAGAUAGUUUUGAUUGGUUUCGAUCGCACAUGGGCGAGAAGUUAGGUCUGAUUUGUUUGAAUAUGUUUUAGAAUUGAAGACGAAAAAGAUAGUUUUGAUUGGUUUCGAUCGCACAUGGGCGAGAAGUUAGGUCUGAUUUGUUUGAAUAUGUUUUAGAAUUGAAGACGGCUAUUCAAAUAGGGAGCUCUACAACAAUGUUCAAAUAAUUGGAGACUUGGGAAGGUAUAAACUCAAUCACUCUUUUUUUUCUAUAAGAGAACCAGUUGAAUUCAAUUAAUUAUUAUAUUUUCAUAUGGAAGACGAUUAUUCGGACAUAGAGCUCUACAACAUUAUCCAAAUAUUCAGGGAAGGGGAAAUUAUAUACCAUCCUUCCUUUUUUCAUCCAUUUUGUUUAUAAAAAAAAUUUAUUUCAAACACGCUUGAAAAAAAUCUAAGCGAAAGUCAGAAACUCGAGCGGACGCAGUAUUACAACUUAUACCCAACGUGAUACUAUUGCAUUAAAAAUCUCAAAAUCAUUUUUUGAAAAUUUUAUAAUAACAAUAAAAAGGUUUUAAGUGAUUUGUGUUAUGUUAGAAAAUGAGUGAAUAUCUAAAUUUAGAGGAACUCGGAACGGGCUCCAUGAUUAACAGUACAAGACCAUACAAAUAGUAAUAUAAGCUUGGAACACCCGCUACUUGAUAUAUGAAGAGAAAUUUCAUAAGGGAAGAGGUGUAGUAACACUUUAGUCUCAAAUACACAUUGCAUAUUAAGCACCAGAACCUAAAACAAAUAGACCAAAAAUUAAAUAUUCAUAACUUCACGGUAUCAUGCAUACACCUUAACUAAACAAUUAAAGAAUGCUAAAAUGAGUCAGAAACCACACGGUACCAUCAUAUUGGAUCACUUAGGGAAAAGUCAUUAUGCCCAUCACCUAAAUUAUAAUGUAAACAAAUAAUGUAUUCAUUCAUGUUAUUCAACCAUCAACUUAAUAAGAGUUUCUAUAAAAAAAGAAAUGGGAUAACUUAAAAAUGAAAAUAUGAUGUAAAUGGAUACUGUGUUCAUUCAUAUUAUUCAAUCAUCAACUUAAUAAGAGUUUCUAUACCAAAAAAAACAAAAAUAAAUGGGAUAACUUGAAAAAUAAAAAUACGAACCAAAUUAAUCAGUUAGUUUUCUCUAAAGAGAACCAUCACAAAGAAUGUUCAAGUUCAAUCAUCACCACAUCCACUUAUCAAUAAAACAAGUUAUUUGGUAAAGAUCUUAACAACACAGAUCAUACAUAUCUAACAAUACAAAAUUUAAGGCAGUCUCUAUUUUAAACCUUGAGAAAAUCAUAAGGACCAAAAAUAUAUCUUCCCUUUGCAUAACCGAAUCUCGAACCCGAUUCGGUUGUGAUGACCAUUUCUUUUUGUUUUUUGUGGGUUUUGUUGAUAUUUUCUCUUUCCAUCUUUGUGAGUUGAAAACCUGAAAGGGAGAGUUAUGCAAAAAUUAGGGAUAAACAAAAAAGUUAAGCCCGGUAAAUCGAAAACCCGAAAGGGCGGCUUAAACAAAAAAAGGAUAAAAUCUCUCGGUGAACUGAAAACUCUUAGGAGUGGUUCACACAAAAGUUAUGGAAUAUCCAAAGGCAUAAUACUGCUGAAGCACAAGGAAACACCGUGACAAAGCUCAGAUGGAAAGGAACAAUCCAAUUGCCAUCUACAGAAGUAAAGUAAUGAGGAGUAGAGGACAUAAGGGAAAAUAGAAAAGUUGUAUUUCGAUGGAAAUUCAGUUAAAUUUAUCUUUCCAUUUACAUUAUUUCUUUCUCUGUAAUCUCCUCUUAGAGAGAUUUACAUCUUCAUGUACCCCAUGUAUGAGUUAUUCUUCUCAUCAAAUAAAAUUGUUCAGUUGGACAUUGAUUUACUCAUUACUUUUGUUUUUUUCUGCUUAAUGUCGCUUUAACUUUUGAUAAGUUAAAAACAUUAAAAAGUCGUAAAUCAAAGCUAUUGAAAACUUUAAUUUAUUUUGAUUUUGAAAAUAUCGGAGGAAUGUUAAUUGGUUUACAACAAUGCAUCUAGUUCACUAGACGUGGGGCAUUUCCCAGAUCAUUGUGAUAUAAAGCAAGUUUGAAAUGGCUUUUCUUCCAGGAGCAAGAAGUCCUCACUGAAGCCCGCUUGGCAAUAAAGCAGAAAUCAAAGUUUUUGUAAAAUUCUUUCAUGGUGUCAGUGUUAUUCAAGGCAAGGCGACGGGGAAUCAAAGUUUGAUGCAUAAACUAAUAUAUACAUGCAUUCAUUUUCUUCUUGCAUAUCAUGUACAAAAUUGAUCAUGCAUAAACCUCAGUCGGAUUCAAUAACCUCCUAAGGAAGUUCAGUGUAAUCCUCAGCAGACCAAGAUGCAAGAGGUAUUCUCAAAAGUAGAACAGUUCUUUUCUUCAGUAAACAUUUUCAGAAGUCGAUCAUUGUUAAGUGAUGAUUCUCAAGACGAGCUUCUUCCCCAAGAAGGUGAUGAAUAUUCUCCCAUUGGUACUCUGGUGUCAUCGAAAUUUAUGCUUGAUUUCCCCAGUAAUUAUUCCCCACAGAUGUUCCUUUGUAUUUUAUUUUCUUCAACAAAACUUCAUGAACUCCCCAAGCGAGUUUCAUACCACCAGGAUUCCUUAAGAAAGGUAUCCCCAUCAACUUUAUCUUCAACAAGUCUCUUUGAAGUAGUUGUCUAAGAUGGGUAUCUCUUUGCAAGUUAUCAAUCUCCCCAGCAGAGUCGCCAAUUGUCGUAGCGCGAAAAAUACCUGAGCGUAAGGAACACUCAAAAUAUAAACAAAACAGAGUCGCCACCGAAUUUUAUUUGUUUCUAGAGAGAUAAAGGGAAAAUAUCGAUAAAACCCACGAAAAAAAGAAAUGUUCAUCGCAACAAAAUCGGGUUCAGGAUCCGGUUAUGCAAGGGGAAGGUAUUAGUACCCCUCAAAUCCAUCAUACUCGAUGGGACCCAUUUAGUUAGUUUCGUGUUAGAGUGUUAUCAUGAUAUCAUUUGAGAACUUCUACUUAUUGAAUGAAGAAAGAGAAAAUAAAGAAAGGAAAGACUUAGGAGUUUUUAAUAUUAAUGUGCUUGACAAGAUUUUGUAAUCCUGCUCCUACGUAUCUUCAGGUGCUAUGAAGAACUCAAGGCAUAAGUAGUUCUACUAAAAGAAAACUACUCGGUAGAUUGCUUUUAAAGAGAGUGGUGCUUACCUUUACUUGCUAGUCACUCUUGGAGGUUGAAUUCUUUGUUUGUUUCGCGUCGAAAUAAACGUAGCAUACUCUUUUCUAAAAAUGUUUUUAGGGUCGUGCAAGGGCGGAAAACAAGUUUGAUGAGUUAAGUUGAUUUUAAGUUCAGACAUGCAUCCAAGCAAGGAGCUCUAUUGUAGUACUCAAAUGCCCAAAAAGGAAGAGGUCUAAUCCCAAUCACUUUUUUUUCAUCCAAAAGUUUGUUAUGAAAAUGUAUGGUAAAUUAGGUCAAAGUUCAUUAACGGAAGGCGACUAUUCAGACAGGGAGCUCUAUUGCAGUGUCCAUAUAAUUGAGAAAGAGAAGACCGAUACCCAAUCGAUUGUUUUAUUCUAUAAGAGAAAUGACAUGAUUUUGGUAGUUAUUGUGUUUUAAUAUGGAAGAUGAAUGUUUGAAUAUGGAGCUCUACAACAGUAUCCUAACAUUGGAAACAGAGAAAUUCUAAACUUAAUCAGUUUCUAAAACUUUUUACUGUAAAAAGCUUUUAAAACAGAGGGACGACUUCUCAUAGGAUCAAGUUUCAAAACUUUACUUAUGCAAAGAAAUUGGAUGUGGAGAGGUGAGAAAAGAUAGGUUUGAUUGGUUUCGAUCGCACAAGGGCGAGAAGUUAGGUUUGAUUUGUUUGAAUAUGUUUUAGAAUUUAAGACGACUAUUCAAAUAGGAAGCUUUACAUCAAUGUUCAAGUAAUUGGAGAGUGAGGAAGGUCUAAACCCAAUCAGUCUUUUUUCUUCUAUAAGCGAACCAACUGAAUUCAAUUAAUUAUUGUAUUUUAAUACGAAAGACGUUCAUUAGGACAUAGAGCUCUACAGCAUUUCCUGAAUAUUUGGGGAAGGAGAAACUCUACACCAUCCUUCCCAUUUUGUUUGUAAAAAAAAUGGUGUCAAACACGCUUGAAAAAAAUCUAAGUGAAUGUCAGAAACUCGAUCGGACACAAUAUUACAGCUUAUACCCAAAGUGAUACAAUUGCAUUAAAAAUCUCAAAAUCAUUUUUUGAACAUUUUAUAAUAACAAUAAAAAGGUUGAAAGUGAUUUGUACAAUGUUAUAAAAUGAGUCAAUAUCUAAAUUUAGAGGAACUAAGAAGGGGUUUCAUGAUUAACUUGCAAGAACAUAAAAAAAUUAAUAUAACCUUGGAACACCAGCUACUUAAUAUAUGAUGAGAAAUUUCAUAAGGGCAAAGGUGUAGUAACACUUUAGUCUCAAAUACACAUUAUUUCAUAUUAAGCACCAGAACAUAAAACACAUAGACCAAAAUUUAAAUAUCCAUAACUUCGUGCGUACACCUUAACUAAACAGUUAAAGAAUGCUAAAAUGAGUCAGAAACCACACGGUAUCAUCUUAUUGGAUCACUUGGGGAAAAGUCAUUAUAUCCAUCACCCAAAUUAUAAUGUAAACAAAUAAUGUAUUCAUUCAUGUUAUUCAACCAUCAACUUAAAAAGAGUUUCUAUAGAAAAAAGAAAAGGGAUAACUUUAAAAUGAAAAUAUGAUGUAAACGAAUACUGUUUUCAUUCAUAUUAUUCAACCAUCAACUUAAUAAGAGUUCCUAUAUAAAAUGAUUAAAAAAAAGAAAUGGGAUAACUUGAAAAAUGAAAAUCUAAACCAAAUUAAUCAGUUAGUUUUCUCUAAAGAGAACCAUCACAGAGUAUGUUCAAGUUCAAUCUGCACCACAUCCACUUAUCAAUAAAACAAAUUAUUUGGCAAAGACCUUAACAACACAGAUCAUACAUUAAACAUCAUAUAUAUUAGAAUAACAUAAUGUCUAACAAUAAAAAAGUUAAUGCAGACUCUAUUUACAACCUUGAAAAAACUUUAAGGACCAAAUAUAUAUCUUCUCCUUGCAUAACCGAAUCUCGAACCCGAUUCGGUUGCGAUGACCAUUUCUUUUUGUUUUUCGUGGGUUUUGUUGAUAGUUUCCCUUUCCCUUUUUGGGAAUAAUUAAAAUUCGGUGGUGACUCUGUUUUGUUUAUAUUUCGAGCAUUCCUUACGCUCAAUUAUUUUUCGCGUUGCGACAGAGAGUUCAGUGUAGGUGAACUAGUUUUUAGAAAAGAUAAUCUCCCUUCAGAAGGAUUCACGUGGCAAGUGGAUCCCCAAUUAUGAAGGACCUUUUGUAGUGAAGAAAGGUUUCUCUGGUGGAGCUUUGGUUCUCACUAACAUGGAUGGAGAAGAGUUGACACACCCCGUCAUUUCUGAUGUAGUCAGAAAGUAGUAUGCCUAAGAAAAAGAGAUGGAUAAUAAAAGCUCGCUAAGUUGAAAACCCGAAAGGGCGACUUAGGUAAAAAUGAGCAUCCCGGUGAGUUGAAAACCCGAAAGGGCAACUUAAGAAAAAAUUAGGGAUAAAUAAAAAAAUUAAUCCCGGUAAGUCGAAAAUUCGAAAGGGCGGCUUAAGCAAAAAAACGGGUAAAAUCUCCCGGUCAACUGAAACUCUUAGUAGCGGUUCACAUAAAAGUUACAAAAUAUCCAAAGACAUAAUACUACAGCAGCACAAGUCAACACUGUGAAAAGGCUCAGACGGAAAGGAACAGUCCAAUUGUCAUCUCUAGAAGCAAAGUAAUAAGGACCAUAUAACGUAGGGGAAAAUAGCAAAGUAGUAUUUCGAUGGAAAUUUAGUUAAAUUUCCAUUUCCGUUUACUUGAUUUUUUCUCUGUAAUCUCCUCUUAUAGGGGUUUACAUCUUCGUGUACCCCAUGUAUGAGAUAUUUUUGUCAUAAAAUAAAAUUGUUCAGUUGAACAUUGAUUUACCAAUUACUUUUGUUUUUUCUGCUUAAUGUCACAUUUACUUUUGAUAAGAUAAAAACAUUAAAAUAGUGGGAUUAACAAAGCUUUUUAAAACUUUAAUUUAUUUUAAUUUUUAAAAUAUCGAAGGAAUGUUUGUUGGUCUAAAACAAUGCGUCUGGUUCACAAGGCAUGGGGCAUUUCCUGGAUCACUGUGAUCUAAAGCAAAUUUUAAAUUGUUUUUCUUCCAGAAGCAAGAAGUCCUCACUGAAGCCCGCUUGGCGGCAAAGUGAAAAUAAGAGUUUUUGCAAAAUUCUUUCAUGGUUUCAGUGUUAUUCAAGACAAGGCGUUGGGGAAUCAAAGCUUAAAGCAUAAACUAAUAUAUACAUGCAUUCAUUUUCUUAUUGCAUAUCAUGUACAAAACUGGUCAUGCAUAAACCUCAGCCGGAUUCAACAACCUCUCAAGGAAGUUCAGUGUAAUUCUCACCAGACCAAGAUGCAAGAGGUGUUCUAAAAAGUAGAACAGUUCUUUUCUUCAGUAAACACUUUCAGAAGUCGAUCAUUGUUAAGUGAUGAUUCUCAAGGUGAGUUUCUUCCCAAAUAAUAUGAUGGAUAUUCUCCCAUUGGUACUUUGGUGUCAACGGAAUUUCUUCUUGAUUUUCCCAGUAGUUAUUCCCCACUGAUUUUCCCCUGUAUUUUAUUUUCUCCAUCAAAAAUUCAUGAAUACCCAUAGCGAGUUUCAUACCAGCAGGGUUCUUUUAGAAAGGUAUCCCAUCAACUUUAUCUUCAGCUAGUCUCUUUGAAGUAGUUGUAUAAGAUGGGCAUCUCUUUGCAAGUUAGCAAUCUCCCUAGCAGAGUCGCCAGUUGUUACAACGCGAAAAAUACCCGAGUGUAAGGAAUGCUCGAAAUAUAAAAAAAAUAGAGUCUCCCCCAAAUUUUAUUGAUUCCCAUAGAGGGAAAGGGAAAAUAUUGAUAAAACCCACGAAAAACAAAAAAAAUGGUCAUCGCAAUGAAAUCGGGAUUGUGAGUCGGUUAUGCAAGGAGAAGAUAUUAGCACACCUCACAUCCACCGUACUCGACGGGACCCACUUAGUUAGUUUCUUGCUAGAGUGUUAGUGUGAUAUCAUUUUUGAACUUCUACUUAUUGAGUUAAGAAAGAGAAAAUAAAGAAAGGAAAGACUUAUGGUUUUUUAAUAUCAAUGUGCCUGACAAGAUUUUGCAAUCCUGCUCCUGCGUAUCUUCAGGUGCUAUGAAGAACUUAAGGCAUACGUAGUUCUACUAAAAGAGAACUACUGGAUUGAUAGCUUUUAAAGAGAGUGAUGCUUGGAUCAUAUUUGAGUGAUUAAACCUUUACAUGCUAGUCUCUCUUAGAGGUUGAAGUCUAUGUUUGUUUCGCGUCAAAAUGGAAGUAGCAUACUCUUUUCUGAAAAUGUUUUUGGGGUCACGCAUGGGUGGAAAACAAGUUUGAUGAGUUAAGUUGAUUUUAAGUCAAGACAGAAGACCAUGCAGGGAGCUCUACUGCAGUACUCAAAUGCCCGAAAAGGAAGAGGCCUAAGCCCAGUCACUCUUUUUUCAUCCAAAAGUUUGUUAUGAAAAUGUAUGGACAAUUAGGUCAAAUUUCAUUAAUAGAAGGCGACAAUUUAGACAGGGAGCUCUACUUGUUGGUGUAAGCCCUAGAGGCCAAUACUUUUGGUACUUGUAUCGAAUUAUUUAUUAAUAAUAAAAGGCAUUUUCUUUAUUAUGGUUGAUUAAUAAAGUCCCUAGAAUAGAUAGUCCGUUUAAUGUAUUAAGUGUGACUUAAUCAUGAGAACACAUUAAACAUAAGGGCACUAUUCUUAAAGUAUCCGUAGUCGAGCUUUAAUGUGAAGUGGGAUAACAUUAAAGCAUUAAGACUAUUAUGUAUGUAGACUGAUGAUCACAUCUCAUGGAUCAUGGAUAAAGAGUUAUCAAGUCUUAAACAUAGGUAUGAAUAUUAGGAGUAAUAUUUAUACCGGAUUGACCCGCUAUGAGAAUACUAUAUAGAAAGUUAUGCAAAGUGUCAUAAGUUAUUCUCAUGGUGAUAAUAGUGUAUACCACUCUUCGACCUGAAACCACUAUGGAUCCUAGAUGUAGAGUCGAGUGCUUUAUUGCUGAUCCAACGUUGUCCGUAACUGGAUAACCAUAAAGACAGUUGAUGGGUACUCCACGAAGCAUGCUGAGGGACAUGAGUGUCCUAGAUGGAAUUUGCCAAUCCUGCGUAACAGGAUAAAUGUCUAUGGGCCCAAUAUUGAACUGGACAAGGGUGACACGGUCUAUACCUUGUGUUCAAUAUAGACAUAAGGGCAAAGGGGUAAUUAUACACAUAAUUAUUAUCACAGGAGGUUUUGUCAGAUCACAUGACAUUUUCGUGACUUGGGUAGCAGUGAUGUGUUGCUAGAUACCGCUCACUGUUUAUUAUGUUAAAUGCGUGAUUUAAUAUAAUUGCCAACGUCGCGAAAACCUAUAGGGUCACACACAAAGGACGGAUUGAUGAGAGAUAGAGUAAUUAAGGAACAUCGUAAGGUACGGUGUACUUAAGUAGAAUACGAAAUAUGGUAAGGUACCAAAUACUUAAGUGAUUUUGGCAUAUUAUGAGAUAUGGGCCAAAAUGCACUUAAGUGGGCUUUUUGGCUUGAAGCCCACACAAGUGGUUCUAUAAAUAGAACCCCUUGGGUAGAAGCAUUGUCACUCCACACCACUCAGACAGAAAUUCAAGUAGAGACUUGGAAUUUUGUUUCCCUCUUUCUCUCACUCAAAGCCUUCAUUCAUAACAGCUAGCACUGCGAUUGAAGGAAUCCGUUCGUGUGGACUGAGUAGAGACGUUGUCAUCGUUCAACGUUCGUGAUCGCCCCGUGGAUCUGUAUCAAAGGUUUUGAUCAUUAUCAGAGAUCUGCACCAAAGGUUUGAAUCGCCACAAGAGGUAACGAUUCUAUCACUGAUCAUGCCCAUUCGUAAGGAUCACUAAAUGGAGAAAUUUUUAAAUUCCGCUGCGCCUUGGAUGGCAAUUCUCCUACAGUGGUAUCAGAGCCACUUACGAAACCAUGAAUCUGAUAACUGUUUUUGUUCUGUAAUAAUAUGAUUAAAGACAGAAUGAAUCAAAGGUUAAAUUGAGAUCGAUCAAGUUACAUAUAUGUGAUAUAUGUAAUCCUGAUGCAAAAUACAUUAUAUAUGAUAUAGUGUUCUCGUUUCGUUCAUUCAAACCCUCGAUGAUUGUUUUCCUUUGAGCGAUCAAUGGUCGUUUGCUUCUUGAUCCGACAUUAGUAUGGUGAAGCAAUGACGUAUUGAUCAAUCAUACUGAAUUAACAAUCGAGAUGUGUUUGACGGUCUGAAAUUGGUGCAUCAGGGUUAGUGAUGGCACAAGGGUUGUGUUGUCAGAGAGUUAUGCGAUUGGGGUAUGACUGCACAAGAGUUGUGCGUUCUAAACACUUUUCCGAACAGUGUUAACCGGUUAACGCAUAUGGUUAACCGGUUAACGCAAUGCGAAAUAAUUUUUUUUUGAAUUUUCAAACAGUGUUAACCGGUUAACGCUUUUGGUUAACCGGUUAACGCAAGACGAAAUUCAGUUUUCAGACUUUUUCAAACAGUGUUAACCGGUUAACACAUAUGGUUAACCGGUUAACGCAAGGCGGAAAGCAGUUUUCCAAGACAUUUUCAAACAGUGUUAACCGGUUAACGCAUAUGGUUAACCGGUUAACGCAAGGCAGAAAACAAUUUUUUUUUUCAGAUUUCAAAACAGUGUUAACCGGUUAACGCAUAUGGUUAACCGGUUAACGCAAGGAAAUUUUCGCCCAUUCAGCUAACUCAGUGCUUUAAAAGUGUCAAGUGUUGAUACGAAAAGCGACAUCGAUUUUAAAUGAAUUGCUCAUUAAAAUGUGAUGAUCGGUCGUCGAAAUUUAAUUUGAUUUUAAUUAAUUAAAGGAAUUAAUUAUUAUAAUAAUAAAGUGUUUAUUAUUGUCUUGUGGUGAUCGGUUAUGGCCUUAGUUUUCCUUUAUUCUGCUUUGGAUUUUAAAAUACGACCUGCGUGUCGUGCCUCUCUCUUAAUCUCCCAAAUGUAACUUUCUUUUCUAUCUCACUCCCUCGUAUGUAAAACGAGUUUCUUCAUGUAAUGUAAUGAUAUGAAGAAAGCAAAGAAGUAGUGCCAAAGGAGACAACCUUGAAGAUCUUGCUUGGAGAAGCUUAGAUCGUUGUAGGUUAGCUUAGGUUCUCUCAUUGGCUUGGGAGAACAAUUGCGCUAGGGCCAUAACGUUUCAUUAUGUAUGUAUGUAUGUUGAUGCAUGUGAAUGUAUGUGAUGCAUUGAGAGACGGUUUAUAUGAUAACAAGCCGGUGAGAUCAGAAAAUUGCAAUUCCCUCAAAUAAUAUUAAGUUUAAGCUUUCCAAGUUUUAACACUCAUCAAGACUAGUAUCGAUAAUGUAGGUUUCGCCUAGCGAGGUGCAUGUUUUAUUAGUAAGGUGCGAUGGAUAAUUGUAAUAUCCAACUGUUAAACAAUGGGUCAAACUUAACUAAACAAAUAUAAUAAGAUUAUAUAUGUUGGAAGAUCCAUAUGAUGGAUUGGAAUAAGGAGUUAUUCACCCAACUGAAAUUUUCGAGAGUUGUAUGAGAUACAAUUGGAAGGAGUUCCUACCUAAAUAACCUAGUUUUGUGUAAUCCGCCUACGCGGACUUAAAACGAAGUGAAAUAUGGAUCUCGACCACUAAAAAAUCUUCCAACGGGAUUUUCCGAAUCAGAUGAUGAGGUCAUUUGUUUUGAGUAAAAUAGUGGAGCAUAUUUAAUUAAAGGCCUAAUUGAAUAUGUCAAGAUACUUAAUUUCAUUAAUCCUUGUAGAUACCAUGACAGAAACACCUCUAACAAAAUCCUGCGAUCAAUCCUUGAUAAGGAAAAAUUGUCUGGGACAAAUUUUCUGGAUUGGCACCGAAACCUGAGAAUGUUCCUCAAACAUGAUAAAAGCUGUAUGUCUUGGAGACACCUGUUCCUGAAGAGAACUCCUAGUUCUGCACCUAAGGCAGAAAGAGAUGCUUAUAAGAAGCAUGUCGAUGAUGCCAAUGAAACUGCUUGUCUCAUGCUGGCUACCAUGAACUCAGAAUUGCAAAAGCAACAGAAACAUGUCAGCGUUCGAUAUGAUCGAACACCUGAAGUUGCUCUAUCAAGAGCAAGCAAGGCAUGAGAGUUUGAAGUUUCAAAACCCUUUUUCAAAGCAAGUUAGCUGAGGGAGCCCCUGUAGGUCCCAUGUACUCAAGAUGAUUGGGUAUGUGGAAAACCUUGAGAGAUUGGGUUUUCCCCUCGAAAAGGAACUUGCAACUGAUUUGAUCUUGCAAUCGUUGCCAGAUAGUUUCAGUCAAUUUGUCCUAAAUUUCAAUAUGAUUGAUAUGGACAAAUCUCUCCUGAACUGCUCGCCAUGUUAAGAACUGCCGAGAAACUUGAAGUCAAAAGGGAAGUCCAUUGAUGAUCGGAAAUGGAAAGAGACAGAACAAAAGGCCACUAAGCAAGUGAUAAGGGAAGGGCAAGGAAGUUGCCAAUCCCAGACCCACUGCGCUUUGAAGCCUAGUGAGGGCAUAGCAAAAGAAGGCACCUGCUUCCAUUGCGGUAAGACCGGACACUGGAGGAACUGCCCAAAGUACCUGAAGAUAAGAAGAAUGGAGUAGAGACUUCAACUUCAGGUAUUUUUGUUAUUAAUUUAUCUAUUUCUGCAUCAUGGGUAUUAGAUACUGGAUGCGGUUCUCACAUUUGUACAAAUGUGCAGGAACUAAAAGGGAGUAGAGAUUUGGCAAAAGGUGAAGUCAACCUACGAGUUGGCUAUGGAGCAAAGGUUGCUGCUUUAGCCGUAGGAACUUUUGUAUUGACUUUACCUAAUGGUUUAAUAAUUCAGUUAGAGAACUGUUAUUAUGUACCUGCAAUUAGCAGGAAUAAUAUUUCCAUUACUUGUUUGGACAAGUUUGGUUUUUCAUUUAUAAUAAAGAACAAUUGUUGCUCAAUUUAUUUGAAUGAUAUAUUCUAUGCUACUGCACAAACGAACAAUGGACUAUAUGUCCUUGAUCUUGAAAUACCUAUUAAUAACAUUAAUACAAAAGGGGGUGAAACCUAACAAGUUGACACCAACUAGGUAAGAAUAUAAAAACUCUUCGAUCAGAUCGAAGUGGUGAGUAUUUAAUCCUAGAGUUUGAUGACCAUCUGAAGGAGUGUGGGAUCCUAUCCCAACUUACUCCUCCUGACACAUCCCAAUGGAAGGGUGUAUCUGAGAGAAGAAAUCGAACCCUGUUGGACAUGGUCCGAUCCAUGAUGAGUCACACCAAUCUUCCAAACUCCUUUUGAGGACAUACACCAUUAACAUCAGCUUACACACUUAACCGUGUUCCAUAUAACCGUGUUCCAUCCAAAAGGGUGAAAAGACACCAUAUGAGAUAUGGAGUGGUAAGAGACCACAUAUGUCUUACAUGAAGAUUUGGGGUUGCGAAGUUUAUGUGAAACGACAAAUUUCAACUAAGCAUGAGCCCAAAUCUGACAAAUGCUUAUUUGUGGGGUAUCCUAAAGAAACAAGAGGAUAUUACUUCUACAAUCCUUCUGAGGGCAAAGUGUUUGUCGCUCGAACUUGAGUUUUCCUAGAAAGCGAUUUUAUUUCCAAAGGAAUCAGUGGGAGGAAAGUAGAACUUGAAGAAAUUCAAGAAUCACAAAGCAUUGAUACACCUAUGGAGGACUUAGAGCAGGAAACACAAAUGGUUGUGGAAGAGCAACCUGCUCAAGUAGAACAAGACCAACGAGGUCAGGCAGGAUACGUUACCUACCAGAGAUAUAUGGAUAUCUGAUCUAGGUGAUGUAUUACUCAUGGUUCAAGAUGAGCCUGUGACCUACUCAUGGAAUCUUCGCUUUGAUGAAACAGUAAAACUGUAUGGAUUCAUCAAGAACGAAGAUGAGCCUUGUGUCUACAAGAAGGUUAGUCCCUCGUACUAGCAUAAGCUGGUAUUAUAUGUAGAUGACAUAUUACUCAUUGGAAUCGAUAUCCCUACCCUGUAACAAGUAAAGUCUUGGUUGGGGAAAUGCUUUUCUAUGAAGGACCUGGGUGAAGUAGCCUAUCAGAAUCUAUAGAGAUAGAUCAUGAAAUGCUUGGCCUAAGUCAGAGUACAUAGACAAAGUGCUGAGACACUUUGAUAUGAAUGGUUUCAAAGGUUAUGUGUUUUUGCUUAAAUGGUGGCACUGUGAGCUUGAAAAAUUCAACGCAAGAUGCAGUUGCUAAUUCUACAACUGAGACCGAGUAUGUUGCUGCCUUAAGUGCAGCAAAGGAAGCUGUUUGGAUCAAUAAACUUGGCAUAGUCCCUAGCGUUGUGGAUCCCAUUGGUCUCUAUUGUGAUAACAAUGGUGUUAUCGCACAAGCUAAGGAGCCUAGAUCUCACCAACGAUCCAAACACAUACUUAGGCGUUAUCAUCUCAUUCGAGAGAUAAUAAAUAGAGGAGAUGUGAAAAUAUGUAAAGUACCUACACUUGACAAUAUAGCUGACCCAUUGACUAAGCCUCUUGCGCAGCAGAAGCAUGAUGGCCAUACUAGAUCAAUGGGCAUACGGGGUAUGAACAGUGGUAUCAGAGCCACUUACGAAACCAUGAAUCUGAUAACUGUUUUUGUUCUUAAUAAUAUGAUUAAAAAGAAUGAAUCAAAGGUUAAAUUGGAUCGAUCAAUUACAUAUAUGUGAUAUAUGUAACCUGAUGCAAAAAUUAUUAAUAUGAUAUAGUGUUCUUGUUUCGUUCAUUCAAAACUCGAUGAUUUUUUCCUUUGAGCGAUCAAUGGUCGUUUGCUUCUUGAUCCGACAUUAGUAUGGUGAAGCAAUGACGUGUUGAUCAAUCAUACUGAAUUAACAAUCGAGACGUGUUUGACGGUCUGAAAUUGGUCAUCAGGUUAGUGACGCACAAGGGUUGUGUUGUCAGAGAGUUAUGCGAUUGGGUUUUCACAAGAUGUGUGUUCUAAACACUUUUCGAACAGUGUUAACGUUAACGCUAUGUAACGGUAACAAACAAAAAUUUUUCAAUUUUGGAACAGUGUUAACCGGUUAACGCUAGGUUAACCGGUAACGGAAUGCAAAUAAAUUUUGAAUUUUCAAACAGUGUUAACCGGUUAACGCAUUGGUAACCGUUAACGCAAGCGGAAAAAGUUUUCAAGACAUUUUCAAACAGUGUUAACCGGUUAACGCAUAUGUUAACCGGUUACGCAAGCAGAAAAGAUUUUCAAAAGUUUCAAACAGUGUUAACGUUAACGCAUAUGGUUAACCGGUUAACGCAAGGAAAAAUUCACCGUUCGGCUGAAAAGUGCUUUAAGUAUCAAGUGUUGAUACGAAAAAACACGUCUGACCGGCAGCGAAAACGUUCCGCUGUCCGGGCAGCGACCCGGAACUCUGCGUAGUGUGAUCGGUCGUCGAAAUUUAAUUUGAUUUUAAUUAAUUAAAGAAUUAAUUAUAAUAAUAAUAAAGUGUUUAUUAUUGUCUUGUGGUGAUCGUUAUGGCCUUAGUUUUCUUUGUUUUUUUUGGUUUUUAAAUACGACCUGCGUGUCGUGCUCUCUCUUAAUCUCCCAAAUGUAACUUCUUUUCUCAUCUCACUCCCUCGUAUGUAAAACGAGUUUCUUCAUGUAAUGUAAUGAUAUGAAGAAAGCAAAGAAGUCAGUGCCAAAGGAGACAACCUUGAAGAUCUUGCUUGGAGAAGCUUAGAUCGUGUAGGUUAGCUUAGGUUCUCUCAUUGCUUGGGAGAACAAUUGCGCUAGGGCCAUAACGUUUCAUUUGUAUUAUGUAUGUUGAUGCAUGUGAAUGUAUGUGAUGCAUGAGAGACGGUUUAUAUGAUAACAAGCCGGUGAGAUCAGAAAAUUGCAAUUCCCUCAAAUAAUAUUAAGUUUAAGCUUUCCAAGUUUUAACACUCAUCAAGACUAGUAUCGAUAAUGUAGGUUUCGCCUAGCGAGGUGCAUGUCUUAUUAGUAAGGUGCGAUGGAUAAUUGUAAUAUCCAACUGUUAAAACAAUGGGUCAAACUUAACUAAACAAAAUAUAAUAAGAUUAUAUAUGUUGGAAGAUCCAUAUGAUGGAUUGGAAUAAGGAGUUAUUCACCCAACUGAAAUUUUCGAGAGUUGUAUGAGAUACAAUUGGAAGGAGUUCCUACCUAAAUAACCUAGUUUUGUGUAAUCCGCCUACGCGGACUUAGAAACGAAGUGAAAUAUGGAUCUCGACCACUAAAAAAUCUUCCAACGGGAUUUUCCGAAUCAGAUGAUGAGGGUCAUUUGUUUUGAGUAAAAUAGUGGAGCAUAUUUAAUUAAAGGCCUAAUUGAAUAUGUCAAUGAUACUUAAUUUCAUUAAUCCUAUGUAGAUACCAUGACAGAAACACCUCUAACAAACAUCCUGCGAUCAAUCCUUGAUAAGGAAAAAUUGUCUGGGACAAAUUUUCUGGAUUGGCACCGAAACCUGAGGUUUCCUCAAACAUGAUAAAAAGCUGUAUGUCUUGGAGACACCUGUUCCUGAAGAGGAACCUCCUAGUUCUGCACCUAAGGCAGAAAGAGAUGCUUAUAAGAAGCAUGUCGAUGAUGCCAAUGAAACUGCUUGUCUCAUGCUGGCUACCAUGAACUCAGAAUUGCAAAAGCAACAGAAACAUGUCAGCGUUCGAUAUGAUCGAACACCUGAAGUUGCUCUAUCAAGAGCAAGCAAGGCAUGAGAGGUUUGAAGUUUCAAAACCCUUUUUCAAAGCAAGUUAGCUGAGGGAGCCCCUGUAGGUCCCAUGUACUCAAGAUGAUUGGGUAUGUGGAAAACCUUGAGAGAUUGGGUUUUCCCCUCGAAAAGGAACUUGCAACUGAUUUGAUCUUGCAAUCGUUGCCAGAUAGUUUCAGUCAAUUUGUCCUAAAUUUCAAUAUGAUUGAUAUGGACAAAUCUCUCCUGAACUGCUCGCCAUGUUAAGAACUGCCGAGCAGAACUCUGAAGUCAAAAGGGAAGUCCAUUGAUGAUCGGAAAUGGAAAGAGACAGAACAAAAGGCCCACUAAGCAAGUGAUAAGGGAAGGGCAAGGAAGUUGCCAAUCCCAGACCCACUGCGCUUUGAAGCCUAGUGAGGGCAUAGCAAAAGAAGGCACCUGCUUCCAUUGCGGUAAGACGGACACUGAGAGGAACUGCCCAAAGUACCUAACGUUCGUGAUCGCCCCGUGGAUCUGUAUCAAAGGUUUUGAUCAUUAUCAGAGAUCUGCACCAAAGGUUUGAAUCGCCACAAGAGGUAACGAUUCUAUCACUAAUCAUGCCCAUUCGUAAGGAUCAUUAAAGGAGAAAUUUUUUAUAUUCCGCUGCGCCUUGGAUGGCAAUUCUCCUUCACUACUGCAGUGUCAAAAUAGUCAGGAAAGAGAAGGUCGAUACUCAAUCAAUCUUUUUAUUUUAUAAGAGAAAUUAUAUAAUUCUUGUAGUUAUUGUGUUUUAAUAUGGAAUACGAAUGUUUGAAUAUGGAGCUCUACAACAGUAUCCUAACAUUCGAAAUAGAGAAAGUCUAAACCUAAUAAGUUUUUUCCAUUUUUAUUGUAAAAUUCUUUUAAAAAUAGACAGACGACUUGACAUUGGAUCAAGUGUCAGAAGUUUACUGAUGAAAAGAAUUUGGAUGUGGCGAGGCGAGAAAAGAUAGGUUUGAUUGGUUUUGAUCGCACAGGGGCGAUAAAUUAGGUUUGAUUUGUUUGAAUAUGUUUUAGAAUUAAAGACGACUAUUAAAAUAUGGGGCUCUACAGCAAUUUUCAAAUAAUUGGAGACUGAGGAAGGCCUAACCCCAUUCAGUCUUUUUUUUCUAUAAGAGAACCAACUGAAUUCAAUUAAUUAUUGUAUUUUAAUACGGAAGAUGAUCAUUCGGACAAAGAGCUCAACAGCAUUUCCCAAAUAUUCGAGGAAGGGGAAAGUCUACACCAUCCUUCCUUUUUUUUCAUCCAUUUUGUUUGUAAAAAAACUUGUGUUAAAAACACUUGAAAAAAAUCUAAGCGAAAGUCAGAAACUCGAGCGGGCACAGUAUUACAGCUUAUACCUAAAGUGAUACAAUUGCAUUAAAAAUAUCAAAAUCGUUUUUUGAACAUUUUAUGAUAACAAUAAAAAGUUUAAAAGUGAUUUGUAGUGUCUUAGAAAAUUAGUGAAUAUCUAAAUUUAGAGGAACUAAGAACUGGCUCAAUGAUUAACUGUACAAGACCAUAAAAAAGUAAUAUAAGCUUGGAACACCAGCUACUUGAUAUAUGAAGAGAAAUUUCAUAAGGGCAAAGGUGUAGUAACACCUUAGUCUCAAAUACACAUUAUUGCAUAUUAAGCACCGGAACAUAAAACACAUAGACUAAAAAUUAAAUAUCCAUAACUUCAUGCAUAAACCUUAACUAAAUAAUUAAAGAAUGCUAAAAUGAGUCAGAAACACAGGGUAUCAUCAUAGCGGAUCACUUGGGGAAAAUUCAUUAUGUCCAUCACCCAAAUUAUAAUGUAAACAAAUAAUGUAUUCAUUCAUGUUAUUCAACCAUCAACUUAAUAAGAGUUUCUAUAAAAAAGAAAUGAGAUAACUUAAAAAUGAAAAUAUGAUGUAAAGUGAUAUUGUAUUCAUUCAUAUUAUUCAACAAUUAACUUAAUAAGGGUUUUUAUACACACAAAAAAAGAAGGUAUAUAUCAAAAACAUAAUUUUCCCUUGCAUAACCGACUCCCUUAAUUAUAUUUUUGAUCCUUAAAGUUUUUUCAAGGUUUAAAAUAGGGACUUCCUUAAAUUUUUCAUUGUUAGACAUUAUGUUAAUCUAAUAUAUGAUGUUUAAUGUAUGAUCUGUGUUGUUAAGGUCUUUGCCAAAUAACUUGUUUUAUUGAUAAAUGGAUGUGGUGAUGAUUGAACCUAGACAUAUUUUGUGAUGGUUCUCUUUAGACAAAACUAACUAAUUAAUUUGGUUCAUAUUUUCAUUUUCAAGUUAUCCAAUUUCUUUUCUUUUUUUGUAUACAAACUCUUAUUAAGUUUAUGAUUGAAUAAUAUGAAUGAAUUGAGUAACUGUUUGCAUCAUAUUUUCAUUUUCAAGUUAUCUCAUUUAUUUUUUUAUAGAAACUCCUAUUAAGUUGAUGGUUGAAUAACAUCAAUGAAUACAUUAUUUGUUUAAACUAUAAUUUAGGUUAUGGGUAAUGACUUUUCCCCAAGUGAUCCAAUAUGAUGAUACCAUGUUGUUUCUAACUCAUUUUAGCAUUCUUUAAUUGUUUAGUUAAGGUUUAUGCAUGAAGUUAUCGAUAUUUAAUUUUUGGUCUAUGUGUUUUAUGUUCUGGCGCUUAAUAUGCAAUGUGUAUUUGAGACUAAAGUGUUACUACACCUUUGCCCUUAUGAAAUUUCUCUUCAUAUAUCAAGUAGCUGGUGUUCCAAGCUUAUAUUACUUUUUGUGUGGUCUUGUACAGUUAAUCAUGGAGCCCGUACUUAGUUCCCCUAAAUUUAGAUAUUCACUUAUUUUCUAACACAGUACAAAUCACUUUUAACCCUUUUAUUGUUAUUAUAAAAUGUUCAAAAAAUGAUUUUGAGAUUUUUAAUGCAAUUGUAUCACUUUUUGUAUAAGCUGUAAUACUUAUGUCCCCUCAAAUUUCUGACUUUUGCUUAUAUUUUUUUACAAAUAAAAUAGAUGAAAAAAGGAAGGAUGGUGUAAACUUCACCCUUCCCCGAAUAUUUAGGCAAUAUUGUAUAGCUCUAUGUACGAAUGAUCGUCUUCCAUAUUAAAAUAUAAUAAUUAAUUAAAUUCAAUUGGUUCUCUUAUAGAGAAAAAAAGACUGGUUGGGUUUAGACCUUCCUCAGUCUCCAAUUAUUUGAACAUUGUAGUAGAGCUCCCUAUUUGAAUAGUCGUCUUCAAUUCUAAAACAUAUUCAAACAAAUCAAACCUAACUUCUCGCCCCUGUGUGAUCAAAACCAAUCAAACAUAUCUUUUCUCACCCCCGCCACAUCCAGAUUCUUUUCAUAAGUAAACUUCUGACACUUGAUCAAAUGUCAAGUCGUCCCUUUGUUUUUAAAAUCUUUUUACAGUAAAAUUGGAAGAAAUUGAUUAGGUUUAGAAUUUCUCUAUUUCGAAUGUUAGGAUACUGUUGUAGAACUCCCUGUUUAAACAUUCAUCUUCCAUAUUAAAACACAAUAACUACCAGAAUUAUGUCAUUUCUCUUAUAGAAGAAAAAGAUUGAUUGGGUAUUGGCCUUCUCUUUCCUGAUUAUUUGGAUACUACAGUAGAGCUCCCUGUCUGAAUAAUCAUCUUCCGUUAAUGAACUUUGACCUCAUUUGCCACACAUUUUCAUAACAAACUUUUGGGUGAAAAGAGAGUGAUUGGGCUUAGGCCUCUUCCUUUUCGAGCAUUCAAGUACUACAGUUGAUCCCCCAGCUUGGAUACAUGUCUCCACUUGAAAUUAACCCAGCUCAUAAAACUUGUUUUCCGCCUUUGCGCGACCCCAAAAUCAUUUUCAGAAAGAGUAUGCUACAUCCAUUUUGACGCGAAACAAACAAAGACUUCAGCCUCCAAGAGCGACUAGCAAGUAAAGGUUUAAUCUCUCAAAUGUAAUCCAAUCAUCACUCUCUUUAAAAGAAAUUCAUUCAGUAGUUCUCUUUUAGUUGAACUACGUAUGUCUUGAGUUCUUCAUAGCAUCUGAAGAUAUGUAGGAGCAGAAUUGCGAAAUCUUGUCAGGCACAUUAAUAUUAAAAAAUCCUAAGUCUUUCCUUUCUUUUUUUUCUCUUUCUUCACUCGAUAAAUAGAAGUUCACAAAUGAUAUCACUCUAACACUCUAACACUAAACCAACUAAAUGGGUCCCAUUGAGUACGAUGGAUGGAGGGGUGUUAAUACCUUCCCCUUGCAUAACCGACUCGUGCACCAGAUUUGGUUGUGAUAACCAUUUCUUUUUGUUUUUCAUGGGUUUUAUCUAUAUUUUUCCUUUCCCUCUUUGGAAAUACAUAAUACUCGGUGGCGACUCUGUUUUGUUUAUAUUUAGAGUGUUCCUUACGCUUGGAUAUUUUUCAUGCUGCGACACAUACCUCAUUUGAUGUAUAAGCAGCCCCUUUUCGAACUUGUGAAACUCAAUUCCAGGGAAAUAUGUCAUGAGACCAAGGUUGGUCAUCUCAAUAUCCUUUAUUAAAUCACCCUUGAACUCCAAAAUGUAACCUUUUUUGUUGCCUACAAUCAGUAAAUCAUCAAAGUAGAGACAUAUGAUGAUCACUCUUUUGCUUGUAUCCUUCUUCACAUACAUACCAUGUUCAUAUACACAUGUAUCAAAUCAUAUCUCCUUUAGAAAACCAUCAAUUCUUUUGUUUCAAUCUCUUGGUGCUUGCUUCAUCCCGUACAAUGCUUUCCUCAAUCUAUAGAACUUGGAUUCCUAUUUUUUUACAACAAAACUUUGUGGAUGUGCUACAUACACCUCCUCUUACAAUGGACCGUUCAAAAAAUAAUAUUUGGCAUCCACUUCGUAGAUGGACCAAUUGUUGUUUUUUGUAAUACCAACAACUAGCCUAAUGGUUUCAACUCUAUCCACAUGUACAAAUACUUCUUCGAAGUUUAUGCCUUCUCUUUGCAAAAAUCCAUUUGCAACUAAUUGAGCCUUAUGCUUAAUUAUUUCACCUUUAGGAUUUGCCUUCACUUUGUACACACGUCUUACAUCAAUUUCCUUCUUUCCUUGAGGUAGAUCAACUAGUUCCCAAGUCUUAUUUUUCUUAAUUGACUACAACUCCUCCUUCAUUGCACAUAUCCAUUUUGGAUACUCAAGACCUCCAUUGUUUUCAUCGAUUCAGAUUCAUCCAUGGUCGCAAAAUGGAUGAGAUCACCAUUGUCGUUUACUUCGUUAUUCGGGAACAAAUCAUAAUCUUGUAGUCUUGCAGGCAUGCAGGCAUGACUCUUAGCCUCGUUGAUCUUCUUAUAUUUUCUGUAACUUGGAUUUCACUGGCUGCAGUUUGUGCAUUCUCAAACACUGCAAAUAUAAUUCAGUCACUAUUGUAAUCAAUUACAAUAUGAUUUCAGUCCCCUAGUUCAUCAAAAAUCAUGUCUUUACUGAUUGCAAUUAUUUUGUUAACUGGGUCAUAGAGUUGUAGCCACUCGUAGAGUGAUAUCCAACAUGUAUCAUUUUAUUUCCCUUAUCAUCUUGUUUCUUUCUAAAGUGAUAUGGAAAAUGUCUAUACGCAAUCAAACCAAAUACUGGUAAGUGGAUCAUAUUUGGCUUGAAUCCGGACCAUGAUUCUUCGAGUGUAAUAUUUUUCCAGCUUCUUUGUUGGACAUCUAUUCAUCAAAUAUGUAGUUGUGGACACCAUUGCUCCCCAUGAUUCUUUGAGCAGGUUCUUUCUUUCCAACAUGCUUCACCUCCACCAUGUAUAAUUCCCUCAUGAUCACAAAUUUCCCAAAAUCAUUUGAGACAUAUCCACCUCCACCAUCUGUUUUUAGAGUUUUGAUUUUGUGAUCACUUUGUCUUUCUACCAUGGAUUUGAACUUCUUGAAUACUUCCAGCACCUCGUCUUUCCUUUUGAUGAAUUAAGUCCGUAACUUUCUAUUAAAAUCAUCAAUGAAAGUAACAAAGUACCUAUUUCCUAUGAUUGAGUCAACUUGCAUCAGUCCAUAAACGUCUAAAUACACCACCUCAAGAUGACACUUAGUUUUGUAUCUUGUAUCUUUUCUAAAGCUUCCUCGAUGUUACUUGGUAUGUACACACUCCUCACAUACUUCAUUUAAAUGUUGAUCAAUGGCAGCUCUGCAACCAUGUUAAUUUUUUUGCAUAGCAUUGAGAUCUUUGUAGUUCAAAUGCUCAAGCUUGUAGUUCCAUAUACAUUUUUCCCUACUAGCAGUUGUUGCAAGACACCCAUGCUCUAUUACUUUAAAUUUAACUUUGAAAGUUCUGUUUUGAGCCACAGAGGCCUUUAGGAUCAAACUUCCAUUUACAUCCAUAACUUUCAGCAUUUUAUUUUCCAUGUAAAUCUUGUAAUUCCUUUUAAACAAUGGAAUAAUGCUUAAGAUAUUAAACUUGAUUCCCAAAAUAUAUAACACAUCUUUAGUCAAUGAAUGAUCUCCACUAUUUCGCGUAAUUGAAACAUCACCAAUCCCCUAUGCUGCGAGUGUACUGUCAUUUAUGAAUUUCACCUUUUUUUCAUCACUUAAUUCAUUUUUACAAACCAAACCUUCCUUCCAUUCAUGUGUGUUGAACACUUGGGAUCAAGGUACCAUUGAUCGCUGCAUCUGGCAUCUUCUCGUGUAGUCACCAUCACAUUUUCAAGUAAUUAUAACUGGCUUGACUGUCUUUUCCUAUGUUGUUUUCUACAUCCAUAAUCAUUAUUAAUAGUGUGCUCUCAUCAUCUUUUUUCCUUUCAAACUUUGCUUCCACUUCUUGUGGAUCAUUCUUGUUGGCAUUACAUUCAUAAGAAAAAUGCCCAAGCUUUUGACAAUUAUAGCAUUAGAAGUUGCUCUUGUCAUUUUUCCAUCUUCCUCUUCUUCCUUUAUUGCGUCCACCUUUGUAAUUUCUUGAUCCACUACCUAUAUUGCAAUUGCUUUGACCCUUUUGAAAUAUUAAAUUGUUUGAAUUUUGGGAGUCGUUUCAACCAUUGUUGUGAUAGUUUCCUUUACCUCUAUUCAUGAACCACUUUCCCUUCACCUUCUUGUCUUUUCCAACGAAACAGGUCUGCAAACCAACUUCAGCCUUUGCUUUGUCAAAAUCCAUCUACUUCAUUUUCUACUCAUGAGCCUCAAGAGAACUUUACAACUCUUAUUUGCUCAUUGGUUAAAAAAUCCUUGGACUCUUCAAUCACAACCAUUACGUUAUUGAAUCUUGAUGAUAACGAUAUCAAGAUUUUACUAACCACAUAUUGCUCACUGAUUUUCUCUCCACAAGCUUUCACUUCAUUCACCAAUCUUGUGAUUCUUCUAUUAAAUUCAUUAAUGGUCUCCUUCUCCUUCAUUUGAAUUAAUUCCAACUGCCUUUUGUGAGUUUGUAACCCCACCACCUUUGCCUUAUCAGCUCCUACAUAUCUUUUAUCCAAAAUUUCCCAAGCUUCCUUUGAGGAUGUGCAAUCAUCAACCUUCUCAAAGUUAUCAUCACCAACACAUUGAUGAAUGAGAUACAAAGCUUUGAAAUAUUUUGUCUUCUCUUCUUUAUGUGCAGUUCUUUGUGUAGCCAUUGCACCUUUUACAAGUGGAUUAACACCAUUCUUGGCCACUUCAACAACAUCUUGAUAACCAAAUAGCCCAUUCAUUUGUUUGUACCAUUUUUUAGAAUUCUUCGCAUCAAGAAUUGUGAGAUUUGUAAGGAUAUGUUCAUUGGAGAUGGAAACAAUUUUCGCACACUAAGUAUUCGUUCAAAGAACCAGACUCUUAAUGCCAAAUAUUGGGGAAAACACAAUCAUAAGAUGAAAUGAUGAACAAAUGAAUAGUGGAAAUGAUGAGAGAAUUAGGGUGAAAAUUGUGGUAUUUCAUAAAUGACCUAACAUGGGGUAUAUAUACAAUAAUACACAUCAAUUUAAGUAACCAACUAAAAUGAAAACAAACUUUUCAAACAUGUAAUCAGUUACACCAAAGUUGUAAUCGAUUACAGGACACUAAUGUCUCAAAAAUACUAAAAAUUUGAGGGUAGUAAUCGGUUACACCAAAGUUGUAAUCGAUUAGAUGUCACUUUUGUUUGAUUGUGACUGUUGCUGAAGGGGUGAUAACCGGUUACACCCUUAAUGUAGUUGAUUACACCAAUAUGAAUGAUCAUUUUUUCAUAACAAAUUAUUCUCCCAAUUUUUUUGCAACAAUGAGUCUUUACUCAAUUCGAAUAUCAAAACAAGAAUCAAAUCCUUCUCGAAUGCAUUUGAGAGACAAAUAGCAAAAUAUUAACUUUUGUCACAGUAUCAAAACAAUGACCUCAAUUAUCUUUAUUGAAAAAAUUUCACUAAUACAUUAGGAGAACUAUCUAGAUUCACUAAAAUAUCCAAAAUACAUAAUCAAUGUAUACCAACCUACUUCCAAAGAGAAUCAACUAGAUUCGGAGAUUGGCUUUAAACAAGUAGAACAAAAUCGCAAUUCAUAGAAACCAUAUCCUAACAGAAAAAGGUGAUGACGAUCAUGAUCAAGUGUGAAACCAACAAUGAUUCACAAAAACUAUAUCCACAAAGUAGUGUGAAAUCCGAUAAUGAUAUCAGUGAUUGUUUGCACCGAUCUCAAGGAACAAAGGACAUUAGCAACAUCUAGAUCAUGUUCAAUAUUGAAUACAUAAUCUUAGAAAAAUCAUCAAUUCAAAAACAAAAUUCAAUCAAGAACCCUAAGAUUUGGUAAUAAUAGUGAGAGGAAAUCGAAAGAUAAAAAUUGGGAUUGCAAAUCGGACGAGAAUGCAAUAGUGGAAAUAAAAUAUGGAUCAGAUCAAACAAAGAAAUGUGGCAUCAUCGUGGAAACAAAACCAAUGAAGGGAAAACAUUAAGAUCGAAAAAUCACAAACAUGAGAAUGAGAACAUGAUUUUUUCUCGAAAAAGAAGAAAAGAAAAGGCAAUAAUAGAUACAUGAUUUUUUCUCGAAAAAGAAAAAGAAAAGGCAAUAAUAGAUACAAAAAAUCAUAAGAAAAUGAAAUGAAAAAUGAUAAAAUUGAAUAUCUCGAGAAUUUCUUCAAGGUGGAUACCAAAUUUUCUCUGAUACUAUGUUAUGAAAUAUGACAUAUACGAAAGAAAGAGAAGAAAUGCUUAAAGUUUUGUAUAUUGAUCCAAAUAAAAUAUUGAAAAUACACUCCUUCUAAUGAAUUAUUACAAUUAUACAUAUGCACGGCUAUUAAGCACAAGUUACUACUAUCUCCAAUAUAUUCAACUAGUGGAUGAAUUAGAGAAGGAGAUUAAUCAUGUUUUAAGGUUUGUACAUCAACAUUCUAAUCAAAAUUAAGAGCAUAGGAAGUUAAGCUAACUUUUAAGGGCAAAAAAAAUCAUCAUGAAAAACAUUUAAAAUAAAAAACACAAUACAAUUGGUAAAAAAGACAUACAUGGUUAAUUUAAAAGGCAACAAUUUAGCAAGUGAUGAUAAAAAAAUUAGAUAUAAGAAAAGUAAUUGAUGAGAAAUGAAAGGGGUUGGUUACAAUAUUAGAUCCCCAAUGGUGCAACAAGUUAAAUUUAAAUCUAUCUAUUCCUAUAACGCAACACCACACAACAAUUGUAUAUGAGACAUUCUCUACAAAUGAUUGUUUUUAACCAAGAAGAAAAUCAGGCAGAGUAAACACAAAAUGUUUGGUAGAUUCAUCAUCAACAGGACUAAAGAAAAUAUAAACAUGUGACCCAUCUAUGAUCCCACAAUCAACAAGAGAUUUCUUUUCACAUCUUUACUAAUCAACGGCCAACAAGCAUCAUCGAGAAUAAUGAUCAAACGGUCACAAGGGAGUUUCAUAUGUGCUUCAAUUUCUCUUUUUAGAUCUUCAACCGUCGCAUCAUUCUCUACUUCGACAAGAAUAAUUUUCCUGUAGAUUCUCUACAACAAUCUUCAUGGUAUCGAACGACAACAAAAACUAGUGAUUUAGUAGUUUUCAUUUUAGCAAUGUUUUGGUUUGAAACUAAAAAGGAAUGAUAAUGAAUUUUAGAUUUGGAGUUGCACACAAAUGGGAUGAAAGUGUUGUUCUGUUCAUGUGGGCUGCAUUCUCGGGAGUU
rnacentral:lncRNA from 1 species